CCAACGGAAGCAAUUGACCAGAGAAUGCAAUGGCAAAAACGGGGCUCUUGAUGAAGUGCGAUUUGAACCGUGUGCAUCUAAAAGCCGUAGACAUGAUGGAAGCUCUGUAAUUUGUUCAAGAUUGUUGCAGUGACUAAGGUUAAGGACUUCCAAGCUGGAAAGCUGAUUGAUGGUAGUGGGUAUGCUACUAAAAUGGCCCCGUUCCAGAUUUAGUUUCUGUAAUGAUGAUAAAUGGCAAAUAUCACUAGGAAUUCCUCCUUCCAUUAUGUUGCAGUGACCUAGGUCCAAUACUUCCAAUGAUGAUAAGUGGCAAAUAUGAAUAGGGAUUUUGUGGAGCUUUGAACACUCUUGAAGUAGGAGAGUUUGAAGACCAUUUAGAUGUGUAAUUGAUGAUGGUAAGUCCAUUAUAGCUGUUCCACUCAAAUCAAGUACCCUUAGCUUUCUCAUAUUGCCCUUGAUUUCUGGAAAUCUCUCUAGCUUUGAACAGCCAUUGCAAGACAAAAUUUGAAGGUGUUUCAACUUGUAAAUGUUUCUUGGAAGAAGCUCCAAGUUUACACACCCUGCCAGAUUAAAGGGGGAAAAAAAAAACAAAGUUAGUUUUGGUAGUUUUAAUACUGCUGCACCAAUCUUUUAAGUACCAUGCAUUGUACAACCUAUUAGAAUUAGAAUCUCUAAGUUUGGCACACUUGAGAAGUCUGGGAUUCCGAUGAGAUGGAAAGAGUAACUGAGAUCAAUAACCCUCAACUUGUCAUGAAGCUGUAACAGAACAAUUUUUUUCAAUAGAUGAAUUUACAUAAACGUUAAAAAUGAAUAUAAAAUUAAACUGUAACUAAUUAAUAAUAACAAUACCUUAUUCCCUCUCCAAACUUGCUUUAUAUUGCUGCCUCUUAAUACGAGUUGAACAAGGUUCUUUGCGUGAAAAUUCAUUGGCAAAGAUUCUAAAGGGUAUCCAUCCCAAUGCAGAUAUGUUAACUCAUAAGAAGAGAAUUCAAAGUCCCUUGGAAGAUGGUCUUUAAGAAAUAGCUGGUCUUCACGAGGGUUAUGGAUAUUAAGCAGUCUAAGUCUAUUCAUCUCUUUGAAAGAUUCUGUAGUAAUCUGUAAUGGAUUAAAUUUACAUCUAUCUAAGAAUAGUCCUUCAAUUGCUCGUGUCCCCUGAAAAAUAUAAGACGAGUAGGUGAAACAAAAGAUGCAUUCGACUUAAUUGAGUUAUACACACGACUAAUUUCUGAAAAAAUAAUAAUAGUAUUGAAGCUUGCAUACACACAUAUAAACAAGAUUAUGCAUUUGACUCUUACUUUAUUUCUUAUUAGCACAUCAUUGGCAUUAGAAUCCCACAAUCUACUCCUUCUUCCAGGGUCUUCAGGGCAUUCUUGACGAAUAAUCUCCCAACCCAUUUGUUGUAUUAAAUCAUGCAUAUCUAGCAUGUUUUUUGAAACAGUUAUGAGACAUCUAUCAUCUAGAGUUGUUAUUGCAUGCUCUGCAUGAGGGCCCAAUAUUCUUGAAACAAAAUCUCUAUCAUCUCCUUUGAAAAAGCAUGCAAUAUCCAAAAAUAUCCCCUUUUCUAUAUCAUCAAGUCCAUCAAAACUUAUUCUAAGUACAUUGUGAAUUUCCAUGUGGGGUAUUAUUUUUAGCUUACACAGUGCACUUUCCCAAUUACUUAUUUUCUUUCCAAAAAGAGAAGCACCUAAAACUUUAAGUGCUAACGGAAGGCCAUCAGCAUAAUCUAUGAUAUUGUAUGAGAGGUUUUUAUAAACUUCUUGGGGACGAUUUUGUUUAAAGGCCCACAAACUAAAGAGCUCAAUAGCUUCUUCCUUGUUUAAUUUUGAAACCUCAUAUGGUAUAUCCACUCCAUAUUGAGCAAGCACGUGUUUGUCUCUAGAUGUAAUGAUGAUUGUACUUUUUGCAUGAAACCAAUCUUUCUCUUCAGCCAAAUAUUCUAGUUGUUUCAACUCAUCCACAUCAUCAAAAAUAACAAGAACUCUAUUGGACCUUAGACACCUCUUUAUCAUACUAUUUCCUUCAUUAACAUUGUUUAUUUUAAAAAAUUUUCCCCUUAGGAUACCAUGAAGAAGUUCUUGCUGUAACUGAAGUAUAUCACCUUUGGAUCUCUCUUUGAUAUUUAUAAGAAAGCUACUACCAUCAUAUUGAUGUGAGAUCUCAUUAUAAAUAGCCUUGGCGAUAGUAGUCUUGCCAACCCCACCAAUUCCAUAUAUCCCUAUGACGCUAACCAUAUUUAACUCAGUGUUCAUCAACGAUUUCAAUUUUUCCAAAUGAACACCAAUUCCAACUAUGCUCUUUCCCACACUUAAAGGUUGAUGGUUUAAUCUUCUAAUGAUUGUAUCAACAAUUUCCUUGACAACCUCAGUCUCAUACCUGCCAAUCAUAUAAAUUAAGUAAAAUGAUGAGUUAGAAUGAGUUGCAAAAUAUAAUAAAUUUAGUCGUGUAUGGCCAUGCCCAAUAUUAUUGAAUUAGUAGCAAUGGAAUGAAAAAGAAAGGGGUCAAGCCAAUUUACUUACAUAUUUAAGCUUCAAAAUUUGUAAGUAUCAAACUACUAAUGUGCCAAGUUGCAAAUUUUCAGUACUCUUACUGUUAGAGCAAUGUGUAGGACUCCUCUAUGAACAAGCUAAUGCCUUCUUUCAACUUUUAUUUCACAAACAACUUGCUUAUGAUUCCUCAAUUUCACUUGUCUUUAGGUUUUAUUAACUUACCAAUGUUGCAAAGACUCUGUUUUUAGCCUGCCAAUUAAUUUUGCAUUUCCAUAGAGGAAUCAGGAAACGAGUGAAUGUGGAGAAUUUCAUGAUUUGCUUCUUGAUUGGGACCUUAAAUAUGAUUUGCUUUAGAGAAAAUUAUAGAAAUGAAAGUUAGAUUUUGUUAACAAUUUCAUACUUACUGGUCAUUCACAUGGCAUCCAGAUAGAUUAGCUGCUUCUCUCAAGGCAAUCCUCCACUUUUGUAUCAUCUCCUUCUUUUCUUGAUUUGCAUCUCUUUCAUGGUAGGCAAGUGCGUCUCCGAAACUUCCCCUUUGGUUUCGUACAUCAGAUGGAUCCACAUGGUAGAAAAUUGGUAGAACCAUUGAUUCCUUUUGGCUCUUGCGUUCAAUGAUCUUUACGAGUUCAUUUAAACACCAUCUGGAGUAAGCAUAAUUUUUUGAGAAAAUAAUAAUAAAAAACCUCGAUUCUUCUAUAGCUCUCAAGAGAUCAGAUGCAAUAUCUCCUCCUUUCUCAAGUUCUUCAUCAUCUCUGAAAGUUUGAAUUCCAGAUGCAGUCAAUGUGGUAUAUAGAUGAUCAGUGAAAUUUUUGCGAGUAUCGCCACCUCUAAAACUCAAGAACACAUCAUAAUUACGAGAAAUAGAAGUAGUCGAAGAAGAGGCUCUAUGGGUGCUGGAAGAAGCCAUUUUUGGAUGGCUUGAACCAAAAUUACAAGGGAGUUUGGAGGGUCCUUGGAUGCUCAAUGACUAUUGGCUCCAGACCUCUUCACCAUGAACAAAAAUCCAAGCUGGGAGGGAGGUUCAGCUGAAAAGCUUCAUCUGCAGUCGUAAAAGAAAAGAAAAACAUAUAUAAAGCCCUCUUUGAGAAAUUUCUUCGUAUAUAGAUUCUAAGAGAAACACAUAUUUUACCUUUUGGUUGGGGAAGAUCCUUUCUCCAUUCCCUUUGUGUUGGAGACUGCAUUAAGGGAUGCAGAGAAGAUGGUGGGGAAGGUGUUGAAGAAGAGGCGGUGGGUAGCAGAGGUCUCGUUGACUGGGUGGAUGGAAUCGAGGUAAGGAAUUCUAAUAUUUUGAAAUGAAAUUUCAUGGAAGGUGUUGUUUUCAGUUUUUGUUUCCACAAAUAUUUGUGCGCGGCACCUAUGAUGAUGAGAAAUCCCUAAUUAAGACUAAGUAAUAUUGCUUUCCUUUUUAAUUAAUCAUUUAUACUUAAUUUUUUUCCGUCAACUUAAGUAUUUUGAUAAUAUUAUUUGUUAUAGAUAUUGAUGGGAAAAUUCUAUCAUCUUUCUAAGAGAUUUAUUAGAUUCUUGUUGGAAAUCCACGUCAAAGUAGAGCUCUGUGACUUUCACAUUAAAAAAUAGUUGGAUUGAUGUAGAAAAGGCAAACCUUCCCUCCACACCCAAAUGUAAUAUUUCAUUAUUUUUUGUAAUUUUAUUUUUCUCUCUAGUUCCUAUAUUUGUACAACUUCAUCCUUCUUUAAUUUAGUUCCUUUUCUUUGUAAUAUUUAUUUUGAUAUUUUUACAAUUUAAAUUUAUGAAAUAUCUUUAUUUAAUAAUUUUUAUAAAAAAUAUUAAGUUUUUAUAGAUAUAUCAAUAUAUAGGUUUUAUAUAUAUAUUGGGAUAUAUAAGGAAAUAUCGGUGGAUAUUCUAACACAAAAUAUCGAUAAAAUGGAAAUUGAUAAAAAAUCAUAGAAAUAUUUAAAAUAAUUAAAAAAAUAAAUAUUAGAAAUAAUAAUAAACAUUUUGAUAUUGUUUUUGUUAAAAAAAAAUCGAUAUAUGUAUGAUAUAAUUUAUAACAUUCAAAAAUAAUAAUUAAAAUUUUUAAAAAAAUUAUAUAAAUAUAUCUAAUUUGGAUGUAUUUAAUGACAUUAAAAAAUUAUGAUAAAAGUAUUAGUACUUUUAUUUUAAAAUAUUGACAAUUUUAUUUAUAAAUUUAUAUAUGGUUAUUUUAUAUUUAUUUAUUAUACCAAACAUAUGAUAAUUAAAAUUUGUUCAUUUAUAUAUAUAUACAAAAAAACAUAUAUUAAUUUAUGCAUAUGUAACAUAAUUUAUAAUAUAUCUAUAUAUAUAUAUAUAUAUAUAUAUAUAUAUAUAAAAGAGAAUCUUAAUAUAAUAUACAUAAAUAAACAUUGUAUAAGUCAUGCAUUACAUUAUAAUAUUAACAAAGUUAGGUCGGUGGCGUGCUGCGCUCACGCAAUGCCUGAGGUCAUGGGUUCUCAAACCCAUCCUUCCACUAACGAUUUAAAUCUCUUUUUUAAAGGUAAGGGGUGGAAUCCCACAUCGACCAGCCACAGCACUCAAAGUUUAAAUCUUUUUUUAACGGUAAGAGGUGGUAUCCCACAUCGGCCGGCCACAGCACUUAAAAAACCUGCUCAUAGACCCUUCAGCCGAUGUAGACGGAAUAUUUUCCAAAAAGGCUGAUGUCUCUCCGAGCCGAGAUAUCCACCUGCUGUAUCGUGUCGGAUGUUACGGACAGAAGAAAUAGUUCCAGCUACUUUCAUCUUGAUCAUAUCUUCAUAAUUGAUUAUUCAUUUUGAUGUUUUACUUCUAAUAUACCUGACAUUUUAGUUUGGUGUUUCGCUUAGGCUUUGAUUAUGGAACUAUUUCUUAUAGUUAUUGGUAGGAAAUUUCCAAUGGUCUUCCAAAUAGGCUAUUUACAAAAGAUUGAAAAAUUGAAAAACCUCAAUGUCCUUUCACAUUUGAAGAUAGUGAAAUUCAUAUAAAAACAAUCAAUACUACAAAAAUUUGUAUGAAGAUAAUGCUAUUUAAAGAAGGUUAAUAGACCUUGAUGUCCUUUUAUAUUGAAAGAUAGUGAAAUUCUAUAUAAAAUAUUGAUAAUAAUAACCAACGCUACAAAAGUUUGUAUGAAGGCAGAGACCAUUUACAAAAGGUCAAUAGACCUCAAUGUGCUUUCACAUUGAAAGAUAAUGAAAUUCACAUAAAAAUAAUAAUAAUAUUAACUAAUGCUAUAAAAAUUUGUAUGAAGACAAACUAUUUACAAAUGCUCAAUAGACCUUAAUGUCCUUUUAUAUUGAGAGAUAGUGAAAUUUAUAUAAAAAUAUAUAUAGCCAAUGCUACAAAAGAUUGUAUAAAGGCAAACUAUUUAUAAAAGGUUAAUAGACUUUAAUGUCCUUUUAUAUUGAGAGAUAGUGAAAUUUAUAUAAAAAUAUAGCCAAUGCUACAAAAGUUUGUAUAAAGGCAAACUAUUUAUAAAAGGUUAAUAGACUUUAAUGUCCUUUUAUAUUGAAAGAUAGUGAAAUUCAUAUAUACAUAUAUAUAAUAAUAAUAAUAACCAACACUACAAAAGUUUGUAUGACAGCAAACCAUUUACAAAACCUUAAUAGACCUCAAUGUCCUUUCACAUUGAUAGAUUGUGAAAUUCACAUUAAAAAAAAAAAAAAAAAACCAAGCAUAUAUAUAUAUAUAUAUAUAUAUAUAUAUAUAUAUAUAUAUAUAUAUAUAUAUAUAUAUAUAUAUAUAUAUAUAUGGUAAUGUGAUAUUUCAUCUUAAUUCCUCUUUUAUUUUCAUCUCUUGGUAUUGAAUAAUAUAUUCUUCAUUUCUACAACUCUUUCUUUUUUCUUAACUUUCUUUUUUUUUUUUUUUGUACUCAGUACCAAUGGGUUCAUUUGACAUUCAUUCAAGAUCCUCCUUGUUUUGUUCUCAAAUGAUUCAAAAAAAAUGAUACCAUAUAAGGAAUUUCUUAAAUAGAUGCUUGUAAAAAUUAUAUAAAAUUUAUUAAAAAAAAUUAAAAAUCAAAGAAAUAUCACUCCUUUUCUUUAAUUUUUAUCCUUUAAUCAUUGGUGCAAAAUGAUAAAAGUGCAAUUAUGCUUUAUUUGGUACUAAUAAGAAUUUCAAAAUCUCUUCACCUCAAGAUAUUGAAGUUUAGGUAAGAAAAUAGAUGGAUAAAAGUAUGACAUAAAACUUUUUUUCCCCAUUUGGAAGGUGUUUGUAGUUAAAGUAAAUAUAUAUAUAUAUAUAUCAAGUGGCAUAACAAAAAACAUAGGAUUUCCAAAAAGAACUUAAAAUGCAUUCAUCAUGCAUGUAGCUUGUCCACCAUAUUUCUUCAAAUAAUAUUAUUAUGGUUUGUUUGCACUAUAUUUAUUAACAUAAAAUUUUAAUCAGAGAAAUGCCAAAAAAAAAAAAAACUCAUUUUGAUCAUAUCUUCAUAAUUGAUUAUUCAUUUUGAUGUUUUACUUCUAAUAUACCUGACAUUUUAGUUUGGUGUUUCGCUUAGGCUUUGAUUAUGGAACUAUUUCUUAUAAUUAUUGGUAGGAAAUUUCCAAUGGUCUUCCAAAUAGGCUAUUUACAAAAGAUUGAAAAACCUCAAUGUCCUUUCACAUUUGAAGAUAGUGAAAUUCAUAUAAAAACAAUCAAUACUACAAAAAUUUGUAUGAAGAUAAUGCUAUUUACAAAAGGUUAAUAGACCCUUGAUGUCCUUUUAUAUUGAAAGAUAGUGAAAUUCUAUAUAAAAUAUUAAUAAUAAUAACCAACGCUACAAAAAUUUGUAUGAAGGCAGAGACCAUUUACAAAAGGUCAAUAGACCUCAAUGUGCUUUCACAUUGAAAGAUAGUGAAAUACACAAAAAUAAUAAUAAUAAUAAAUAAUGCUAUAAAAAUUUGUAUGAAGACAAACUAUUUACAAAAGGUCAAUAGACCUCAAUGUCCUUUUAUAUUGAGAGAUAGUGAAAUUUAUAUAAAAAAAACAACCAAUGCUACAAAAGUUUGUAUGAAAGCAAACUAUUUAUAAAAGGUUAAUAGACCUUAAUGUCCUUUUAUAUUAAAAGAUAGUGAAAUUCAUAUAUAUAUAAAUAAUAAUAAUAACCAAUGCUACAAAAGUUUGUAUGAAGGCAAACCAUUUACAAAAGGUUAAUAGACCUCAAUGUCCUUUCACAUUGAAAGAUAGUGAAAUUCACAUCAAAAAAAGAAAAAGAAAAAACCAAGCAUAUAUAUAUAUAGUAAUGUGAUAUUUUAUCUUAAUUCCUCUUUUAUUUUCAUCUUUUGGUAUUGAAUUAUAUAUUCUUCAUUUCUACAACCCUUUCUUUUUUCUUAACUAUUAUUAUUAUUAUUAUUAUUUUGUACUUAGUAACAAUGGGUUCAUUUGACAUUCAUUCAAGAUCCUCCUUGUUUGUUCUCAAAUGAUUCAAAAAAAUGAUAUCAUAUAAGGAAUUUCUUAAAUAGAUGCUUGUAAAAUUAAAAAAACAAAGAAAUAUCAUCUCCUUUUCUUUAAUUUUUAUCCUUCAAUCAUUGGUGCAAAAUGAUAAAAGUGCAAUUAUGCUUUAUUUGGUACUAAUAAGAAUAUCAAAUUUUCUUCACCUCAAGAUAUUGAAGUCUAGCUAAGAAAAUAGAUGGAUAAAAGUAUGACAUAAAACUUUUUUUUUCCCAUUUGGAAGGUGUUUAUAUAUAUAUAUAUAUAUAUAUAUCAAGUGGCAUAACAAAAACAUAGGAUUUCCAAAAAGAACUUAAAAUGCAUUCAUCAUGCAUGUAGAUUGUCUACUGUAUUUCUUCAAAUAAUAUUAUUAUGAAUUUGUUUGUACUAUAUUUAUUAACAUAAAAUUUUAAUAAGAGAAAUACCAAAAGAACUGAAAAAGAUGAAAGCAAAUGUAGAAAAAAAAUUAAAUUAAUUCAUAAGAUAAAACAUACUAAGCAAACAAUUUCUAGGGGAGAAAAUUUUGAAAUUUUUAGUAAAAUUAGAAGUAUAUAAUAACAACAUAUUAAAGACUAGUUGCAUAUUUAUUCUAUGAAAUCAUUUCAAUUCAUGACAAAAUGAUAGUCAAAUGAAAAGAAGUUUGAAUGAGAUUUUAAGAUUAUUGAUAUGUUAAUACAUUAAACUNNNNNNNNNNNNNNNNNNNNNNNNNNNNNNNNNNNNNNNNNNNNNNNNNNNNNNNNNNNNNNNNNNNNNNNNNNNNNNNNNNNNNNNNNNNNNNNNNNNNNNNNNNNNNNNNNNNNNNNNNNNNNNNNNNNNNNNNNNNNNNNNNNNNNNNNNNNNNNNNNNNNNNNNNNNNNNNNNNNNNNNNNNNNNNNNNNNNNNNNNNNNNNNNNNNNNNNNNNNNNNNNNNNNNNNNNNNNNNNNNNNNNNNNNNNNNNNNNNNNNNNNNNNNNNNNNNNNNNNNNNNNNNNNNNNNNNNNNNNNNNNNNNNNNNNNNNNNNNNNNNNNNNNNNNNNNNNNNNNNNNNNNNNNNNNNNNNNNNNNNNNNNNNNNNNNNNNNNNNNNNNNNNNNNNNNNNNNNNNNNNNNNNNNNNNNNNNNNNNNNNNNNNNNNNNNNNNNNNNNNNNNNNNNNNNNNNNNNNNNNNNNNNNNNNNNNNNNNNNNNNNNNNNNNNNNNNNNNNNNNNNNNNNNNNNNNNNNNNNNNNNNNNNNNNNNNNNNNNNNNNNNNNNNNNNNNNNNNNNNNNNNNNNNNNNNNNNNNNNNNNNNNNNNNNNNNNNNNNNNNNNNNNNNNNNNNNNNNNNNNNNNNNNNNNNNNNNNNNNNNNNNNNNNNNNNNNNNNNNNNNNNNNNNNNNNNNNNNNNNNNNNNNNNNNNNNNNNNNNNNNNNNNNNNNNNNNNNNNNNNNNNNNNNNNNNNNNNNNNNNNNNNNNNNNNNNNNNNNNNNNNNNNNNNNNNNNNNNNNNNNNNNNNNNNNNNNNNNNNNNNNNNNNNNNNNNNNNNNNNNNNNNNNNNNNNNNNNNNNNNNNNNNNNNNNNNNNNNNNNNNNNNNNNNNNNNNNNNNNNNNNNNNNNNNNNNNNNNNNNNNNNNNNNNNNNNNNNNNNNNNNNNNNNNNNCCUUUUUGACACUAAUUAGUAGUCUCACAUACAUGGAAUGCUCCCUACUAGAUCAUAUAUCCACAUCAAAAGUUAGAUUCAUUAAUCAUAGAAAGAAAAUUAGUAGCCUCACAUAACACUUAAAACAUUGUGAAAAGGUGAAUCUCAAUGAUGGACUACACCUAGAGGGGGGAGGAGGGGGGUGAAUAGGUGUUGUAGAACAAUUUAAAAAUUCUCCCAACAAAGAUUACCUAACCUUAGACUAUCUCAAUGUUAAGAAACUUCUCUUCCAACAACUUUUCAACAAAGCAUAACAUCCACAAGCAAGAGUGAAUGCAUCAACACUCUCCCAACAAUUUAUAAAUGCAAAACACAUGCAAAUGCUUCAACACUCAAAAAUAAAUCAAAAGAACAAUCAUCUCCUCAACUCAUAUCAAUUGACUCCAUGAUAUCAUUAAACAAAAUGAACAGAAAAAAUAUUAAAGAUAUUCCAUGGAUCAUCACACUUAUAUCACCUCAUAUUUCUUCCAUUCAAUAUGUAUGCCCAAGUAAUCAAUGAUAUCAAAAACAGAAAAUAAAUCAAAGUGUAGAGUGAGAGAAAUAGACAAUGAACACCAGAUUUUUAAUGUGAAAAACCUCUAAAGAGAUAAAAAAAAAACUACAGACCUAUCACCAAUUGAAAACUCCAUUAUGAAGAAUAAAAGUUGAGUGCAAGGUUUUACCUAGCUCAAGCCAACCAAUCCUUCCCAGACUACUUGACUAGUACCUUCACUUUCAGCUUCUCACCUUCUUCUUUCGGAGCACACUUGGAGUCCGCACCAAGCUCAAUCACGACCUCUUCUUGAAUCCACACAAGAAGAAAAUGGGUUUUUGCACAAACCCAAAUAGAAUAAGAGAUUGAGAUAUGAAUGAAGGAAUGAAUCAACCCAUUUAUUGCUCAAGAAAAUCCAUUAAAAACUAGUUUGGAAAACAUUAAGAGAAGUGGAUUUUCUUUGCAAUCAAAAACCCCAAAUUAGGAAAACAAGAUGAGAAAAUGAAGAACACAUGGAGUGGAUACUCUCUUCACGUUUUCUGCAGUCCUUGCCUAAAAAAAUGAGAGAAGAUUGUUUUUUUAAAAUAUAAAAAGAAGCCCUUAAUCUAAUGGCUAAUAUUUGAUCUAAAAAAAAUUAGUUGGAUCGAUCCACCCCUGCACCUAGAUUGAUCCAGAAAUAGGGGAAUAAAAGUCUUGCACCAAAAACAUUUCUCCCAACUUUCUAACAUAUUUAAAUAUAAAANNNNNNNNNNNNNNNNNNNNNNNNNNNNNNNNNNNNNNNNNNNNNNNNNNNNNNNNNNNNNNNNNNNNNNNNNNNNNNNNNNNNNNNNNNNNNNNNNNNNNNNNNNNNNNNNNNNNNNNNNNNNNNNNNNNNNNNNNNNNNNNNNNNNNNNNNNNNNNNNNNNNNNNNNNNNNNNNNNNNNNNNNNNNNNNNNNNNNNNNNNNNNNNNNNNNNNNNNNNNNNNNNNNNNNNNNNNNNNNNNNNNNNNNNNNNNNNNNNNNNNNNNNNNNNNNNNNNNNNNNNNNNNNNNNNNNNNNNNNNNNNNNNNNNNNNNNNNNNNNNNNNNNNNNNNNNNNNNNNNNNNNNNNNNNNNNNNNNNNNNNNNNNNNNNNNNNNNNNNNNNNNNNNNNNNNNNNNNNNNNNNNNNNNNNNNNNNNNNNNNNNNNNNNNNNNNNNNNNNNNNNNNNNNNNNNNNNNNNNNNNNNNNNNNNNNNNNNNNNNNNNNNNNNNNNNNNNNNNNNNNNNNNNNNNNNNNNNNNNNNNNNNNNNNNNNNNNNNNNNNNNNNNNNNNNNNNNNNNNNNNNNNNNNNNNNNNNNNNNNNNNNNNNNNNNNNNNNNNNNNNNNNNNNNNNNNNNNNNNNNNNNNNNNNNNNNNNNNNNNNNNNNNNNNNNNNNNNNNNNNNNNNNNNNNNNNNNNNNNNNNNNNNNNNNNNNNNNNNNNNNNNNNNNNNNNNNNNNNNNNNNNNNNNNNNNNNNNNNNNNNNNNNNNNNNNNNNNNNNNNNNNNNNNNNNNNNNNNNNNNNNNNNNNNNNNNNNNNNNNNNNNNNNNNNNNNNNNNNNNNNNNNNNNNNNNNNNNNNNNNNNNNNNNNNNNNNNNNNNNNNNNNNNNNNNNNNNNNNNNNNNNNNNNNNNNNNNNNNNNNNNNNNNNNNNNNNNNNNNNNNNNNNNNNNNNNNNNNNNNNNNNNNNNNNNNNNNNNNNNNNNNNNNNNNNNNNNNNNNNNNNNNNNNNNNNNNNNNNNNNNNNNNNNNNNNNNNNNNNNNNNNNNNNNNNNNNNNNNNNNNNNNNNNNNNNNNNNNNNNNNNNNNNNNNNNNNNNNNNNNNNNNNNNNNNNNNNNNNNNNNNNNNNNNNNNNNNNNNNNNNNNNNNNNNNNNNNNNNNNNNNNNNNNNNNNNNNNNNNNNNNNNNNNNNNNNNNNNNNNNNNNNNNNNNNNNNNNNNNNNNNNNNNNNNNNNNNNNNNNNNNNNNNNNNNNNNNNNNNNNNNNNNNNNNNNNNNNNNNNNNNNNNNNNNNNNNNNNNNNNNNNNNNNNNNNNNNNNNNNNNNNNNNNNNNNNNNNNNNNNNNNNNNNNNNNNNNNNNNNNNNNNNNNNNNNNNNNNNNNNNNNNNNNNNNNNNNNNNNNNNNNNNNNNNNNNNNNNNNNNNNNNNNNNNNNNNNNNNNNNNNNNNNNNNNNNNNNNNNNNNNNNNNNNNNNNNNNNNNNNNNNNNNNNNNNNNNNNNNNNNNNNNNNNNNNNNNNNNNNNNNNNNNNNNNNNNNNNNNNNNNNNNNNNNNNNNNNNNNNNNNNNNNNNNNNNNNNNNNNNNNNNNNNNNNNNNNNNNNNNNNNNNNNNNNNNNNNNNNNNNNNNNNNNNNNNNNNNNNNNNNNNNNNNNNNNNNNNNNNNNNNNNNNNNNNNNNNNNNNNNNNNNNNNNNNNNNNNNNNNNNNNNNNNNNNNNNNNNNNNNNNNNNNNNNNNNNNNNNNNNNNNNNNNNNNNNNNNNNNNNNNNNNNNNNNNNNNNNNNNNNNNNNNNNNNNNNNNNNNNNNNNNNNNNNNNNNNNNNNNNNNNNNNNNNNNNNNNNNNNNNNNNNNNNNNNNNNNNNNNNNNNNNNNNNNNNNNNNNNNNNNNNNNNNNNNNNNNNNNNNNNNNNNNNNNNNNNNNNNNNNNNNNNNNNNNNNNNNNNNNNNNNNNNNNNNNNNNNNNNNNNNNNNNNNNNNNNNNNNNNNNNNNNNNNNNNNNNNNNNNNNNNNNNNNNNNNNNNNNNNNNNNNNNNNNNNNNNNNNNNNNNNNNNNNNNNNNNNNNNNNNNNNNNNNNNNNNNNNNNNNNNNNNNNNNNNNNNNNNNNNNNUAGUUACAACAACCCAAGGAAGUUAGAACAACUGUAUAGUAGAGUAGAUUCAACUGGUAUAAAAACCAUGAUGUUGCUAUUAUAUUCAAGAGAUGAAAUGAAAAACACGGUUUUCAGUUCAGUUUCUAUCAUGGUAUCAGAGCAGAACGAGCUCUUGAAAGAAGUCUUCUUGAAAAGAUAAGCUUCAGGCUGCACAAUACGCUCAUCUCUCAAAAAACAAAAAAAAGAUUUAAAAAGUCUACAAAUUCUUUUCAUUUUAAUCAUAUGUAUUAAUGGGAGAUUUCAAUUUUAAAAAGUAUCAUGGCUAAUUUUUGGAUCACUUCAAUAAAUUUUUACAGAUAGCUAAUUAGAAAUUCACUAAUGAAUACUUUCACAAAUGACUGAAACCAAGAAAUGGGCUAUGAAAGCUAGAUGGAGAGCUUUCAUAUAUUUCAGUCUUGCAAAAGAUUCGGAAAUUAAAUCAUAAGAAUUGAUAAUAAAAACAAGAUUAGUGAGUUAAACCUACAUUUGAUUCUCCAAAAUUGAUCCAAAACCGAGCCAUGGCUCUCUCAUAUGCAUCUGUCGGCAGCAGUACAUUCUCUGGCCAUGUUUCUUCGAAUUAUUCGAGGAUUACAAGGGACUCGGCUACUGCUUUGUCACCAUGAAGAAGCACCAGAAUCUUCUUAUGAACUGGAUUGUGGUGUAACUGCAACUGGCCCUUGUUACCAAGGUCUUCCUCUAUAUACUCAUAGUUUAUGCCCUUGAGUUUUAGAGUCCAAAUCACUCCGUAACCAAAAGGGCUUGCCCAAAACUCUAAUAUCUUCACUCCUGCCAUUGUUUUCUAGUAUGCCAGCUCAAUUUGCAGGGCUAUUAGUUUCAAAUAUUUGAACUUGGAGGAAGAUGGGACCCUUCUCUUCAACUAAGGAUUUUCAGCUUGUGUAAGGAGGAUUAUUUUUCAUGGCAUGCCUAGUUUUAUGGACUUCUUUUAAAAGGCAGAUAUGAGAAUUUUUUUGAAGAUGACAUCAAUUGUUUUUAAAAGAAGAAAGGAAAACAUUUAAAAGGAAUAAAGAUAUGAAAUUUUUUGAAGAUGACACCAAUUCUUUUUUUAAGGAGAGGAGAUUUUUUUUUUUUUUUUUUUAAAGGAAUAGGAGAUAUGAAUUUUUAUUUUGGAAGAUGACGUCUUUUUUUUUUUUAAGGAGAACGAGAAUUUUUUAAAAUGGAAUAUGAGUUUUUUGGAAGAGGAUAUCAUAAUUCUUUUUUAGAGGAUAUUUAUUGUAUAUUGUUUCAUGUUAAUAAAGUUUUGAUUUUUAUUGAGUGCUUAUAAAAUUGUUAGGACUUAUUUUUCUGGUUGUUAUGUAGUAUCUCUGAUUUUGUAUAUUGUUUCAUGUUAUUUAAGCUUUGAGUUCUAUUGAAUGCUUGUACUAUUUAUCUAAUUUUAUUAAAAAUCAAAUUUUGAAAAAUUUUGGUUUAAGUUUUAAAUUUUUGGAUAUUAUUCAUGUAAUUAGAAUUUUAUUAAAAAUCAAAAUUUGAAAAGUUUUGUUUGAGUUUUAAUUUUCUGGAUAUUAUUAUUCAUUUCAUUAGAGUUUUAUUAAAAAUCAAAAUUUGAAAAGUUUUGGUUUAAUUUAAUUUUCUUGAUAUUAUUCAUGUAAUUAGAAUCUUAUUAAAAAUCAAAAUUUGAAAAGUUUAGUUUGAGUUUUAAUUUUUUGGUACUAUUUAUUUCAUUAAAAUUUUAUUAAAAGUCAAAUUUUGAAAAGUUUAGUUUGAAUUUGAAUUUUUUGGAUACUAUUCAUGUAAUUAGAAUUUUAUUAAAAAUCAAAAUUUGAAAAGUUUAGUUUGAGUUUUAAUUUUCUGGUAUUAUUCACUGCAUGAGGAGUCUUAGUGUAAUGGAUAGUAGGUCACAGACUCAAGCUUUGUCUUGUUGUUAUUUACAUAGGAUACUAGCGUUCUCUUUAAUAGAAUUUUAAAUCAAUUUCAAAAUUGGAUUCUAAAUGAGCCAAUAUUCCUAUGGGCCUUAGUGUUACUACUCCGAGCUCAUAUACCAUGAUGAUAUGAUUUGAAGGGAGGGCUAGUUUGACUCUAGGUUUAUUCUUGUGCAUAAGAGUGUUUUGGUAAUUAUACUAGGUUGCAUAGGAGAUAGUGAACAAGGCCUUUGGUUUGAGUUAAUUGAUUAAUUAGAUGACCCUAUGUGAUUAAUUAAUCAAUUAGAACUCGUUUUGGGCUAGAUUAAGUGACCUAGGCCUUGAUGGACUUAAGUCACUUAAGCCUAAUGGACAAUCCUAUAAAUACCCCUUUAUGGAUUAGGGUUUCAUAAUGACUUGUGGUGAGAGUUGUCUUCCAACCCUAGAGAGAGAGUUAUAGCCUCCUCUUUUUCAAAACCCACACUUUGGAGUGUUAAGAUUGUGGUUCGCGUCCUCGAGUAGAAGAUCUUGGGUGUGCAAGACCUCAUUGGAUGAAGGCUUACAACACUUAGACGUGCAUAGGUCGCGUGCAUGAGAAGUGCAUGGGAUGCACAUAGGCGUGUGCAUGAGAAGUGCACGAGACAUGCACAAGCCUUGCGCACAAGAAUUGCAUGGGAUGCGCACGUGGGCAACAACAUGAGGAACAUCCAUACAUGUUCUUCACAGUAAGGAAUUUAUUUGGGAACAUCCAAAUCCAAGGAUGAACACUUUUUCUCUAUAUCUUUAUUCUAAUAUGGUUUUUAUAGCCAUAUGUUUUGACUAUAAUAGAUUUAGAGAAGCUUAGAAUAGUUUACAUUCACCCUAUGAUAUCUAGAGCAUGAGAACGGAGUAGUCUAGGGUUUCCAACACUAGUAACUCUAUUUUAAGAGUGUUGAUUUAUCACAUGGCCCAUAAAAGUGAAUACAUGGACAUUUAUUUUUAAUAUGAAUGAAUGGAUGCAUGUUGAUUUUUUCUUUUUUUUUUUUCUUUUUUCUCUUUAGAUUAGGUUGUAAACUUCUUAAGGAGUAUAGAAUUUUAAAUUUCUCCAUAAAAUAUUUUUCUUUUAAUGGAUGAGUUGUAAGCUCCAUUUUGAGAGCAUAAGGGUUUGUAUUCUUUGUAAAAAUUUUAAACUUUGGUCUAUCUAUGGUGACCCAAAAAAGGGAUCAGAGCUUAUGAUUCAUUCAAGGGCAUUCAGAUAGAAAAACCAAUCAAGAAAAGUGAGUUUUUUGAGAAAAAAAAAAUUGAAAAAAAUGGAGAAUCAAGCUCUCAGCAUAGUAGUCCAAGUGGUAACGCUCAAACGCUACAAAUCACAACUUAAGCGCUUGAGUGCUCCUUUAGGUGGUUUGAGUACUCUUAUUAUGGUAGCUAUAAUUUCUCCAACAUGAUUUUUUUUUUUUAAGGUUUUUCUAUAAUUUUAGGGGUUUUUUUUCCAAUAUUUUUAAAAUCAAACUGGUCAUUGAAUUGAAAAAGUUGACCAGUGGUCGAAGAACUAUUAAACCGAUGACAUCAUAAAUAUAUUAUUAAUAAAUAUAUAUAUAUAUAUAUAUAUAUAAAAAUUAAAAAUCAAUAAUAUUAAUUAUAUCUUUGAUAAAAGAUAAAAAUAAUUAAUAUUUUGAAUUUUGUUAAAUGAAAUAUGUAUAACAUUUUAAUGUGAAUAUAUUCAAAAUGAAAGGAAAUCUGAUUAUCAGAUUUUAACUAAUUUUAUAAUUUUAGAAAAUAUUAUAUUAUUUUUAUUUAAUAUUAUAAAUCCUUUUAAAAACAAAUAUAUUUUUUCAUUCGCCAUUUUAAUAAACAAGAUGCAUGCAGCCGAGCGGUGCUGUACAUCUUUUGUUCAGCAUACAUCGAAUGUGGAUAAGUUAAAAAAGGCCCUUAUAUUCCCAACUUACCCAAGUCACAUGUGCAGCACAGGAAACCAAGGUGCAGCCCAUCCAAUAGUGUUUGGAUUGGGCUUUUAUUUGGGCCUCAUGGAAUUAAAAAAGAGGGGAAGCUUGGGUCCAUUUUAAUGAAAGAACAGUUGGGAUAUGUGAAACCGCCCAGUCCAGGUGGUUCACUAGUUCAACCACUGAUUCGGGCAGCUUGUGACCGAUUCAAUUGCCUAGCGGUUUAACAAGGUGGACUAGACUAGAAGUCCACCGGUCCAACUGAUUGGAGUGGCCGGAUUGGUUCGGUUUUUAAAAGAAUGUUUUUUUAUUUCUCUAACUUAAUUUUGGUUGCAUGGGUAUAUUGGUAAAUUUUUUAAUAAAUUGGAUUCUAAAUGUUUUUGCUACCAAAAUUUGUGACAAGAUGCCUAAGGCGGGGAGGAAUUAUUUUAAUUUUCCUUUUUAUAUUCUUAAGCUUACAUAUAUAUGGCAUGUUGUGCAUGAAAAUUUGAUUUUUAGUAAUUUUGAUAGAAAUAAAUUUCCUUGAAAAUUAGAUUUCAAAAGGAUAUUUUUAUUAAAUUGGAAAAGUAGUGACUAAAGAAAGAACUUUUUAUCAAAAUAAAAUUUAAAUAAAGAGAGAAAUUUUUCCUUUUAUAAAAUCAUUUGGAAGGAUUUUAAUUUUUUUUUUUACUUAAAAAAUUAUUUUAUAAGAUUCCUAAAAAAUAAAAGCUUUCUUUUUGGAUAAGAUACACUCUAUAGUUUAAUUUUUUCAUUUUUAGAAAUUUUCUUAUUUUGAGAAUUUUUCAAUUAGAAUAAUAAAUAAUUUUGGAAAAUUUCAGGAUAGGCAAUAAUAAGAUAUUACUAAAAAGUUUUGGAAACUUAGUAAUUUAAUGAGCAAUAAAUUUCUAUAAAAAUACUAAUUUCAAGAUCAGACACUUAUUACAUUGGAGUGGUGUAUGAGAAAGGAAAAUUUUAUAUGAAUUGAUUUAAAACUUUGAGAGCAUCUUUGUUAUCAAAUUAAUUUAGGAUAAAAUGCUCUUACAAAAAUUUUAUAAUUUCCAAAGUUACAUUCUCUUAUCUCCCUUGUGUUUCUAAUUACAAAAUUAAUAAUUUUAAAAUUUUUUAUAGAAGAUAAUUAUUUAUCAAGGGAAUUACCAAGGAACUAAAAAGCUCUAAUCAACUCAAAAUAUAAAGUGGGCAAGGCCUUAGCAAAACCCACAACCUUCAUUAUCAAGUCCAUCUUGGUUUUAUGUCAUUGUCACCCCAACACUGAGUUGGCUAAGAAAUCAAAUGAUAUGAAAUUUCCAAUUGGCGAGACUAGAUAUGUUAGUAGAGCAACCACCUCAACAAUGAGUUUUUUUUUUACUAAUAUUAAUAUUAAAGAUAGUAAUCACACACUUAACUUAAAAGUAAAGUGGUUGAAUCAGCCAACGUGAUCCCACUUACAUAAUUAAGGGUUAAAUAAAAGGAUGUGUUGAUCUUGCCUUUUUAAGAUAAGAAGAUCAAUAUGAAAGGGUCUCUACCUGGUAAUAAGAUCAUGCCCAACCUAAGGUGGCAUUAAUACUUAUGAUUCUAUGAUAUCUAGCAAAAGCUAUGUAAUCAUAAGAGCUCUAGAUUUUGCUAAAUCUAUUAUCUUGCUUUAGGGUUAAUGCAUGUUGUUUAUUUUUGUUACAUUAAUCAUGUCCUUUAAUUCAAUUACUCCCAUUCUCACAACAAACAAAUUAAUUAAGCAUAACUAUGUGAAUUAAAAGAAAAACUUUUAUAUAGUGCUUACGUCAAAGGAACUUAAAUGGGUGUUUUAGGAAUUUAAUCUUGUUGGAGUUGGGUUUGGGUGCCCAGAUGGGCUGACCUAACCCUAUCCAAUAAAUGAGAAAAUGUGGGAGCAGUUUCUGGGAGUUUUAAAACUACCCAAAAACUGUCACUAUUAAAAGAUUAAAAAAAAAAAGUGUUUUUUUUCUCUUCUCUCUUUGUGAAAACUCUCUCAUUGAGAAUUCUCUCUCUCCAUGGAAAACCAAAGAGAGAAAGAGUACAUUUUCUUUCUUCCUAAAAACAAAUGUGAAGAAAUACGUUUUCUUCUUUCCCUAGAAAACAUAAGAAAGAAUAUUUUUUUCCUCUAAAGAAACAAAAAGUUAUUUCUCUUAAAGUCAUUCCUAUUUUCUCCAUAAAAACAAAGGUUAAGGCUCUUGUGCUGUGAGAAAAGAAUGGUUAUCAUAUUUGUAGUUCCAUUCACAACUUGAGGCGAGAAAAUUAGUUAGUGAAACAACCAAUUUGGAUCUUGGGUAUUUCAAAAGGUAACUCGGAAUUUUCUACCUUUUUUUUGUUUAUUUUUUUGUGUUUUAGAGAAAAAAGAAUAUUUUUUUUGGAAACAAAUGAACAAAGAAGAAACUUUUUUUUUUUUUUUUAUGGUUGUGGUUUCAAAAAAACUAAAAAAUAAAUAAACAAAAAAAAAUGGAUAAAUAUGAUUUUGGAUAUUGUUCCAAAUUAUUAAUAAUAAUAAUAAAAGCAAUGUUCUAGAAAAAAAAAACCACUUGGAGAAAAAAUAUGUGUAAAGUGCACCCCGCUGUAGGAGUUUUGGAUGAAUUGUAAAAAUAGGUGCAAAGUGCAUCCACUGUAGGAGUCUUAGACGAAUUGAAAUGGACAAUUAAAAACAAAAAAAAGAAAAAGAAAAAGACAAGAGCCACAAUUUUCUGGUUAUGGUUCCAGAAAAGCCUUUCUCCAAGACAAACAAAGUGGAAUAUUUUUCUGGAAUUUUUUUUUUAAAAAAGUAAUAAUAAUACUAAACAAGUUAAAUAUGUUUUAGUUUACUUAUUGACAUCAAAGUGUAAUUACUCUUGUGGGUUAGAACUCCUCUCAUGCUCACUUCAAACCCAAGUUCGAGCUUUGAGGUCCUCAUUCCUAUUUCAAGUUUUUGAGUUGAAGUCAAAUUAUGUUGAUUUGUUCAAAUAUAAUUAGACUAUAAAAAAAUAAAAUAAAAAAUGUAUGUUACUCAUUAUAAAUAAAUAAAUAAAAAUGAAGGAGGGAUUGCUUAUGAAAAGGCUUGAUCCUUGACCAUAAGAGUAAGAGUCUUGUACUCUACAAACUAGGCUAGAUGUUUUUUGUUUUCAUAGAAAGACUGAUUAUUGAAAAUAACAUUAUAAAAGACAUUGUGAAUAUUCCUAAUAUUGUUGUUCCUUCUAGCUUCAAGAGAAAAGAUUAGUUCUUUUUCUAAAUGUUACUUUUUUAUGCUUUAUACAUGAAAUGUAUAUAUCUUAUUUGCAAGAUAUGACAUGAAUAUUUAUUGUUUGAUAAAUGAGUAUGUCUUUUUUGUACAUGUGUGUCUUCAAUUCUUUUGUAUAUAUUAUUGAUACAUGCUAGUUGUAUUAUAUUUUUUAUGGAGUGGGAGGUUUUAGGCUAAAAAGAAAUUUAAGUAAUUUCUUGGCCAAAAUUAGAAAUACUUGAAUAGAUUAUUUCUAAUUUGUAAUAAUUAAAAUUGUAUAUAGGAGUUGAUUGGGAACAUAGUGAACUUUCGUUUCUAUUGCAAUUUAAGGUUAUUACACAUUAGAAGAUGAUUAGAGCAGGUAAAAUCAUUAAUAUCCAAAAAAGUACCAAUUAAUAAGAUUGUGCAAUAUCUCUAAGUAGUUGAAUAUGUCAACUACAACUAGAAACAUCAUAGUAGAACUAAACAAGGAUGAGAAACUGAAUUGCGAUAACUACGAGGUUUGGUAUUGCAAAGUUCAAUAUAUCCUUGUCGAGCAAGAGACUCUUGAUACACUGAAUCAUAUCAUGUAAGAACCUAAAUAAGGAAACUUUGCUCAACAUAGAAAGAUCAAGAGGCUCAAAUGGCCUAGAAGAAAAAGAAUUUUUUAGCUCACAUUACAUUAUUAGACUAUAUGCAAGAUGAUCUCUUGAUUGAGUAUAAGGUUUACGAAACUUCUCAUGAAACGUGGCAAGCUCUAAAGGAAAAGUGUGGUGGACUUUCAAUUACUAAACUGAGAGAACUUGUAAUGAAAUUUGAAAAUUACAAGAUGCGACCAAACUAUACAAUGAAACAACAUCUCAGGGGGAUGAAAAGAAUGAUAAGAGAUCUUAAGACAUCUGGGCAUGUCUUCACUGAUAAGCAACAAGUUGAGGCAGUCAUCAAAUCUCUACCAAAGAGCUAGGAACAUUUGGCUAUGAACAUGACACAAAAUGAGAGUGUCAAGACUUUUGAUAAUACAGUUCGUCAUUUCGAAUUGGAAACCGAGUGACUUAUGGUUGCUAGGCCUAAUGAACAAACUCAUGUAAGUGAAUCCAAUUCUCACAAACUUCCGGCUUUAAGUGUGAUAGAAAAUUCUUUAAGAAGAAUAAGAAAUCUAAUGAGGCUUCAAAGAAAUGAAAGAUUAAGACACAUAAGAAGUUUAAGCGUGCCAAGAAGGAUAAAAACAAGUUGAAAUGUUAUAACUAUGGCAAUAAAGGUCACUUUACUCGUGAGUGUACUAAGUCAAAGUAGACUUAGUCCCCACUAACCGAAUAGCUAGAGGCCAAAGAGCAUAUGUAGAGUUUAGGUGAAUUAGUUUCGAUACAAGAUGAAUCUAUGUAGGGAACAACUCCAAAGUUGAGGUCAAGAGUAUUGGAACGUGUAAAUUGGAGUUGCGUAAAGAAUGGACCCUAUUCCUGCAUGAUGUUAUUUAAAUUCUGGAUAUUCGAUGGAAUUUGGUCUCUAUGUUAGUCCUUUUUGGUUUAGGUUUCAAUUUGAAUUUUCAUAAUUCAAUAAUGAAGUUGUAUUUGGGAACAACAUAAUAUGGUUUUGGAUUUAUUUUGAAUGGUUUUAUAGUUCUUGACAUUGAUAACUAUGUGUUGUCUAAUACUAAUGAUAGUUAUUAUUUGUUGAUGAGUACUUCUAGAAAUGCAUGUGAUAAUGUGAUCAUAUGGCAUGCUAGACUUAGGCAUAUUGGACAAGAAAGAAUAAAUAGACUAGCUAGAGAAAAUCUUUUUGGUCAAUUCACUAAAGAUUGAUAUGCCAACUUGUGAAUAUUGUCUAGCUGAUAAAACUGCAAGAAAACCAUUCGGAAAAGGAACUAGAACUAAAACACCAUUUCAAUUAAUUCGUUUUUGACAUUGGUGAUCCUAUGAGUGUUAGAGCAAGGUAUGGGGCCUUGUACUUCAUCACAUUUAUAGAUGACUUUAAUCGUUAUGGUCAUGUUUAUCUGAUUUCUCAUAAGUCAGAAACAUUAGAUUGUUUCAGUCGCUACAUUAAUUUAGUUGAGAAUCAGUUGGACAAAAGGAAUAAAACAUAAAGAACAGAUCUGGGUAAAGAAUAUCAAUUAGAACAAUUUAAAGAUUUAUGUGAUGAAAAGGGUAUUGGUACACAAUAGACUAUUCCAAGGACUCCACAACAAAAUGUUGUUGCUAAGAGGAAGAAUAGAAUGUUGUUACACAUGGUUAUGUCAAUGGUGGCUCAAGCAAAUCUUGUUAUUUCAUAUUGAGGAGACGCAUUGUUGACUACUUCUCAUGUACUUAACCAAGUACCCUCAAAGUUUGUUUCAUCUACUCUAUAUGAGUUUUGGAAUAACCGAAAGCCUGAUCCUAGCAAUUUGCGACCUUAGGGGUCGGUGGCUUAUGUUCACAAUCCUUCUCAUAAAUAUGGAAACUUAGGUCAUAGAGGAAGGAAAUGUGUCUUUAUAAGAUACAGUGAACACUCCAAAGGGUAUGUGUUCAUAGGUGAGCAUGAAGAUGGUAUAGUAACUGAAUUAGAAUCACGAGAUGUCAAGUUCUUAGAGGAUGAUUUCCCAUGUAUGGGUGAGAUUGAUAGAGAUUUACAUCUUUAUGAAAUGAUGGAUCCCGACAUAAGAUCCAUACCCGAACAACAAUUGAUGCUUCAAUCAAGUAAGAAUGAACUAGUACUCGUAGCAAGUACAGUAAGAUAGUCAAUGUGGAGAAAAAGUUCUUGAUAAAUUAUUUCUCUACAACGAUUUGAGAUUGAAGGGGAAGUUCAUAUUGUCACUCAAUAUGAUGAUGUUGAGCCUAAGUUGGUUCAAGAGACUCUUACUUGUCUAACUAAGGAUGAAUGGAGAAAAACAAUGGAAGAGGAAUUGGAGUCGAUGCAAAAGAAUCAAGUCUAGGGCUUGGUUGAUCUGCCUUCCGAUUGAAUAGCUAUUGGGAACAAAUGAGUUCUUAAAAUAAAAUGAAAGGCAAAUGGUUCCAUUGAAAAUUAUCAAGCUCGAUUAGUGACUAAAGGGCACACCCAACAAGAGGGUAUAUAGACUAAGGAAACCAUCUCUUCAAUAGUUAGGUUUGCCUUAAUUCAUCUCAUUCUAGCUAUAGUAGCUCAUAUGGAUUUAAAGCUACACCAAAUAGAUGCUAAGACAACUUUCCUUAAUGGAGAGUUGAAUGAAGAAAUCUAUAUGGAACAACUAGUGGAUUUCAUUAUCCAAGGCUAAGAGAACAAAGUGUGCAAGUUAAAUUGAUUGAUUUCUGGCCUUAAACAAUCAUCCAGGUAGUGAUACUUAAGAUUUCAUUGUGCAAUAACUUCAUAUGUUUUCACAAUGAUUGAUGAAGACCAUUGUGUUUAUAUUAACCAAAAUAAAGAUAAAUUUGUUAUUAUCUUUAUACAUGAAUGAUAUACUUAUAGCUGGAAAUGAUUUGGAGUUUGUUUAAACCAUUUAAAGAUGUUUGUCAUUUACUUCUGAGAUGAAAGAUAUGAGAGAAGCAUCUUAUAUUCUUGGAGUAAAGAUCCAUAGAGAUGGUUCUCAUAAACUAGUUGUUCUUUCACAAGAGCACUAUAUUAAGAAUAUCCUUGAAUGAUUUAAUAUGCAAGAUUGCAAUUCCAUUGACACUCUAUUUGCAAGAGGUGAAAACCUAAGUAAAUAAAUGGGUCCAAAGACUCCAAAAGAAAACAAAAAAACAUAACUAAUGUUCCCUACUCUAGUGCUAUUGGGAUUCUAGUGUAUGCUACGAUGUGUACAAGACUAUAUAUAUCUAUUAUGUUGUUAGGAUGGUGAGUCGUUGCAAGAAAAUCCUAGAAUGAUGCUUUGGAAAAUAGUAAAGAGAAUUCUUCGGCAUCUAAUAGGCAUGUGGACUAUUCCUUUUAUUAUCAAGGCAAAGAAUUGCGCUUGUGGAUUAUUCACAUAUUGCUUGGGUAGAUGAUAUAGAUGAGCACAAAUCAACAUCUAGAUACACAUUCUUGCUUAAUAAUGGUGUCAAAUUAUGGAAAAGUAAGAAACAAACUUGUAUAGCUUUGUCAACCAUGGAAGCUGAAUUUACUGUUUGUUCAGCUAUAAUAUAAGAAGUCGUAUUAUUGAAAAGUUUUUUUGCAAAGCUUGGGAAUAGUCAAAGAUAUUUUUAAGCCAAUGACAGUCUAAAGUGACAGUCAAUUUGUGACUAUUUAUGUAAUUGAUCUGAAAUAUCAUAGAAAAACUAAACAUCUAGAUACCAAGAAUAAUUUUAAAAGAGAUAUUAUUGUGUGAGGAGGAAAUGAUCCUGAAUAUUUACCUACAUGUGAAAUGGUUGUUGAUCCAUUCAUGAAAUCCAUUAUAAGAAACAUGUUUUCUAUACAUUUAAAGUCAUUAAUACUAUGUAGGUUAUGAUCUAUGUGGAUCAUAUGUCAUGGGUCAUUAUUGAUUGGAUAUAUGAUGCUUUAUAUAUGAUAAAAUAAUAUGAGUAUUUGUUAUUCAUAUAAUUGAAUAUGUAAUUGGUACUUACAUAUAUAUGUAUGUCAACAGGCUGAGCUUAACUCUCUCACAUGAGCAACCGGCCCAAUCAAUAUGUUUAUGAGUUGGGAUGAGACAAUAUAUUAAUGAUGAUGAAUGAGUGAAUAGUAUACAAAAGAUGUUGAGUGUCGCCUUGAUUAAGUAUCAAGAUGAGGUCUAUAAUAAAUGAAAUCUUGACCGAAUGUAAUCGCCCAUAAUUACAUUUGCCUGCUUGAACCGGACUUGAGUUUUAACAUAAAAGGUUUAAAGAGAACAAUAGAUGCAAAACUCAAAUGAGCUACUGGUGUGAAGCUCUUAGUUAAGGUUCAUAUCGUGGUAGUUUGACAUACACUCUCUAAGUGGAGAGAAACCACCAUAGCAUGUAUUUCAUACUACAUGUGUUUGAAUGUGACUAAUAAGGAAAGUGAGUGAUUAAUCCAUGCAUCCUCACUGUGUGAGAUCCUUAGGGUUUAUUACAAUUAUAAUAGCCCAUUAUUGUACUCUUUGUACUUUUGACUAUGUUUUAAGGUGACAAAUUAAUGUUGCUACUUUGGUAUGUUUUCGAUGGAAAUGAAAUAAUUUAUCCUUAUGGGACAUAUUGGGCAAACAAUUAAUUUGGAUCUAAAAGACAUGGGCUCAAAAAGAAGCCUUUUUUCUAGUUACAUUGAUAAAGAUGUGUUCAUGGUCAACCAGUUAUAUUACCUUUGUAGCCGAUAUAAUUAUAAAUACAUUUAUAAUGUUGGAUAGUAUACAACUUCGAAGGAUUAAGUGUAUACAUUAAAACGUAAUUAAAUAAGUCUAAGGUAUAGCAAGACAUGAUUAUUAUUAUUCACUCAUAAUUUUUUAGGGUUAAGCUACUAUGUAUCCUUAACAUGUGCAUAAGUUUAUAGCUCCCAAAUUGUAGGUGUGCUCUUAUGGUCACAUGACCCAUUUGCCUAUAUGAAUGACCUUAAAAAAUGGAAUAUAAUGGAUUUGGAUGAGUGAUGGGGCUAGUUCAGCCCAUCUUGUGCAAGUGGGAAAUGUUAGAGUUGGGUUUGGGUGCUCAAGUUGGCUAACCCAACCCAAUCCAAUAAAUGAGAAAAUGUGAGAGCAGUUUCUAGGAGUUUUAAAACUACCCCAAAAUUGCCACUAUUAAAAUAUUAAAAAAAAAGUUUUUUUUUCUCUUCUCUCUCUUUGUGAAAACUCUCUCGUUAAGAAUUCUCCCUCUCUGUGGAAAAUUAAAGAGAGAAAGAAUACGUUUUCUUUCUCUAUCUUCCUGAAAACAAAGGUGAAGAAACACGUUUUCUUCUUUCCCUAGAAAACAUAAGAAAGAAUAAUUUUUCUUCUGAAGAAACAAAAAAAAUCCUUUCUCUUAAAGUUAUUCCAGUUUUCUUCAUGAAAACGAAUGUCAAGGCUCUUGUAUUGUGAGACAAGAAUGAUUCUCAUAUUUGUAGUUCCAUUCAUGAAUUGAGGCAAGAAAAUUACUCAGUGAAACAACCAAUCUGGAUCUUGGGCAUUUCAGAAGGUAACUCUGAAACCUUAUUUUUCAUCAACUCUAAAUAAUCCUAAUAAGUAGCCAUCAUAAGAAGAUGGAGAGGCAUAUAAUAAAUGGCAUAAGGCGGGAUGAGAAUGUCAAGUGUCUUAUACUUAGGUCUUUGGACAAUUUGUUGCAACAACAACACAUGUAUCAUGCAACGACUUAUGAUAUUCUCUUUAGCUUGUAACACUAUAAGAUAAAAGGGCAAUAAUGAUGUUUUUUAGGCGUCAAUAAAUGUAUAAGAUGAUGCUUCUUGAAAGCGCCCUUGUCGCCCCUGUCAAGGAAUGGAUAUAGGCAACCUUGUCGCUUCUAGAAAGCGUCAUCUAUAAAAACACUUACAUUGACGCUUAUUCAAGUGUCAUCUUUCCAAAAGCAUGACAUUCUUUAAGUGCCAUUAUUUCCACCAAAUUUUCAAUGUUAACACUUACACUAGCGCCAAGGAAUGUCCAAAAUAUCAUUUGUCUAUUUUGAAACUCAAAAAAGUGUCAUCUUAUGUGGACAAUAAUACUGAAAAUCCCCCCAUUGAAAUGAUAUAUUUUGUAUGUCCUGUUAUAUAUAAUUUUGGCUGCAUGAUUUUUUAUAAAGUACAAAACAAUAACUUCAAUAUUAAUAACUAUAUCUUCCAAAAGAAAUUGAAUAAAUUUGGGAAUAAUAUCAUGAUAAAGAACUAAUGUCUACAUAGUUAAUUAAUACGUAAAUUUGUUAAUGUAUCAAAAUAUUUACAACAAGCAUAUUUUGCAACUUCAACAUAAAUCAAGUACACAUGUACCAAAAAACAAGGUCUCUAAAUUCCUUAUAAAAAAUAAUAUUACAAGAAGAAGAAGAAGAAGCCAAAAGUAUUUUUAACCAAAAGUAUUCCUAUUGGUUGCAUAUCCAUUCUUGAACUUGAUAUCUUUUACCUGUAUACAUUUAAAAAAAAAACAAUAGAAGAAACAAAUUAUGUUUAGUUAAUAUACAUGCAAUGAAAGUUAAAUUUAAAUCUAUAAAUGGUCCAUGAAAGAAGUGCAAAUGAGAAUAACUUGGUAUUUAAUGAGAUGUUAUGCUUCAAUGAAGAUGAAAAAUUGUUUAAUUUGAUACUUGUUUAUAAAAUAUUAAUAGACUUUUUAGUUUAUUAUUAAGUUAGAGGAAACAAGUUAGGCUUUCAAUGGUAUAAAUUCUACAAUAUGGAAUGUAAUAUAAUAUUUUCUUAUCUAUGUCUAACAUAUGAAACUCAUUUCUCAUAAAUAAAUAUAUAAAAAUACCAAUAGGUAUGGUUUAUAAUUAGUUUCGAUCAUAAAUCAUCAUAUCUAGUAAUAUAAGACAUCUAAUAUUAACCAUUUGCAAAUGUCUUAAUUUCUUCUUACAAUUUUCCUAUAUUACCAAAUUUAGUUUACUAAUAACAUUCCAUAAGGAAAAAAAGAGUAUUAAACUAAAAAUCAAUAGAGUAUAAGGAAAAAAAAUUAUGACAAAUAGAAUGAAGAAAGAGAAAUCUUUUUCCUAGAAAAUGCCAUGUCAAAUCAAAAUGAGACCAAGGAAGGAAGAUCAUCUCUCUCCACAUCCACUCUGCCCCUAUUUCUUUUACAUUUUUAGUUUCUUUGUAUUGAGAAAUUUUGGACUCCUAAUUUUCUCCAACAUUGUUUGGUUUGUAUUUAUGAUAGAAGGACCUCUAUCAUUUCGUGUAAAUAACUUUCCUGUCUAUCAUACUCCUUUUGUUUCUCAUAAAGGAAAAACUUGUUUCUCACCAAGGAAAAUGAAACACAUGUGGUUCAACUAUCUACUAAAAUCAAAUAUUGAUGGUUUUCUUAAUGAAUGGUUUAUUGAAUUUUUUUCAUACUUAACUUAGUAAUUAAUAAGUGGGUAUAGGAAAAGGAAUCACAUUCCCUUAGUUUAGAAGUUGGGAAAGCGUAUGGCAGCCUUAGUGGUGACAAUGGUGGUGGUAGAAAGGUGGUUGGAGAUUGAUUGUGUUGUGGGAAUAAGGGUAUGAUGUCAUUCUUGAAGAAAUAUGUACAACAGAAAAUUCAAUGAAAUCUAAAUUAUUACAUAUGGUAGCCUCCAUAACAAAGAGCUAAACUAUCAUAAGAAAAUGACCAUAAAUUUUAAUGAACUAAAGCCUAUACACAAUGGGUGGAACCAAUGAUCCAUAAAUAUGUGUUGAUUGUGGAUAUCUUUCCCUUGAACUAUAAGGAAACAAAGAGCUAAACUAUCACAAGAAAACCAUUAUGCCAAGGGAACAAAAAAGAAUGUGAAAUAUAAAUUAUCAUAUAGAAACUCGAUUCCAAUAUAUAUAUAUAUAUAUAUAUAUAUAUAUAUAUUAUCAUGCAUCAUCUGAUAGGUUGAAAAAUUGAGGCCUUGUGUUGAAUUUAGAAUAUAACUACCUUGCCCAGAUGAGUAAUGAAUUCAAAAUCAUCAACUAGUUGCUUCUUCAGUAUUGGAGAAAUUUGGAUGUUCACGAGCUUCUCCACUGGUAUGGCUCUUUUCUCCAAACAAUAAAGAAAACACAAACUUAGUUCAGGAAACCUCAAACUGCUUAUGGAAAACUUGGCCAAAUAAAUUCUAAUAAAGAGAAACUCAUCAACUAAGAAGCACUUUCAAGUCUUAUACAUGACAAGUUAGCAGAAAUGUACUUCGUUCCAUGCUGAGGGAUUGAACAGAAAGUUAGGCUACAAUGUGAAAUAAAGUCAAUGGAAACAACAAAGAGAUAUUUCUUGUAAGAUCAUUUUUCUCUAAAUGAAUUGAAAAGGCAAACUGUCUCAAGCCUGCUAAGGAUACUAUACUAGGUGGAAAAAAAAUAUCAUGAAUUAGGACAAUGGAACCGAAUAGAAUUAAAAAUCCCAUAUGGUAAAACAUCCACCAAAAGUAUCAUCCAUGUAGGAAAUGUUACUUUGCAUCUUAAGAGAACUACAUCUUUUUGCAUUUUCUUUAAAAGAUGAUCUCUCUCAUCUUGGAAGAUCUUCUAGUUACAAGCUAACAAAUGCUAAUACGUCUUAGGACUUUAGCCAAUUGCAUAUCUUUUAAAUCUGGGGCUAGGCUAAAAGUGUCCAUAGGUGGACCAAAUUAAAUCCAUUAAUAGAAAACCUCCUACACAUGCUAAGAUAAGCAAUCACCUAUCAACAAGAAGGAAGAAAAUAAAGGCAUAAAGUUCAAGACAUCAAAAUAUUGUAUAAUGCAAUUUUACAUGCUAUAACAUACCAUAAAAUCCUACAAACUUUUUGCCACUAGAACUAGGAUAAUGAUCACCAACAGUACACACCCAUAUAUACAAAUACAAAAACUCAAUCGUUCUAUAUUUGCUCCAGGCAAUGACAAUCCAAGAAUUUACCUUAGCAACAGAGUCAUUCUUCCACUUCUUACCUCUUGCAGUUGCACAUGUUUUCCAGAAUUAAUAGAUAAGAAGACCAAUACAAAGCAAAACACCCAGAUGAUUGCAAUCAACAACAAAAAUUAUUUUCAGAUAUAAAUAAGAUCAGACACAAUGGAAGUGGUUCACCAUGUCAAUAUGAAAGAAGGAUGACAAUGACUCUUUAAUAGAUAAAGUUGAGCAUAUUUAUUUUAAAAUUAUGGAGAAGACAUGAUUUAAUAAAUAGGAAGAUCAUCUUUACUUGAAUAAUGACUGAAGGCAUAAUUAUAAAUCUACUAAAUCUUAAUUGAUCAAUUACCACCCCCAAAACAACACUAAAAAUGGUGACAAAUGAGCAUCAUGUCAAAUUCAAAUCUAUUAAGGCAAUUUUUAAAGCAUGAGCUAACAACUUAUUUGAAUUUUGGUCUCCACAUUUUAGUUAGGGGGUCCCAACAAGAUGAAUAAAGAAUGAUAAAAAAAAAAAAUCGUAAACAUUCAUAGAUAAAAAUAAUCCAUAUAAUCAAUUCUAUUUUGCAAUAUCAAUCUCUAAUUCUCCUUUCUGCUAGUAACACCUUAAAAAACAAGCCCAUUAAGCUUUCUAGAAGAUAUGAUUCUUUUCCCAUACCAUGAAUUUUUUCUAUAACAAGCCAAAUUUGUUGAAGGAUGAAAAAAAGUACAACCUCCAAACUAAAAAGGAAAAUGAUAAAAAAAUAAACAGACUAAAAUAUAAAAGCCUAAGGGGUCAAAGAAGAGGUCAAGUAACAUUUCAAGGUGAAAUCAACCAUUUUGGUUAGAAUAUUUGCUUCUAAUUCAAACCCCAAGCUUUGAUUCCCUGAGCAAUAAUAGAUGAGUGAAUACAUAUUUCUUAAAAGCUUUAACCAUAACAGUCAGUCAGGAUAGAAUAGCAAAGAUUGUGUGACCACAUUUAUUUCUGGUUAUACUUCCGCUACCAAAUUGUCGUGUGUUCCCAAUGGUUUAGCAAUCAAAGAAAGCAUCAAAUGCCCAAUAUGGGCAAACAUCAAAAUCUUAGGGACAGUGGGAUUAAGAGUUUAAGGUAGUGAAUGGUUUGUUUUUUUUUUAACCACUAUAACUUUAGAGACAAUAUGGCUCUAUACAGGAGCAGAUGGUGGAUUGGUGGUGUAAGUAUAUCUAGGUUAAUCUUUGUUAUACUUCCGCUACCAAAUUGUCGUGUGUUCCCAAUGGUUUAGCAAUCAAAGAAAGCAUCAAAUGCCCGAUAUGGGCAAACAUCAAAAUCUUAGGGACAGUGGGAUUAAGAGUUUAAGGUAGUGAAUGGUUUGUUUUUUUUUUUAACCAUUAUAACUUUAGAGACAGUAUGACUCUAUACUGGAGCAGAUGGUGGACUGGUGGUGUAAGUAUAUCUAGGUUAAUCUUUGUUAAGUUUGGAUUUCAGAUCAUUUGUAGCUUGUGAUGGUUCUAAUUUUAUCUUCUUCAUUUUGUAUAAGAGAUAAGAAAUCCCAACUACGUGUGUGUACUUAACUCUUAUGCCAUUUAUUUAUCUUCAUGAUGUAUACUUAGUUCUUAUGCCAUUUAUUUAUUUAUAUUUUGAUUGGCAUAUCCCUUUUCCAUUUAUAGGAAUCUUUAAGAUAACCUCUUACUUAGGAGAAACUUUUUGUAUUUGAUUGAUUUAUACAUUGAUUUCUUCUUGCAACUUGUUAAACUGCCUCGAGUUCCAAUUGUUGACAAAAUAUUGAAGAAGUAUCUUGAUUACAGAAUAAAGAGGGAUGGCAUGUAAGUAUAUUUGCCAUGGCUCCUGCCAUUUUGAACUCUCUUCCAACUUCUAAAGGUGAUCAAACAAAGUUGCAAUGGUACUGCCCGAGGUUUGAUGGCAGUUAUUUUUGUUGUUUGGUUUGGUGUGUUAUUGAUGUAGUAAUAUCAGGAUAAUUUGUGGCGGAAUGUUUACUAUAGUAGGAGGUAGUUCUUGUAAUUUUCACACUAAUAUGGUUUGAAUAGACAAGCAUGCAUACCUGUUCAAUGACCAAUCUCAACUAUGUACUUAUUGCAUAAAUGAUUGUUAUGGCAAUACAAGCAGUCGCUCUAUAUAGAUGAGUAGUUCACAUGUGAAAUUUUUGAAAGCCAGUAGCUUAAGAUAUGUAGUUAUCAAAGACAAGUUCAAGAAUAUUGUAACUUCUGAAUUCAAAAAAAAAAAAAAAAAAAACCCACACACAAUCUUGACAAGAACAAAAAUAGUCAAAGAGAUGGGAAACCAGACAUCUAUUCAAAACCAGUAAUAGACUUACAUUCUCAAGUCCCAAUGAGCCACAUAUAUAAGCAACACCCCAUACAAAUAAAACAAUUGCUUCCACCUGCACCAAAAGUGCAUUGUGUGCCUGACAGAACCAACAACAACAAAGUCAAAUAAGCUGCAAUGUGAAAUACAUAAAAUAAAAUACCACAAUUAAAAUUGCAAAAAAUGAAGUUAACUAAAAUCAACAUAUAAAUAAUAAAAAAAAAAAUAAAGGAUGUUAAUUUACUUCAUCCUUUAAAACUAUGAUAAUCAGAUGAGUAACUGAGCAGAGGCAGUGUUGGUGACAAAAAAAAAACUGCUAAAUCACAUCCCCUUUAUGCUGUUAUGAUGUGUUUGAAUUUUGGGUCCUCAUCAUUUUGUUCCUUCUCAAUCAUGUACUUUUGUUUCUUCUUUGUAAACUCAAACUGGUUGGAUAUAUACUAGGAUCUUCUCACAUUUUUUACAACAUUCAAGUAAUUUUAUGUGAUAAUUAAACUCAUUUAUGUUUUUUUUAAGAUUUAUUUUUUUAUUUUUCUUUUGUUUGUAUGAAACACUUGGAAAUGUUUGAAAAAAAAAAUUCUAAAGUUUGUGGGCCUACUUUUCAAGAGUAGUUAAAUAGAUAUGACAUAUCAAAAUAUCUGGAAGAAAUUAAAAACUCAUCAUUUUAUUUGACAAAAUAUAAGUAAUGAAGAAAAUUAGAAUGAGAAAUGAUUCAAACCAUGAAUGAAUUUUUGAAGGAAAAAGCGUUCAAUAAACACAACGAUAUAUUUUAGGUAUUAUAUAUAUAUAUAUAUAUAUAUAUAUAUAUAUAUAUAUAUAUAUAUAUAUAUAUUAAUCAAAAUUGAUUGAGAAACUUUUGUGGUCUUGAUUAACACUUGUGAAAAACCAAAAAAAAAAAAAAAUACAUCUCUGUAAAGAAGGGAUUCACUCACAAAAAGACCACUUUUCCAUGGACCUAAACCAAAUCACAACAAAAUUAGUUUAAUGAUUUUAUGUAUAUAAUAAUAACAACAAGAUCACUUUCAUUUCACACAUGCUAGUAACUUGAAAAUAAACCAAUUCACUUAAGACCCAUGUGUAGGAAAUCAAAAUAAUAUAAAUUAUACCUAGAUAGAGCACUAAAAAAAUUGAUUUUUUUUAAUAUUUGUAUUUUUUUUCAUUGGUUUCUCAUUUGUGCUUGCUUUUCUAAUUUUUAUUUUUUACAUUAUGUGGUGGAUGUAGGGAAAUACGCAAAACUGAAAAAUAACCCAGAUAAUGAUGCCUGUAUAAAUGUUGUUUAAUUUUCUUGUGUAAGAGGAAUUCGGUUCUGGGAAGAUUUGUGGUGGGGGGACCAACCUUUGGGAACCCAAUAUCCAAGACUAUUUAGAGUAGUCGUGGAUAAAAACAUUUCUAUUUCUUCAAUUCUCGGUCCCACUCGUCCUUUCUCUUGGAAUUUGAAUUUCCGUCGUAACCUGUCAGAUUCUGAGAUUAAGGACUUAGAAGGCCUCAUGCGGUCACUUGAUGAAUUGUAUCUAUCUCAUACGGUCCUAGAUGCCAGAUUCUGGGCAUUAUCCUCUUCAGGGCUUUUUUCAGUCAAAUCCUUUUUUCUAGCAUUAUCUCAAUCUUCUGGAUCUCCUCAGGACUUUCCUUCAAAGUUCGUUUGGAAUUCUCAAGUUCUUUUCAAAGUGAAGUCCUUUGUCUGGUUAGUGGCACACAAAAAGGUGAAUACUAAUGACAUGUUACAAGUGAGAAGACCCUACAAAGCCCUUAGUCCUAAUAUUUGUAUUAUGUGCAUGAAGCAUGGGGAAUCAGCAGAUCAUCUUUUUCUUCAUUGUUCCUUGACGAUUGGGUUGUGGCACAGGUUAUUUCAGUUAGCUAAGAUGGAUUGAGUUCCCCCAAGGAGCAUAUAUGACAUGAUGUCCAUCAAAUUUAAAGGCUUUGGUAAUUCUAAGAGAGGGAUAGUUUUGUGACAAGCUACGAGUAUCGCUCUAAUUCGGGUUGUGUGGUGGGAAAAAAACACAAGGAUUUUCGAGGAUAAAACAAGGAAUUCAGAGUUCCUUUAGGACUCUAUUGUUUUCCUUGCUUCCCUUUGGGCUUUUUGUUCCAAGGCAUUUAAGGGGACUCCUCUUAAUGUGAUUCAACUGGAUUGGAUAGCGGUGUGUACUCCAUAAGGAUUGGUCCUUAGAGGGAGUUCGUUUGUUUUAUGUGUAUUUUCCUGUAAUUUAGUUGUCUUUGGUGGGAGGAUUUCUCAUCCUUCUUCUUGUACUUCUUUUUUCUAUCAAUAUAUCUUUGUGUUGUUUCCAAUAAAAAAAAGAGGAUUAUCCAGAACAAUAAGAAUAUGGGUAGUGGGUAGUGGGAUGUGGGAGGACAACUAAUCUCUUUGCGUUUAUGUGAAAACAAUAUGUUAGAAGCACAUGCAACCUUAGUUUGUUCUAGUCCAAAACACCCUUGUUCAUUUGUUUUUCCUCUUCUGUUUUUAUUUUUGUUUGCCUCUUCCCCAUGUAGUUGUUUAAUCUACUAAAAACAUUGAGUUUUAACACACAUAGUCAAUAAGAAACACAAUCAUCCCAAAAAUCAUAAGAACACAAAAAAGCCCUAAAAUAAAAUAUGAAAACAGAGCACAUUGAGAGAAGAGGACUUACCACUCAUAGAUAUGGGAAUGCAAUGGUAUACAUCAAUGACACUAGUUCAUAGUGGAAAUUUUCCAAUGGUGACCACUUGUGAAAUUAUUGAAGUCAGGUAAGGCUACUCCAAAGGGUUAGGGCAUUUUAGUGGUGGGAUUUGUAAAUAAGGAAUGGGUUAUGGCUUCUUAGUGCUGGAUUUCACCCUUGCAAAAAGGGUUUCAUAGUACGGAAAGGGUUUCUCCCAACUUGCGACAUCGACAAUUGACAUGUAGGGACCAGAUUCUCUAGAACGAUAUGCUAUGAGUCUUUGGAAGCUUGUCGUUCAAUCAUUAUUGUUCCUUUAGGUAUGAGAUUCGAGCUUCAUUUUUCGGGUUUUUCGAGAUAUGAAAUAGAGGGAAUGUUUGGCGGUAACAUAUUGCAGAGAGAAAAAAUUCUAGAGAUAGCCAUAUAUUUAUAGGUAAAAUUCAAUGGCACUUAAAGAAGUGCCGAGGAAAAAUAAUACUAGUUAACAAAACGAUGAUACUUCCAAUAAGCGUCAUUGUAUACAAGGUAAAAGAGAAAAUAGUAUAUCAAACAAUGAUGCUUCCAAUAAGUGUCAUUGUGUACCAUGCUAAAGGGAUAAUAGUAUGUCAAACAAUGACACUUUUAAUAAGCGCCAUAAAAUAAAGCAUAUUAUAUCAAAUAAUGACGUUUUUUAAAAGUAUCAAGGAAUGAAGCCGUCAUUAUUUUAAAAUUUUGUAGUAGUGUAAGAGAUGUUUGGUAAUAAGGAUUGUUCUAAUAGACAAGCUGCCCUAAGGACUAUCAUGAACACCAAAAUGAUAGAGUGAACUCCCAUAAGAGAUUAUAUGUUAUGUAUAAUUACACUCUUAUAGAGUGAAGAUAUUUAGAUUUGGCAUUGUAGGGGAAACUAAGGUUAAUAUGAUCUUAGAGACCUUAUUAGAUUCCCUUAGGUAGUUCAAAAUCAACUAUUUUGUGAAUAAGAUGUUAAUGAACUUGUUAGAACUUAUGAGGGAACUCUCAAGGAUUAAAAGGGUGUUCAUAUGACAAUCAAUUAAAGGUUCUUCAGGUUCUUCAACUAAGAAGAAGAAGAAUAAGAGUAGAAGUACCAAAUAAAAGGGAAAGUUCAAGGUUUGGGAAAAAAAAGUAAAGGAAAGGGCACAUACUUUGUUUAUGGAAAGAAAAGCCACUGAAAAAAAAAAAGGAGGGUCCUAAAUAAUAGAAGAAAAAACAAAGUAUGCAUCAUAUUCUCAACUGAAUCAUGUUUAGUGAUGAAUUUUCCCAACUUUUGGUAGGAUUUUGAGGUUAAUGACUAUAUUUGUAAUUCUUUAUAAGGGUUUCAAAUAAAGAGAAGUUUGAAUGAUGUGAAUAUGUAUCUGACUCUAGCUUCUAAUGUAAGGAUAGUUGUGCAAGUAAUGAAAUAUGUUACCCUUCUUUUAAAGAAGAAAUGCCUUUUAUACUCAAAGAUUAUCUUUAUAUUCCUAACUAUAGAAAUAAUUUGAUUUCACUUUCUAGUUUAAAUAAAUCUGACUUUUAAUAAAGAAUUUAUUAGAAAGAAUGUUGUAUUGUGAAUAAUGACACUGGCAUGAGAAGAAAUAGUACAUCAUCAACUUUAGCACUAGAUUACAAUUGAGAUCAUGCACAACAAAAGUUCAUUACAACUAAAAAAAAGAUCCUAUAAUUAAAGUUGUUUUUUUCUUGAUCAUAAGAAUGAACGUGAGUACAUUUUUAAUAUGGCUAUAUUUUAACAUGCAAGAAAAUCUAGAUGUGGAUAUAUCCAUGAUUUUACUUGGUUGGCUAAUAAAACUUCAAGGUCCUUCGCAAAUUAAAAGAAUUUAAUUUGUAUUUAUACCUUAUUUUUCGCGAAUGCAUUCCUAAUUGUUUAGAUAAGGGUUUAAAUUUCAUUAUCUUUAUUUGAAUAUUAUGAACAUACUAGUUAAUUUAUUGGUCCUUUCUAGAAUAGCAUAAUUUACUUGAUGAGCAUAGAAAAGAAGUUAUAAUAUACUCAUUAUGUGAACAUCAAUAGUGAUAUUUUGGUUGUUCACUUAUGAUCCCUGCUUUUCUCUACUUGUAAGUUGAGACUUAUAUAUAAGAAUAGCUCAUCCAAUGUGUUUCUAAAUACUCACACUCAAAUGAGGACUUAUUUUUAUUGUCUUUAGAAAUUUCUACCUAAAAGUGGUCAUAAAAUGCAAGGUUUCAAUUUUAUAAAUAUUUGCAUAAUAAUGAUCAUAUUACAAACGAUCAAUAAAAGUUAGUUUCAUGUUGGAAAUCAUAUAUUAGCAAAAUAUAAAAAAUACUUAAAUCAUCUUUCCAAAAUAUUCAAAUAAUAAGGUGACUGAAGAAUUUAAAUAUACUUAUAAUUCACAUAAACAUGUACACAUCCAUUACUUGUGAAUUAAAGAAUGAAUUCCAUAUAGGUUUUAAUCAAGCAAAAUCAAUACCAUAAUUUUGUCUUUAACUCGUUGUAAUAGACAAGGACAUAUGCCUCUCUCAAAACAUUUGAAAUGAAAAAUUUGAAAUCACAAUGUUUUUCUUCUUUUGAAUUUGAUUGCUUGUUCUUAAUUUGACAUUCUCUUUCCCUUUGAGAUUAAAAAAAAAAAAAAAAACAAACAAACAAACGGAGUAACAAAUUAAAAAGAGUGUCAAUUCAACUCAAUUAGAGUCUAUUCAAAAUUGGAAAUUUCCUUGUAACAACUAACUAGCUUGAAUGAAUAAGGAUGUAUGGGUUGAUCAAUCAAGCUUUGGGCCUUUGAAUAAUCAUAUCAAAUUUUCACUUUCAAUUGCUUGAGACAUUCCACCUGGAUAUCAAUCAAACCCAAGGUUAAGACAUUAAAUUAUGUAAUUUUCUAUAAUAAGCUAGUUUCAAAAAAUGUUUAAUGCUUCAAAAGUAAUAACUUAUGAAAUAAAGAAUCAAUCGCAACAUAAGCUUUAGUUAACAAAUGCAAUGCCAUAAUUUUAUAUUUUUGCUCAUUUGAAAUACGUAGGAACCCAGGGUUAUCAAUCAAACCCAAGUUUAAGAAAUUAAAUUAUGUAAUUUUCUAUAAUAAGCUAGUUUCACAAAAUGUUUAAUGCUUCAAAAGUAAUAACUUAUGGAAUAAAGAAUCAAUCCCAACAUAAGCUUUAGUUAACAAAUGCAAUGCCAUAAUUUUAUAUUUUUGCUCAUUUGAAAUACAUAGGAACAAAUACCAACAUGCAUCUUAAAGUAAUCCAAAACAAAAUACUUGAAAUUGAAAUAUUAUUUCCCAUCUUAAAGGAGAUUCUAUCUCUUUACACCAAGAAUUAUGUAUAGAGCAAAAGUGUGAGUUUAAAUUGGCAUCACUUUAAUCAAAAUCUCAAAUUGGGUUGAAGUAUUUGACUUGCCUUGAUUAAUAAGGGCAUCCGCAUCCAUGGCUUAACCAAUAGGGGUUGGGCAUUUGACAUUAUGUAUUUAGCAGCUUGGAAUAUCCCAUCAAAGCUUGAUGUGUACUAACUUUUCCAACAAAAUGUUUAAUCUGCAAAAAAAUUAACAACAAUCAAGCUUGUCCUAGAGAUGCCGAAAAACGAGUCCCAAUAAAAAUGGGUUUUGAAAAACAAAAAUUCAGUAAAAGGAAUUUCAGCCCCUUGGAAUCAGCAAGGCAUAUAUAAUAGAAACUAAGAAAAGGAGGGUGGCUUAAUUACCAAAAAGUUGAGAUAAAUGUUUGGUCAACAUCAACAAUUCUCUUACUUGAAAUUAGUGUCUUGUACAGCAUAUCCAAUGAACAAAUUUGCAAAGAAGCUCCAGCCAUCUGUGCAUAUGGUCCAUUUCAUGGUCUUGGGCAUCAACACCAUUACCAUCAAUAUGCAGGGUGGUGCCAUCACAGCUUCUCUCCACAUCAGUAUUAGUAUCUUCUACUGCUGAACUGGUGUCACAGCUUACUUCUACGUUGUACAAUUGUUAGAUUGUUCUGUUCAUAAUCGUGGGCAUAUAGAAAGUGGAAGCCACACCUCGCCGCUUUCACUGGUUUAAUACCGAAGUAGACAUUAAAUGAAGCGUUCAAGGUUCUCCAUUCAUUUGAGUGAUAUCUCUUGGGAAUACAUGACUUCGGAUAAUAUACGAAGCACCCUUGACUUGAUGCAUCUUCAUCAUAGCAGAAUUCACAAAAUUGAUCAAAGUGAUAGGAAAAAUAUGCAGAGUCAUAAUCGAAAUUCAAGUUACAGUUGAAAAUCCUAUGUGUUGUGGUCUCAAUCUCAAGUGGAACAUAAAGAGAGCACAGAACAAAGCCCAAGAAGUCAUCAUUUUCAUACCAACUCCAAGGAAGUUUCAUUGUUAUUUUGAACCCGCUUUUCUGAUGGCAUAUCCACUCCGGAAUCCCAUUUCUUUCAGCAAUAAAAGUUAUGAAAGAUCUUCUAAAUUCACGCUGCUGCACAAAAAUUACCCUCUGAAUUUUGCGUCCCCAUGAAAAGAAAGGUUAAAUGAUAUAUGAAAACCAUACCUGAAUUUGGGAUUUAAAACAUUUGAAUAAAGAAGACCAGAGUAGAUUUGAUUGACUGGAUAAAUUUUCCAGGGAUGUGCAGUGAUGGGCAUCUAGACACCUUAAACCUGAUGGAAGUUCUGGAAUAUGUUGAAGCAUCUUGCAGUGACCCAAGUCAAGAUGUUCUAGGUUAUAAAGUUGACUGAUCCCAUCAGGUAUGCGACUAAAGUGGUUCCCCCUCAGAGAUAAUGUUACCAGUGAUGAUAGGUAAUAAAUUUCACUGGGAAAUUCCCUUAGAUUGCAGCCUUUAAGCCUUAAUGUCCUCAAGGAGCAUAAACCGGACAAAGACGGCAAUUGAAAAUUCAUUGAAUCUAAAUGCCCAACACUAAGAUGAAGUAAAGAUUGUAGUCUCCCCAAGUUGUCUGGCAAUUUCUUGAAGUUUGGACAGCUUUCGACAACCAGAGUUUUAAAAGAUGUCAAAUUACAAAUACUCUCGGGAAGAUUCACAAGGUUUUUGCAGUUUCUCAGAAGCAAAUAUUGAAGCCCUCUUAGACGUUCAAUUGAUGAUGGUAUCUCUUUUAUGGCGGUUCCAUUUAAAUAAAGCUUUCUCAAGCUCUCCAUAUCUUGCAGGAUUUCUGGAAAGCUCUCUAGUUGUGAACAGCCAGAGCAGGAGAGAGUUGCAAGGGAUUUGAAACCAAAAAUGCUACUGGGCAGACUCGUAAGAUUUCUGCAAUCCCGCAGACAUAAACUAUCAAGUUCCGAGGGAUUCUUGAUAAUGGGUACUUCAUUCAUAUCACUGCCCUUAAAACAGCACUUCCGCCGAAGCGUCCCAUCCCGUUGGCAUGCCCUGCAUAUUCUAAUAUCUGCAUCCUCAUGGCUUUGUUGAAGGUCUUGGGAGUAUAUAAGGCGGACUCCACACUCCUUUACUUUCAAGACUUUCUCAGAAUUAACGUAAAAGUCGAAAAAGACAAACCUAAGGCGAGUCCAUUGAUCAGAGCAAAACCUUUCCGGAAUGGCUGCCUUGGGAUAGCAAAUCACCCACGUCUGACCUGAUACACUCUCAUUAUCUUCGUCCUUCUCUUCUUUAUAGCAAAAACAAUUGGAUUGAAACAAGGAACGAUCUACCAAUUCAACUCCAUCACCAAUGAUAACCAAAUCACACUGCAGACAACAAGAAUGUCUAUGUUUAUGUUCAUUCUUACGAAAAGAUUCAGCCACAGAUUUAUGGUCUGUUUCAUUCUCCCUUGUAUGAGCAGAUUCAUCCUCAGAUUUAUUGUCUGAUUCAAUCUUGGACCCGUGAGCAGAUUCUUUUUCGGGUAUGUCCUCAGAUUCGUAAGCAAGUGGAACAUAAACACAGCAUAUAGCAAAUCCCAAAAACUCAUUAUUUUGGUGCCAAUUCUGAGGGAGCUCUGUUCUUGUAAAAUGUCUAUUUGUCCGACCCAUAAUCCAUUCUGGAAUUCCAUCACUUCCGGGAAGAAAAAUGCAAGUUCCCUUGCCAUGGUAGGAAGAAUCACUAAAACUAGUGAGUUGCGAAUCCUGCACCAAAGCACCAUGUAAAUAUAGAGUCCGCAUAUAACCAGUGUGUGACAUGAAAAUCAUACCUGUGCCCAACUGAAACAAUUGACCAGAGAAUGCAAUGGCAAAAACGGGGCUCUUGAUGAAGUGUGAUUUGAACCAUGUGCAUCUAAAAGCUGUAGACGUGAUGGAAGCUCUGGAAUUUGUUCAAGAUUGUUGCAGUGACUAAGGUUAAGGGCUUUCAGCCUGGAAAGCUGAUUGAUGGUAGGAGGUAUGCUACUAAAAUGGCCCCCUUCCAGAUUUAGUUUCUGUAAUGAUGAUAAAUAGCAAAUAUGACUAGGGAUUUGGUGGAGCUUUGAACACUCUUGAAGUAGGAGAGUUUGAAGACCCUUAGCUUUCUCAUAUUGGCCAUGAUUUCUGGAAAUCUCUCUAGCUUUGAACAGCCAUUGCAAGACAAAGUUUGAAGGUGUUUCAACUUGUAAAUGCCUCCUGGAAGAAGCUCCAGGUUUACACACCCUGCCAGAUUCAAGGGAAAAAGAAAAACCAAGUUAGUUUUAGUAAUUAUAAUACUACUGCACCAAACUUUUAAGUACCGUUGUACAACCUUUUAGAGUUAGAAUCUCCAAGUUUGGCACACUUGAGAAGUCUGGGAUUCUUAUGAGAUGGACAGAGUGACUGAGAUCAAUAACCCUCAACUUGUCAUGAAGCUGUAACAAAAUAAUUUUUUUCAAUAGAUAAAUUUACAAGUUAAAAAUGAAUAUAAAAUUAAAUUGUAACUAAAUAAUAAUAACAAUACCUUAUUGCCCCUCCAAACUUGCUUUAUAUUGCUGUCCCUUAAUGAGAGUUCAACAAGGUUCUUUCCAUGAAAAUUCAUUGGCAAAGAUUCUAAAGGGUAUCCAUCCCAAUGCAGAUAUCUUAACUCAUAAGAAGAGAAUUCAAAGUCCCUUGGAAGGUGGUUUUCAAGAAAUAGCUUUCUACGCGGGUUAUGGAUUUUGAGCAAUCUAAGUCUAUUCAUCUCUUUGAAAGAUUCUGUAGUAAGCUGUAAUGGAUUAAAUUUACAUCCAUCUAAGAAUAGUCCUUCAAUUGCUCGUGUCCCCUGAAAAAUAUAAGACGAGUAGGUGAAACAAAAGAUGCAUUAGACUUAAUUGAGUUAUACACACGACUAAUUUCUGAAAAAAUAAUAAUAGUAUUGAAGCUUGCAUACACACGUAUAAACAAGUUUAUGCAUUUGACUCUUACUAUAUUUCUUAUUAGCACAUGAUAGGCAUCAUAAUCCCACAAUCUACUCCUUCUUCCAGGGUCUUCAGGGCAUUCUUGACGAAUAAUCUCCCAACCCAUUUGUUGUAUUAAAUCAUGCAUAUCUAGCAUGUUUUUUGAAACAGUUAUGAGACAUCUAUCAUCUAGAGUUGUUAUUGCGUGCUUUGCAUGAGGGCCCAAUAUUCUUGAAACAAAAUCUGUAUUAUAUCCUUUGAAAAAGCAUGCAACAUCCAAAAAUAUCCCCUUGUCUAUAUCAUCGAGUCCAUCAAAGCUUAUUCUAAGUACAUUGUGAAUUUCCAUGUGGGGCAUUAUUUUUAGCUUACACAGUGCACUUUCCCAAUUACUUAUUUUCUUUCCAAAAAGAGAAGCACCUAAAACUUUAAGUGCUAACGGAAGGCCAUUAGCAUAAUCUAUGAUAUUGUAUGAGAGGUUUUUAUAAACUUCUUGGGGACGAUUUUGUUUAAAGGCCCACAAACUAAAGAGCUCAAUAGCUUCUUCCUUGUUUAAUUCUGAAACCUCAUAUGGUACAUCCGCUCCAUAUUGAGCAAGCACGUGUUUGUCUCUAGAUGUAAUGAUGAUUGUACUUUUUGCAUGAAACCAAUCUUUCUCUUCAGCCAAAUAUUCUAGUUGUUUCAACUCAUCCACAUCAUCAAAAAUAACAAGAACUCUAUUGGAGCUUAGACACCUCUUUAUCAUACUAAUUCCUUCAUCAACAUUGUUUAUUUUAAAAAAAUUUCCCCUUAGGAUACCAUGAAGAAGUUCUUGCUGUAACUAAAGUAUAUUAUCACCUUUGGAUCUCUCUUUGAUAUUUAUAAGAAAGCUACUACCAUCAUAUUGAGGUGAGAUCUCAUUAUAAAUAGCCUUGGCGAUAGUAGUCUUCCCAGCCCCACCAAUUCCAUAUAUCCCUACGACGCUAACCAUAUUUAACUCAGUGUUCAUCAACGAUUUCAAUUUUUCCAAAUGAACACCAAUUCCAACUAUGUUCUUUCCCACACUUAAAGGUAGAUGGUUUAAUCUUCUAAUGAUUGUAUCAACAAUUUCCUUGAUAACCUCAGUCUCAUACCUGCCAAUCAUAUAAAUUAAGUAAAAUGAUGAGUUAGAAUGAGUUGCAAAAUAUAAUAAAUUUAAAAAAAAUUUAGUCGUGUAUGGCCGUGUCCAAUAUUAUUGAAUUAGUAGCAAUGGAAUGAAAAAGAAAGGGGUCAAGCCAAUUUACUUACAUAUUUAAGCUUCAAAUUUGUAAGUAUCAAACUACUAAUGUGCCAAGUUGCAAAUUUUCAAUACUCUUACUGUUAGAGCAUUGUGUAGGACUCCUCUAUGAACAAGCUAAUGCCUUCUUUCAACUUUUAUUUCACAAACAACUUGCUUAUGAUUCCUCAAUUUCACUUGUCUUUAGGUUUUAUUAACUUACCAAUACUUACCAAUGUUGCAAAGACUCUGUUUUUAGCCUGCCAAUUAAUUUUGCAUUUUCAUAGAGGAAUCAGGAAACGAGUGAAUGUGGAGAAUUUCAUGAUUUGCUUGUUGAUUGGGAACUUAAAUAUGAUUUGCUUUUGAGAAAAUUAUAAAAGGGUUAAAUUUUGAUACUUGUAUUUUUGGACCAACACAAGGGAAAAAUGAAAGUUAGAUUUUGUUAACAAUUUCAUACUUACUGGUCAUUCACAUGGCAUCCAGAUAGAUUAGCUGCUUCUCUCAAUGCAAUCCUCCACUUUUGUAUCAUCUCCAUCUUUUCUUGAUUUGCAUCUCUUUCAUGGUAGGCAAGUGCGUCUCCGAAACUUCCCCUUUGGUUUCGUACAUCAGAUGGAUCCACAUGGUAGAAAAUUGGUAGAACCACUGAUUCCUUUUGGCUCUUGCGUUCAAUGAUCUUUACGAGUUCAUUUAAACACCAUCUGGAGUAAGCAUAAUUUUUUGAGAAAAUAAUAAUAAAAAUCCUCGAUUCUUCGAUAGCUCUGAAGAGAUCAGAUGCAAUAUCUCCUCCUUUCUCAAGUUCCUCAUCAUCUCUGAAAGUUUGAAUUCCAGAUGCAGUCAAUGUGGUAUAUAGAUGAUCAGUGAAAUUUCUGCGAGUAUCGCCACCUCUAAAACUCAAGAACACAUCAUAAUUACGAGAAAUAGAAGUAGUCGAGGAAGAGGCUCUAUGGGUGCUGGAAGAAGCCAUUUUUGGAUGGCUUGAACCAAAAUUACAAGGGAGUUUGGAGGGUCCUUGGAUGCUCAAUGACUAUUGGCUUCAGACCUCUUCACCAUGAACAAAAAUCCAAGCUGGGAGGGAGGUUCAGCUGAAAAGUUUCAUCUGCAGUCGUAAAAGAAAAGAAAAACGUAUAUAAAGCCCUCUUUGAGAAAUUUCUUUGUAUAUAAAUUCUAAGAGAAACUCACACAUAUUUUACCUUUUGGUUGGGGAAGAUCCUUUCUCCAUUCCCUUUGUGUUGGAGACUGCAGUUAAGGGAUGUAGAGAAGAUGGCGGGGAAGACGGUGUGCAGGAUAGACAGGGGUUGAAGAAGAGGCGGUGGGUAGCAGAGGUCUCGUUGACUAGUGGAUGGAAUUCUAAUCUUUUUUUUUUUUUUUUUUUACCACUUACCUCCAACGGCACUGUAGAAUUUUCCAUAAUAUGAAUAUAUAUAUAAAAGAGAAUCUUAGUUGUACAACUUGAUCCUUAUUUAGUCUAUAUUAGUUCCUUUUCUAUGUAAUAUUUAUUUUGAUAUUUUAUAACUUGAAUUUAUAGAAUAUCUUUUGUUCAAUAAUUUUUUGUUUUAAUUUUUAUGAAAAAUAUCAAUUUUUAUAAAUAUAUCAAUGAAUCAAUUUUACGAAUAUAUUGAGAUAUAUCAAAAAAUAUUGAUGGAUAUUCUGAAAUAAAAUAUGAAUAAGACAAAAAUUAUUCAAAAUUUAUAAAAAUAUUUAAAACAAUUAUAAAAAAUGCAUAUAAGAAGUGACAAUAAAUACAUUGAUGUUGUUUUGUUAAAGAAAUGAAUAUAAGUAUGAUAUAAUUUAUAGCAUUCAAUAAUAAUAUUUAGAAUUUAAAAGUAAAUUUUAUAUAAAUGUAUCUAAUUUGAAUGUUUUUAAUAACAUAAAAGACAUGAUGAUAAAAAUAUUAAUAUUUUUUAUUUUGAAAUAUUAAUAAUUUUAUUUAUAAAUAAAAAUAUAUAUAUUAAUUUAUGCACAUGAAACAUUAUAUAUAUAUAUAUAUAUAUAUAUAUAUAAAAGAGAAUCUUAAUGUAAUGUACAUAAAUAAAUAUUAUAUAUAUAAGUUAUACAUAACGUUAUAAUAUUAACAAAGUUAGCUUGGUGGCGUGGUGCUCACUCUAUGCCUGAGGUCAUGGUUUCUCAAACCCAUCCUUCCACAAUGAUUUAAAUCCCUUUUUAAAGGUAAGAGGUGGGAUCCCACAUCGGUCAGCCACAACACUUAAAAACCUGCUCAUAGACCCUUUGGCAGGUAGCAAUGUUUGAAUGCGUGUGGUUGGCUGGGCCGACGUACACGUAAAAUCUUCCAAAAGGGCAAUUUAUCUCUUUGCCGAGAUAUCCACCUACCGCGCCCUCGUUUGGUGUAGGUAUAAUUUUACUGAAAAAUAUCGAUAAAGAAGAAUAUAUUGAUAUUAAUAAUUUAUUAUUUGUGUUAUUAAAUUAAUUUAUUUUAUAAAAUAUUAUAAUUUUAUUGUUUUUUAUUUUUUAUUUUAGUAAUUUUUGAAUAAACUUAUACUUCUAAUAUUUUAAAAUAAAAUUAUUUAAAAUUAAAUAGAAUUAAAAGGAUAAAUAUAUAAAAUUUAAAAGUAAAGUGAUAAUAAUUUUUUAAAAUAUAAUUAAUGAAAUAAAUGAUGAUAUAUUUAAUAUUAAAAUUAUAAUUUAUUUAAUUUAAAUAAAUUUAAUAAUGUAAAAUAAAUAUUGAUGUAUAUAUGAUUUUUUUAAUAUUCAUAUUUUUUAUAUUUAAUUAUCAUUAUUAAGAAAAUUAUAGAAAUGGUUUUUUUACUUUUAUUAAUUAAUUAAAAAAAUUUAAAUAAAAUAAUUAGAAUUAAUUGAUUUAUUCUUUUAAUAAUAAACUUUAAGAUAUUUAUUGUGAGUAUAUAUUAAGUAACAUAAAUUUAGCCCAGUGGUAGCUGUGCUCAUAUCCAAGCCUUUUGCUUGGGUUGGAAUCCCUUUGGCACAGGUGUUGGUAGAAAAAUUUCCUCCAUUUCGGGGAAAAACUCACCUUUUGGUGUGAAAUACUUUCAUUUAUGUAUAUAUGAUAUUGUUCUAUAUAAAAUAUUCAAGAAAAGUUUUUUGUUUCUUGUUUUCCUUACUUUUCCAACUAUUUAAUUCUUUUUAAAUACACCUUUGAGCCACUUCAAGGCAACAAUAAUCCAUGUAAUUAUUUUUAUUUUUUGUUUUUAUAAUAUGUGUAUGGCAUAGAUAAUGAAAUUUACAUCGAAAAAAGCAAUCAAGCCUUGCAUGUAGGGGUCUCCAAAAAGCCCGCGGCCCGCUUUAGGCCCGGCCCGGCCCGACGGGCUAAAGCCCGGCCCAAGCCCGCCGGGCCCGAGCCCGUUUAUGGGCGGGCCGGGCCGCGGGCCUAAAUUUAGGCCCGGCCCGUAGGCUUGGCCCGUAGGCCCGCCCUUAGGCCCGCCUUUAAUUUUUUUUAAAAAAAUAAUAUACUAUAUUUUUAUAUAUAUAUAACUAAUUCAUUUAAUAAGCACAAAAUAAAUGUAGCUCAGUUGGUUAGAGCCUUGAAAUUUAAGCUUGAGGUGAGGGGUUCGAAUCCCCCCCUCUUCCUUCCUUUAUUUAAAAAAGCCCGCGGCCCGGCCCGUCGGCCCGGCCCGCCCAGCCCGCCAGCCCGCUAGCCCGCGGGCUCAUAGGCCGGGCCGCGGGCCUCCUAUUUACGGCCCGGCCUGGCCCGGCCCGCCCGUUGGAGACCCUUACUUGCAUGUGAAGUUUCAUUUUCACAUUUUUUAUUUCUUUUCUAUUUUUAUGUUUUCCCCUAAGGCAUUAUCUAUCUAUCUAUAUAUAUAUAUAUAUAUAUAUAUAUAUAUAUUUAUACACAUCUCAUAUUUACAACUUUUUAUUUUUGCUUAACUUUCUUUUUCUUUUUUUAUUUGUAUUUAGUAACAAUGGGUUCAUUUGACAUUCAUUCCAAAGCCUCCUUUUUUGUCAUCAAAUUAUUCAAAUGAUGAUAUUAUAUAAGGAAUUUCAAUUUAUAAUACUUUUAUUCUUAAAAAAUAUUAUAUCUUUUUCUUUAAUAUUUACCCUUUAAUCAUUGUCGCAAAAUGAUAAGAUUGAAGUAAGUGCAAUUAUGCUUUAUUUGAUACUAAUAAGAAUUUCAAAAUCCCUUCACCUCAAGAUAUUGAAGUCUAGGUAAAAAAAAUAGAUGGAUAAAAGUGUGACAUAAAACUUUUCUUCUUUUUUCUUUUCCCAUUUGAAAGGUGUUUGUAGUUGAGGUUAAAAAAAUAUCAAGUGGCAUAACAAAAAUAUAGGAUUCACGAAAAGAGUCAAAUUAAAGGUUUUUGAUGACUAUCUUUGGCAUUUUGAUUUUUGUUUUUCUCCUUUUAACAUACAACAACCACUCUUCUCUUUUAGUACUUGUCUUGAACUUUGAUGACAAUUGUGCAAAGCCUUUUAUAGAGUUUGCUUGAAGGCAUAUUACCAUCAAAAGUUCAAUAAACCUAGGAAAUUUCAUGAAAAUAUUUUAUAUCAUUUCUUCAAAUUUAGAUCUUGGUAAGAAAUUGGUUUAAAGGGAAGCUACUAUCAAAGUUUAGAAAAUAGAAUGUCUUCCAUACUAUAUCUCAUGUUUAGGUAACAUGAAAAGAAUAAUACUUUUUUUUUUUUCAUUUUUCUUUUGUUCCUCUUCUUUUUUGGCAUUCAUUGGUGAUUAGUUAUAUACACAUAAUAUAAUUUUUAAAAGGAUUUCUUUUAUUUUUAUUUUUUCCAAAAUAAUAUUUGAGGAACCUUGAUUAUACCCUUUUAUUAUAUUUUCUUCAUUAAAAAAAAAAUUCUUUUAUGCAUGUUGUUCAUAUUAUAUAUGAUAAUUUAAUUAAAUUUUAGUUACAACUUUGAGCUAGUCGAAGCCCACAAAAUCCAUUUAAUAAUGUUUUUUUUUUUCAAAAUAUUUAUAUAGUUUGAGGUGCCAAAUAUAACAAUAAAAGAUCAAUGGAUAUGAAUAAAAAAAUGACUAAAAGUAUACAAUAGUUUUCCCUUUUACGUACUUACUUUCUAAUUUGGUAGCUCUUUUGCACUCUUAUGAAAACUUUUAUAAAUCUUUAUGUCAAAUUUGUAUGAAGGUAAUCUAUAUACAUGUGUGUAUAUACAUAUCACUUAAUGAUAGUUGGCUUCAUAUGGAAAAAGCAAAUAUUGCCUCCUAACUUUAUUAUUAUCGUAAUGUGAUAUUUUAUCUUCCAAUUUUACUUUCAUCCCUUGGCAUUUAAUACUAUGCUAUUUAUAAUACUUUCUCUUUUUUCUUAAAACGUUUUUUUUUAUUUGAAUUUAGUAACAAUGGGUUAACUUGACAUUCAUUCCAAAGCCUUCUUAUUUGUUCUCAAAUUAUUCAAAAGAUGAUAUUGAAUUUAUGAAAUAGAUGUUUGUAAAAUUUAUGUUAAAUGAUAAUAUUUUUUAAGAAAAAAUAUCAUCUCCUUUUCUUUAAUAUUUAUCCUUUUGUCAUUACUACAAAGUAAGUGCAAUUAUGCUUCAUUUGAUGAUUAAUGAAGAAAAAAGUUACUUUUUUGAUAUUAAAUAUUUAUCCUUUAAUUAUUUUUGCAAAGUUAAAUUAGAGUUUCAUGAAUGCCUUUUCUACUACAAUUAUGAAAUUCGAAAUUUAUUGGCUUGGUACAUUGAAAUCUCUCAAAGAAAUUGAGUUCAUGGAAAAGAUAAGUAUCAGUAUUGAAAUUCAAAUUAAUAUUUGUAACUUAAAGAUUUCUUUAAGCAUUAAAGUUUAGUGUUAUAUUAUAAUAGCAACUAAAAAGACAUUUUUUUGCUCAUUUUCCCCAUUUAUUCUUUUGAAAGUAUAAAAAUAUUAAGAAAAAACUUCAAAAUAUGACAAGAUAAAAAUACUUUGAAAAAUAUAAUACGUAUAAUAUUUUUUGUGAUAUUUUGUGAUAGUAUAUAGAAUUUAAAAACAUAUUAUUAUUAAAAUUAUAAUAUAUUUAGUUUGAUUAUAUAAAAUAAAUGAUAAUAUAUGUAUAAAUAUUUUUAUUUAAAAAUAUUGAUAAUUUUAUUUUUUAUUUAAAUAUUAUACAAAAGAUACUAAUAUAGUUAAAAUUGAUUUUUAAUUUAUAAUAUAUUUAUCUAUAUAUUUGUAUUAUAUAUAGUUUAGACGUGUAAUAUAACCAAAGUAGUAGUUUGGGUGGUGCACGAUUACUGCGCCCUCAUGGGCUGGCUUUAUAUAAAGCCCAAUAGGAGAACUUUUUUAAAGUAAAAGUGAUGCUGACAUUCGGAGCGUAUUUUCAACAUUGGUGGGAUGACUUCAAGCACUCUUUGCUUUUUUCAUUUUAUAAGUCAAGAAUUUGAUGAUUAUCUUUCACUUUUUUUUUUUAUUGCUUUUCUCAUCUCUACAUUCGACAGCCAAUCUUAUUGCUUCUAGUGGUUUUCUUAAGCUUUGAUGAAAACUACCAUCCUAAGCAUCCAAAGUUCAAAGAAUCGGGAAACUCUACAUGAAUUUCACAUAAUCCCUUGAAAUUUAGAUCGUGCUAAGAAAUUGGUUUCAAGGCAUGCUACUACUAAAGUUUAAUAAACCAAGGAAAAUGAAAGACAUUUCACACUAUUUCUCGAAAUUUGGAUCCUGGUAGAAAAUUUCUAUCAAGAUAGGCCAAAAACAAAAUUGAAUAAAUCAAGGAAAUUAGCAUGAUGACAUUUCACACUAUUUAGUUACAUGAUUGCUGGGUAUUAUCCAAAAUUCAAAAGACCAAAGAAAAUUUCCUUUCUAUAGUUGGCUUUAUGUAGAAAAAGCAAACAUUGUCUCAAUUUUUAUAUUGAUGUAAUGUUUAUUUGUUGUUGUCAUGCAUUCAAUAUAUAAACUACUACAACUACUACCACGUUUCCUCUCUAUCAUUGGCUUAAGUUAAAAGAAGCAAAUCUUGUCUCAUUCUUAUACAAUCAAUAAUAUACACUACUACUACUACUAAUAGCAUACUACUAUUACUACUACUAUACUAUUUCUACUACUAGUAGUAUACAUUCUAAUUCUUUAUAGUAAUGUAAUAUUUACUACCACUAACUACACAUUCUAAUUCUUUACACUACUACUACUACUACUAAGCGUCCUACUAUAAUUACUAUUAGUAGUAUAAUGCUAUUACUACUGCUCCUACUAUUAGUAUACUACUAUUACUACUAUUAGUAGUAUAUUACUACGCCUACUACUAGUACGCAUUCUAAUUCUUAAUAAUAAUGUAAUAUUUAUUCUAAUUCUUUAUAGUAAUGUAAUAUUUAUUUAUUUUUAUCAUGCAUUCAAUAAUAUAUAUUCAAUAAUAUAUACUACUUCAUUACUACUACUAGUACUUCAUUUGACAUUUAUUUCAAAGCCUCCUCAUGCAUCCUCAAAUUAUUCCAAUAUAUAUAUAUAUAUAUAUAUAUAUAUAUAUAUAUAUAUAUAUAUAUAAAAUAAUAAAAAUUUUAUAAAAUUAAUGCGUACAAAAAUUAUAUGAAAAUAUUCAUUAUUUAAAAAAAAAAUCUCACCCCAUUUUCUUUAAUAUUUGAUGACAAAUAUAAUAUAGUUAAAAAGAGUACACUAUUGUACAAAUCAUGUAACUUUUAAAGUAUCUCUAUUUAGGCCUUGCUUGAAACCAUAGAAUAAAGCAUAGGAAUGAGUUAAUGUGCUUGGGUUGUUUUUAGAAUAAGAAUAGGAAUAAAAAAUCAUUGUUGUGGAAACCAAAUUCCAUUAUCACUAGGAUUUUGAUUCCUUUAUCUUAUCUUACAUGGGAUUAGGAUUCAUCCUAUCCUCAUUCCUAUUUUCAUGUAUCAAACGAAACCUUAGGCUAUGUUUGGCGUGUGGGAAUUGAGAUGAGAAUAAACACUUUGUUUCCAUUCUAUUUAAUCUUGAAUAAAAAUAAAUUUGAUAAUUUCAAUUCUUGUAUUUGGAUGCACUUAUAAAUGGAAUGUUGGAAUGAUCAUUUGUUUUCAUUUUAAUGUUUGAUAACAUCAUGUAUGAAAUUAAUUUUCUCAUUAGAACAACAAAAACCUUAGUUAUAGUAUAAUGAAAAGUUUAAUAAAGUUGAAAGGAGGAAAUCAAUAAAGAAAUGAUAUUUUAACUUUCUUAAGUUUUGUACACUUCUUUUUAUAUUAAAUUCAAUUUUUAAAUUUGUAAUUAUUUAACCAAAUCCAAAACAAUAUACUUAGCUUCAAUUUAUGUUUCCAACUUGUAUAUGUUAAUAUAAGACUUAGUGGUAGUAAAGUAUUUGAACCAGUAACCUAUAGAGCAAAUUUGUCUACUUAAACUAGUACAUUGACAAUCUCAUCCUUUGAAAAUUUUGGAACAAUACAAAAUAUUGCAAUACAACCCUCUAAAACUCUAAAAUUCAGAUCCUAAAGUCACUCGACCUAAUCCUUACCAAAGAUCACUCACUAUAAAUAACACCUUCUUAUAUUUCUUUUUUUUUUUGCAUGAAUAUGUCACCGCAUAACACCUUCUCCUCUUGAAUUUGAUUCCUUGUUCUUAAUUUGACAUUCUUUUUCCCUUUUAGAUUUGAAAAAAAAAAAAAUCAAAUGGAAUAGCAAAUUAAAAAAUGGUGUGAAUUCAACUUGAUAAGAGUUUAAUCAAAAUUGGAAAUUUGCUUGUAAUAUCUAACUUGCCUUAAUGAAUAAGGAUGUAUGGGUUGAUCAAUUGAGCUUUAGGCCCUUGAAUAAUCAUCUCAGCUUUCACUUUCAAUUGCUUGAGAUAUUUCAUUUGGAUAUCAAUCAAACCCAAGGUUGAGACAUUAAAUUGUACGUGUGUUAGUUUUUAUAAUAAACUAGUUUCACAAAAUGGUUGAUGCUUCAAAAGUGAUAACUUAGUUAACAAAUGCAAUGCCAUAAUUUUAUAUUUUUGCUCAUUUGAUGUAUGUGGGAACAAAAACUAACAUGGAUCUUAAAGUAUUCCAAAACAAAAUACUUGAAAUUGAAAUAUUCUUUUCCACCUAAUUUGAUUGCUCAUUCUAGAUUGGAGAUUCUAUCUCUUUACACCAAGAAUUAUAUAUAGUGCAAGAGUGUGAGUUUAAAUUGGCAUCACUUUAAUCAAAAUCUAAGAUUGGGUUGAAGUAUUUGACUUGCCUUGAUUAAUAAGGACACCCAUGGCUCAACUGAUGGAGGUUGGUGUGUACUAACUUAUCCAACAAAAUGUUUAAUCUGCAAAAAAAUUAAUACAAUCAAGCUUGUCCUAGAAAUGCCCUAAAAUGAGUCCCAAUAAAAAUAGGUUUUGAAAAAAAAAAAAAAAAAAACAAAAAUUCAGUAAAAGGAAUUUCAGCCCCUUGGAAUCAGCAAGGCAUAUAUAAUAGAAACUAAGAAAAGGAGGACGGCUUAAUUAUUACCAAAAAGUUGAGAUAAAUGUUUGGUCAACAUCAACAAUUCUCUUACUUGAAAUUAGUGUCUUGUACAGCAUAUCCAAUGAACAAAUUUGCAAAGAAGCUCCAGCCACCUGUGCAUAUGGUCCAUUUCAUGGUCUUGGGCAUCAACACCAAUACCAUCAAUCAGGGUGGUGCCAUCACAGUGUCUCUCCACAUCAGUAUUCGUAUCUUCUACAGUUGAUCUCGUGUCACAGCUUCUCUGAGAAUGAGUACUAUUGGUAUCUUGUACAGCUGAUCUAUGGCCACCCAAAUCCACAUGAGAAGAACUGCUACCUUGUACCAUUGUGAGAUUGUUCUCACAAUAAGAGAACAAUCUCAUUACUUUCAGCUGAUCAUCACAGUGUCUCAAGUGGAACAAUAAGAGAGCACAGAACAACGCCCAAGAAGUCAUCAUUUUCAUACCAACUCCAAGGAAGUUUCAUUGUUAUUUUGAACCCGCUUUUCUGAUGGCUUAUCCACUCCGGAAUCCCAUUACUUUCAGCAAUAAAAGUUGUGACAUUUCUAUAUUUACACCCCUGCACAAAAAUUACCCUCUGAAUUUUGUGUCUCCUGGAAAAGAAAGGUUAAAUGAUACAUGAAAACCAUACCUGAAUUUUGGAUUUAAAACAUUUGAAUAAAGAAGACCAGAGAAGAUUUGAUUGACUGGAUAAAUUUUCCAGGGAUGGGCAGUGAUGGGCAUCUAGACACCUUACACCUGAUGGAAGUUCUGGAAUAUGUUGAAGCAUCUUGCAGUGACUCAAGUCAAGAAAUGUUAGGUUGUAAAGUUGACUGAUCCCAUCAGGUAUGCGACUAAAGUGGUUCCCCGCCAGACAUAAUCUUUCCAGUGAUGAUAGGGAAAAAAUUUCACUGGGAAUUUCCCUUAUAUUGCAGGCAUGAAGCAUUAAUGUCCUCAAGGAGCAUAAACCGGACAAAGACGGUAAUUGAAAAUUCAUUGAAUCUAAAUGCCCAACACUAAGCUGAAGUAAAGAUUGUAGUCUCCCCAAGUUGUCUGGCAAUUUCCUGAAGUUUGGACACCUUUCGACUCUGAGUUUUCUAAGAGAUGUCAAAUUACAAAUACUAUCGGGAAGAUUCACGAGGUUUAUACAGUUUGUCAGAGUGAAAUGUUGAAGCCCUCUUAGACGUUCAAUUGAUGAUGGUAUCUCUUUUAUGGCGGUUCCAUCUAAAUAAAGGUUUCUCAAGCUCUCCAUAUCUUGCAGGAUAUCUGGAAAGCUUUCUAGUUGUGAACAGCCAGAGCAACAGAGAGUUGCAAGGGAUUUGAAAUUACAAAUGCCACUGGGCAGACUCGUAAGAUUUUUGCAACCCAACAGACAUAAUCUAUCAAGUUCUAAGGGAUUCUCGAUAAUGGGCACUUCAGUCAUGUCACUGCACCCAAAACACCGCUUUCGUCGCGCCCCAUCGCAUUGGCAUUCGUUGCAUAUUCUAACAUCUGCACCCUUUGUCUGUGUUGUUAAUGGAUGGCUUUGAUGAAGGUCUUCGGAGUAUAUAAGGUGGAAUCCACACCUGUUCACUUCCAUGGUUUUCUCAUAAUUAAAGACAGGAUCGAGAAAUAAAGACAUAUUUUCAGUCAAUUGACAAGGGUGAAACAUUUCUGGAAUAGCCGCCUUGGAAUAGCAAACCACCAACGUUUCACCUGAUACACUCUCAUUAUCUUCGUCCUUGUCUUCUUUAUAGCAAAAACAAUUGGAUUGAAAGAAGGGAAAAUCUACAAUUCCAUCUACACUUUUAUCACCAUUGAUCUGCAGAAGACAAGAAUGUGUAUGUGUAUGUUCAUUCUUACAAAAAGAUUCAGCCACAGAUUUAUCAUCUGUUUCAUUCUCCCAUGUACGAGUAGAUUCAUCCCCAGAUUUAUUGUCUGAUUCAUUCUCGGACCCAUGUGCAGAUUCCUUUUCGGGUAUGUCCUCAGAUUCAUCAACAAGUGGAACAUAAACACAGAAUAUAGCAAAUCCCAAAAACUCAUUAUUUUGGUGCCAAUUCUGAGGGAGCUCUGUUCUUUCAAAAUGUCUAUUUGUCCGAUCCAUAAUCCCUUUAGGAAUUACAUCACCUCCGGGAAGAAAAAUGCAAGUUCCCUUGCCAUGGUAGAAAGAAUCACUAAAACUAGUGCGUUUCGAAUCCUGCACCAAAGCACCAUGUAAAUAUAGAGUCUGCAUAUAACUAGUGUGUGACAUGAAAAUCAUACCUGUACUCGACUGAAGCAAUUGACCAGAGAAUGCAAUGGCAAAAACGGGGCUCUUGAUGAAGUGCGAUUUGAACCGUGUGCAUCUAAAAGCCGUAGACGUGAUGGAAGCUCUGGAAUUUGUUCAAGAUUGCUGCAGUGACUAAGGUUAAGGACUUCCAGCCUGGAAAGCUGAUUGAUGGUAGUAGGUAUGCUACUAAAAUGACCCCGUUCCAGAUUUAGUUUCUGUAAUGAUGAUAAAUGGCAAAUAUCACUAGGAAUUCCUCCUUCCAUUAUGUUGCAGUGACCUAGGUCCAAUACUUCCAAUGAUGAUAAGUGGCAAAUAUGAAUAGGGAUUUUGUGGAGCUUUGCACACUCUUGAAGUAGGAGAGUUUGAAGACCAUUUAGAUGUGUAAUUGAUGAUGGUAAGUCCAUUAUAGCUGUUCCACUCAAAUCAAGCACCCUUAGCUCUCUCAUAUUGCCCUUGAUUUCUGGAAAUCUCUCUAGCUUUGAACAGCCAUUGCAAGACAAAGUUUGAAGGUGUUUCCACUUGUAAAUGCCUCUUGGAAGACGCUCCAGGUUUACACAUCCUGCAAGAUUCAAGGGAAAAAAUAAAAAUAAAAAACAAGUUAGUUUUAGUAAUUAUAAUACUGUUGCACCAAUCUUUUAAGUACCAUGCAUUGUACAACCUUCUAGAGUUAGAAUCUCCAAGUUUGGCACACUUGAGAAGUCUGGGAUUCUGAUGAGAUGGACAGAGUAACUGAGAUCAAUAACCCUCAACUUGUCAUGAAGCUGUAACAAAAUAAUUUUUUUCAAUAGAUAAAUUUAUAUAAAUGUUAAAAAUUAAUAUAAAAUUAAACUGUAACUAAAUAAUAAUAGCAAUACCUUAUUCCCUCUCCAAAGUUGCUUUAUAUUGCUGUUCCUCAGUAAGAGUUCAACAAGGUUCUUUGCAUGAAAAUUCAAUGGCAAAGAUUCUAAAGGGUAUCGAUCCCAAUGCAGAUAUGUUAACUCAUAAGAAGAGAAUUCAAAGUCCCUUGGAAGGUGGUCUUCAAGAAAUAACUUUCUGCGAGGGUUAUGGAUUUUGAGCAAUCGAAGUCUAUUCAUCUCUUUGAAAGAUUUUGUAGUAAGCUGUGAUAGAUUAAAUUUACAUCUAUCUAGGAAUAGUCCUUCAAUUGCUCUUGUCCCCUGAAAAAUAUAAGAUGAGUAGGCAAAACAAAAGAUGCAUUAGACUUAAUUGAGUUAUAUACACGGCUAAUUUCUGAAAAAUUAAUGAUAGUAUUGAAGCUUGCAUACACACGUAUAUAAACAAGUUCAUGCAUUUGACUCUUACCGUAUUUCCUAUUAGCACGUGAUAGGCAUUAGAAUCCCACAAUCUACUCCUUCUUCCAGGGUCUUCAGGACAUUCUUGACGAAUAACCUCCCAACCCAUUAGUUGUAUUAAAUCAUGCAUAUCUAGCAUGUUUUUUGAAAUAGUUAUAAGACAUCUAUCAGCUAGAGUUGUUAUUACAUGCUCUGCAUGAGGGCCCAAUAUUCUUGAAACAAAAUCUUUGUCAUCUCCUUUGAAAAAGCAUGCUACAUCCAAAAACAUCCCCUUGUCUAUAUCAUCGAGUCCAUCAAAACUUAUUCUAAGUACAUUGUGAAUUUCCUUGUGGGGUAUUAUUUUUAGCUUACACAGUGCACUUUCCCAAUGACUUAUUUUCUUUCCAAAAAGAGAAGCACCUAUAACUUUAAGUGCUAACGGAAGGCCAUUAGCAUAAUCUAUGAUAUUGUAUGAGAGGUUUUUAUAAACUUCUUGGGGACGAUUUUGUUUAAAGGCCCACAAACUAAAGAGCUCAGUAGCUUCUUCCUUGUUUAAUUUUGAAACCUCAUAUGGUAUAUCCGCUCCAUAUUGAGCAAGCACGUGUUUGUCUCUAGUUGUAAUGAUGAUUGUACUUUUUGCAUGAAACCAAUCUUUCUCUUCAGCCAAAUAUUCUAGUUGUUUCAACUCAUCCACAUCAUCAAAAAUAACAAGAACUCUAUUGGAGGUUAGACACCUCUUUAUCAUACUAAUUCCUUCAUCAACAUUGUUUAUUUUAAAAUUUUUUCCCCUUAGGAUACCAUGAAGAAGUUCUUGCUGUAACUGAAGUAUAUCACCUUUGGAUCGCUCUCUGAUAUUUCUAAGAAAGCUCCUACCAUCAUAUUGAUCUGAGGUCUCAUUAUAAAUAGCCUUGGCAAUAGUAGUCUUGCCAACCCCACCAAUUCCAUAUAUCCCUACGACGCUAACCAUAUUUAACUUAGUGUUCAUCAACGAUUUCAAUUUUUCCAAAUGAACACCAAUUCCAACUAUGUUCCUUCCCACACUUAAAGGGUGAUGGUUUAAUCUUCUAAUGAUUGUAUCAACAAUUUCCUUGACAACCUGAGUCUCAUACCUGCAAUCAUAUAAAUUAAGUACAAUGAUGAGUUAGAAUGAGUUGCAAAAUAUAAUAAAUUUAGUUGUGUAUGGCGGUGUCCAAUAUUACUGAAUUAGUAGCAAUGGAAUGAAAAAGAAAGGGUUAAAUUUUGCAUUUCCAUAAAGGAAUCAGGAAACGAGUGAAUGUGGAGAAUUUAAUGAUUUCUUUCUUGAUUGGGAACUUAAAUAUGAUUUGCUUUAGAGAAAAUUAUAAAAGGGUUAAAUUUUGAUACUUGCAUUUUUGGACCAACACAUGGGAAAAAUGAAAGUUAGAUUUUGUUAACAAUUUCAUACUUACUGGUCAUUCACAUGGCAUCCAGAUAGAUUAGCUGCUUCUCUCAAUGCAAUCCUCCACUUUUGUAUCAUCUCCAUCUUUUCUUGAUUUGCAUCUCUUUCAUGGUAGGCAAGUGCGUCUCCGAAACUUCCCCUUUGGUUUCGUACAUCAGAUGGAUCCACAUGGUAGAAAAUUGGUAGAACCAUUGAUUCCUUUUGGCUCUUGCGUUCAAUGAUCUUUACGAGUUCAUUUAAACACCAUCUGGAGUAAGCAUAAUUUUUUGAGAAAAUAAUAAUAAAAAACCUCGAUUCUUCUAUAGCUCUGAAGAGAUCAGAUGCAAUAUCUCCUCCUUUCUCAAGUUCUUCAUCAUCUCUGAAAGUUUGAAUUCCAGAUGCAGUCAAUGUGGUAUAUAAAUGAUCAGUGAAAUUUCUGCGAGUAUCGCUACCUCUAAAACUCAAGAACACAUCAUAAUUACGAGAAAUAGAAGUAGUCGAAGAAGAGGCUCUAUGGGUGCUGGAAGAAGCCAUUUAUGGAUGGCUUGAACCAAAAUUACAAGGGAGUCUGGAAUCCAAGAAAAUCAGAGGGAGGGUCCUUGGAUGCUCAAUGACUAUUGGCUCCAGACCUCUUCACCAUGAACAAAAAUCCAAGCUGGGAGGGAGGUUCAGCUGAAAGCUUCAUCUGCAGUCGUAAAAGAAAAGAAAAACGUAUAUAAAGCCCUCUUUGAGAAAUUUCUUUGCAUAUAAAUUCUAAGAGAAACUCACACAUAUUUUACCUUUUGGUUGGGGAAGAUCCUUUCUCCAUUCCCUUUGUGUUGGAGACUGCAGUUAAGGGAUGUAGAGAAGAUGGUGGGGAAGAUGGUGUGGAGGAUGGGUAGGGGUUGAAGAAGAGGCGGUGGGCAGCAGAGGUCUCGAUGACUAGUGGAUAGAAACCUAAUUAAGACUAAAAGUAAUGCUUUUCUUUUCGGGAGAAUUUGUGUUUUGUAUCGGCCCAAAAAUUAAUAAAAGAUCCUCUAAACACCUAUAAUUAAUUACAAAGAUAUAAAAUUGAAAUAGACAAAAAUACCUCCUUUGAAUUACACCCAUUAUUUUUGUCUUUAUACCGUCACUCUUUACAUGCCCCCAUUUAUAAAAUUCUCCUUUAUUUAAUCAUUUUUUUAUUUUUCAUUAUUUUUUAAAUUCUUUUAAAAAUAAUUGAAAAAUCAACAUUAUUUUAUAUUUUUAAAUUAUAAAUAAAUAAAAAUUAUAUUAAUGAUUCAAAAAUUAUUUUGGAACAUACUUUAGAAAAAAAUAUUAUUUAAAUGAAUAAAAAUUAUUUUUUACAUUUUAGAAGUAAAUAAUUUAAUGAUUAAAACAAUAUUUAAAUUAAAUAUAUUUACUAUUUUUUUUUCUUUUAUACUAAAAAGUAUUUUAAAGUUUAUUUUUUUUUUAUUAUAAUAGAAUAAAAAGUUUAAAGUUUUUUUUAAAUUUUUUUCCUUCCAUAUUUUAAUAAUUUUUUUAACAUAGACUUUUGGCAAUAAGUUAUAUGAAUGUUCCAAAUUUGUUUAUUAAGGAAUUUUUUUAAUGAUUUGAAUUAAUUAAAAAUUUAUUGAAAUAAGAAAAAAGAAAAAGAGAGAAAGAGGAUAGAUAAAGAGUUUUUAUUUUAAAUAUCCAACAAAAAUGUUUUUGUAUUUAGAAAUGGAUUAUAUCAAUACAUAGUAUAGUAGAUAUUGAUUUUUUUCUCAUGCAAAAGGGCUAAAUGAUAUAUUUACUCAUUUUAAAUGAAAACAAGUAGUUAAAAAUUAUAUAGAUUAUGUUUGAGUUUGGUUUUAAAAUACUUUUUCUAGUUUUAUUUUUUUAUUUUUAAAAAUUAUUUUUAUUUUCUAUAUUGUCUCUUUUUGAAAAUACAUUUAAUUAAAAAAUGAAAAAUAUUUUUAAAAAUGAAAAUUGAAGACCUUGUUUAAUACUAUUUUUUUUUAUAUGAAGGUAAUAAAAAUAAUUAAAUUUCAUUUAUUGAUUAUUCUUUUUUAUUUUUAAAAUAUAAUAUGUUCACAAUUAAAUAAAGGAAUUGGUCAAUUGUAUAUUUUUUACACAAAAAUUUAAUAUGUUCAUAAAAAAAUUGGAUUGAAGUUUUUCGUCAUUUUUUUUAAUCAAACUACUAGAAUCAUGUUUAAUACACAAUAGGCAUACAUGCAUUACGGGGUUAUGAAAUUUGUGUCACUAUACAAGAGUAUUUACUAACUAUAUAAGGGAAAUGUACUGUGUACAAGCAGUGUAUAAGAUUACCAUUUAUAAAAAAUUUCAAUCUAUUUUGAACCACUCCUUUAUUUUCCUUGUCACCCACAAAUUGCAUACUCAUAUCAUGGACUUUAUUUAACUCCCACAUGGAAAUUCUGAUACUUUCCCUAGUAAUGAUGUUUGGGAAAAAAAAAACUAACCCUAGUUCAUCCAUCCUUUUAUUAGUUAAACCAUUAGAAAUAUGAUUAACACACCUACAUGGGCACAUUACUUAGGAGAGAUAUAUUGCACCAUUGUACAAUGGUAUUACACUAAUUAUACAAGAGAAAUGUGCUAAGUGUACAAGGAAAAUGUACUAAGUGUACAAGGAAAAUGUACUAAGUGUACAAGGGUGUACAAGACUACCAUCUAUAAAAAAAUUUAAUCGAUUUUGAAUCACUUCUUCUUUUUCUUUGUCACCCACAAAUUGCAUACCUAUGUCAUGCAAUUUAUUUAACUUUCACAUGAAAAUUUCGAUACUUUUCUUAGUAAUAAUGUUUGGGGAAAAAAAAUUUAAUCCUAAUUCAUCCACCAUUUUGUUAGCUAAACCAUUAGAAAUAAGAUUAAUAUACCUACGUGGACACACAAUUUAAGAAGGAUAUAUUGCACCAUUGUACAAUGAUGUUACACUAACUGUACAAAGAAAAUGUACUAAGUGUACAAAGGUGUAUAAGGCUACCAUUUGUGAAAGAUUUUAAUCGAUUUUGAAUCAUUUCUUUAUUUUCUUUGUUACACAUAAAUUGUAUAUGAAAUUGCACUAUUAUAUAAGGGUGUUACACUAAUUAUAGAAGAGUAUUACACUCGCUGUACAAGACAAAUGUACUAACUGUAUGAGGUAAAUGUACUAAUUAUACAAGGGUGCAUAAGGUUAUCCUUUAUGCAAGAUUUCAAUCAAUUCUAAAUUUUUUUCUUGUAUAAAGGCCAUCCCUUACUCCAUUCAUGCUAAAUGGAUUGAACACUUUUCCCCCACACAUUCCUUCACCUAAAAAAUGUUUUAAUUUUAAAUUUUAAAUUUCAUCAUCCAAAAUUUGUAAUUGCAUAUUUCAUUUAAGUAGUUUUAACAAUAUUUUUUCUUACUACAUUUACAUCUUAUAUAAAGAAAAAUUAACCAUAAUAUUAGGUAUUACCUUUUUUAUGAAAUCAAAGUAAUAUAAAUGGAUAACACAUUAAUGUCAUUGUUUCAAAUGAUUUAAGACAAUAUAAAUAACAUAUAAUAAUUGUUGAGAUUAUGAAUAUUUUUUACCAAACUGUGUCAUUUAGAUCUUCCCUACCAAAAUUAAAACAUAGGAAAUAAAAUUAAAAUUAACCACAUUUAAAGUGUUUAUUACAAGUAAACCGAAUGAAAUAUAUAUUUUUACUAUUUUACCUUUAUAAACAUAAUGUCAGCAGAUAUUAAAAAAAUCAUAUUUAAAUAGAAUUAAAAAGGAUAAAAAAUUGUCUUUGUAACAUUUGUAAUUUUUUUUUAUAAAAAAUCAUUAAUUUAAAAAAAAAAAUUGUUGUAAUUAUAGUUUUGAAGAUUCUAUGAUUUUUAUAUUAUUACUUUUAAUUAUUUUCUUUGAUUUUUUAUUUUAAAUUUCAUCUAAACUUGUUUUUUCUUACAUUUACAUGUUUUCUAUUAUAUCCCUAUUUAAAGUGAUUUUCAUUUAAUUUGUGUUCCAUUAUAUUCUCUUUUCAAUUUUAAUGUGUUGUUAUACCUCUUUACAUAACAAAAGAUUUUGUUAUUUUUCAUCUACAAAACUUUGUACAAAAGAUAUCAUGUACGAGGAAAAAAAAAUAAAAAAGAGAAAAUUAUGAUAUAAUUUACAUACACAUCUCUUAAUAUGAUACAUUUGCUUGACUUAAUGACAUCAUGCUUUAAUAAUUUAAAUCAUGUCAAGUCCACAUCUAUUUUAGAUUUAAAAGGGUAUUUGAAUAUUUUUCAAAUUAUUAAGUUAUAAUACAUUAUUCAAUUAAAAAUUAAGUAUCACCAUUAGUUAAAAGAUGAUUAUGUUACAAAAUAAUGUAUUAAGAUAAUAUCAAUGUAUUGUCAAUAAAAUAGAGAAAAUAUUCAAAUAAUUGUCUACAACCUUAAAGAUAUUUAUAUAUAUAUUGGAUAAAAAAGAAUAAUAAUAUUUUUUAAGGUGAUUAAAAAAUAUUUAUUAUAUAUUUAGUAAGUUUUAAAAAAAAUAUUUUAUGAGGUGUUUAAAAAAUAUUUACUUUAAAAAUAUAGUAAUAAUCAUUUUCAAUCAUUGAUUUCCAAUAUUCAAUUUAUUAGACAUGGUUUCUGGGAGAAAAAUAAUUGAUAGAAAUAGUAACACUUUCCUAGUAAGGAAUUAAUUUACAUGUCCCACCAAUUAAUAUGUGAGAGAAAAAGAUAAGGUGAAUGAUGAAAGAGAGAGGAAAAAAAAAAUGAAAGAGAAUGGGAAGUUAGUUGUUUUCUUUUUCUUUUUGACAGCAAAGGGUAUUUUUGGAAAAUUGAACUUUCCAUAUCAUUCUUCUCAAUUUAUAGACUUUCUUUAGGUGUUGGGCUUAAAUAUGGAACUUACAUGGACCAUAUCUUAAUUUUUGGACCCAGUUGAGUCCAAAACACAAUUUUCCCUUUCUUUUUUAUUAAACAUAUACUUAAUUUUUUUUCUUCAAUUUAAGUAUUUUGAUAAUAUUAUUUUUUAUGAAUAUUGAUGGCAAAAUUCUAUCAUCUUUCUAAAAUAUUUAUUAGAUUCUAGUAGGAAAUCAACGUCAAAGUAGGCCCCUAACUAAAAGUCAAGAGAGCUUUAUGACCUUUCACAUUAGAAAAUAGUUGGAUUCAUGUAGAAAAGGCAAACCUUCCUUCCACACCCAGUGUAAUAUUCCAUUGUUUUUUCUAAUUUUAUUUUUCCCUCUAGUUCCAAUAUUUGUACAACCUCAUCCUUAUUUAGUUUAGCUCCUUUUCUAUGUAAUCUUUUUUUUGGUAUUUUACAACUUGAAUUUAUAGAAUAUCUUUUGUUCAAUAAUUUUUUUAAUUAAUUUUUAUGAAAAAUAUCAAUUUUUAUAGAUAUAUCGGUAAAUCCCUUUUACGAAUAUAUUAAAAUAUAUCAGAAAAAUAUUGAUAGAUAUUUUGAAAUAAAAAUAUGAAUAAGAAAAAAAUUAUUCAAAAUUCAUAAAAAUAUUUAAAAUAAUUAUAAAAAAUAAUAUAAAAAGUAAUAAUAAAUAUCUUGAUAUUGUUUUGUUAAAGAAAUGAAUAUAUGUAUAAUAUAAUUCAUAGUAUUUAAUAAAAUAUUGAUAAUUUUAUUUGUAAAUAUAAAAAGGCAUAUAUUAAUUUAUGCACAUGUAAUAUAUAUAUAUAACGUUAUAAUAUUAACAAAGUUAGCUUGGUGGCGUGGUGCUCACUCUAUGCCUGAGGUCAUGGUUUCUCAAACCCAUCCUUCCACAAUGAUUUAAAUCCCUUUUUAAAGGUAAGAGGUGGGAUCCCACAUCGGUCAGCCACAACACUUAAAAACCUGCUCAUAGACCCUUUGGCAGGUAGCAGUGUUUGAAUGCGUGUGGUUGGCUGGGCCGACGUACACGUAAAACUUCCAAAAGGGCAAUUUAUCUCUUUGCCGAGAUAUCCACCUACCGCGCCCUGGUCGGAGUAUGGAUAUUUUGAUUCAAAUAUCAUGAAAUUAUUUAAAAUAUAUAAAAAUAUUUUAAAAAAAAGUUCAAAAAAUAAUAAUAAUAAUAAUAAUAAAGGUAAGAGGUGGGAUCCCACAUCGGUCAGCCACAACACUUAAAAACCUGCUCAUAGACCCUUUGGCAGGUAGCAGUGUUUGAAUGCGUGUGGUUGGCUGGGCCGACGUACACGUAAAAUCUUCCAAAAGGGCAAUUUAUCUCUUUGCCGAGAUAUCCACCUACCGCGCCCUGGUCGGAGUAUGGAUAUUUUGAUUCAAAUAUCAUGAAAUUAUUUAAAAUAUAUAAAAAUAUUUUAAAAAAAAGUUCAAAAAAAAAAAAUAAUAAUAAUAAUAAUAAAAAUGACUUCAUUAUUUUUUUAUUUUAUAUUUUAGUAAAUUUUUUAAUAAAUUUAUACUUUUAAUAUUUAAAAAUAAAAUAUUUAAAAUUAAAUAAAAUUAAAAUGAUAAAUAUACAAAAUUUGAAAGUAAAGGGAUUAUAAUUUUUUAAAUAGAAUUAAUGAAAUAAAUGAUUAUAUAUUUAAUAUUAAAACUAUAAUUUAUUUAAUUUAAAUGCAUUUAAUAAUGUAAAAGAAAUGAUGAUGUAUUUAUAUUUUUUAUAUUUAAUUAUCAUUAUUAAGAAAAUUAUAAUAAUAGUUUUUAUACUUUUAUUAAAUAAUUAAAAAUUUUAAAAUAAAAUAAUUAGAAUUAAUUGAUUUAUUAUUUUAAUAAUAAACUUUAAGAUAUUUAAUGUGAAUAAACAUAUCAACUAAUAUAAAUUUGGCCCAGAGGGAGCAAGGCUCAUACCCAAGCCUUUUGCUUGGGUUCGAAUCCCUUUCGCACAAGAGUUGGUAGAAAAAUUUCCUCCAUUUCGGGGAAACACUCACCUUUUGGUGUGGAGUACUUUUAUGAUUUUGUUCAAUAUAAAAUUUUCCAAAAAAGUUUUCUGUUUCUUGUUUUCCUUACUUUUCCAAUUAUUUAAUUCUUUUUAAAUAUACCUUUGAGUCACUUCAAGGCAACAAUAAUCCAUGUAAUUAUUUUUAUUUUUUGUUUUUAUAAUGUGUAUGGCGUAGAGAUGGCAAGCAUGAUAAUGAGAAAUCUUAUGUUAAAAUUAAACUAUGCUUUUUUUUAGUAAUUGAUUAUCUACUUUGCCUUUCAUUUUGAUGUUUUACUUCUAAUAUAUAUGAUAUUUUAGUUUGGUGUUCCCCUUGGACUUUAAUUAUGGAGCUAAUUCUUAUAAUUAUUGGUAGAAAAUUUCUUAUGACCAUCAAGAAAUUUAAAGCUUGUUACAAAAAUUGAUAUGAAAGUAGGCUAUUAACAAAAGGUUAAUAGACCCCAAUGUUCUUUCACAUUAAAAGAUAGUGAAAUUUACGUAGAAUAAAUAACUAAUGUUACAAAAAUUUGUAUGAAGACAAUGUUAUUUAUAAAAGGUCAAUAGAAGUACUUUCACAUUGAAAGAUAGUGAAAUUUACAUAAAAAAAAGCAACCAAGCCUCGCAUGCGAAGUUUCAUUUUCACUUUUUCUUUUCUUUUCUAUUUUUAUGUUUUCCCCUUGGACAUUAUCUAUCUAUCUAUAUACAUGUAUACACCUCAUUUCCACAACUUUUUUUGCUUAACUUUCUUUUUCUUUUGUUAUUAGUAUUUAGUAACAAUGGGUCAAAUCAUUUGACAUUCAUUCCAAAGCCUUCCUUUUUGUUCUCAAAUUAUUCAAAGGAUGAUAUCAUAUAAGGAAUUCUUAAAUAGAGCUUGUAAAAAUUACAUCAAAUUUAUAAUUCGUUAAAAAAUAUAUAUAUCAUCUCCUUUUCUUUAACAUUUAUUCUUUAAUCAUUGUUGCAUAAUGAUAAAAUUGAAGUAAGUGCAAUUAUGCUUUAUUUGAUACUCAUAAGAAUUACAAAAUCUCUUCACCUCGAGAUAUUGAAGUCUAGGUAAGAAAAUAGAUGGAUAAAAGUGCGAUAUAAAACUUUUCUUCUUUUUCCUUUUCCCAUUUGAAAGGUGUUUGUGGUUGAAGGAAAAAAAUAUCAAGUGGUAUAACAAAAAUAUUGGAUUCGGGAAAAAACUCAUAUUAAAGGUCUUUGAUGACUAUCUUUUGCAUUUUGUUUUUUGCUUUUCUCCUUUCAAGUUCUAACAUACAACAACCAAUCUUCUCUUUUAGUAGUUGUCUUGAACUUUGAUGACAAUUGCGCAAAGCCUUUUACGAAAUUUGCUUGAAGGCAUACUACCAUCCAAAGUUCAAUAAACCAAGGAAAAUUGCAUGAAAAUAUUUCAUAUCAUUUCUUGAAAUUUAGAUCUUGGUAAGAAAUUGGUUUAAAGGUAAGCUACUAUCAAAGUUUGGAAAAUAGAAUGUCUUUCAUACUAUUUUUCAUGUUUAGGUAACAUGAAAAAAAUAAAUUUUUUUUUUCAUUUUUCUUUUGUUUUUCUUCUAUUGGCAUUCAUUGGUGACUAGUUAUAUACACAUAGUAUAAUUUUUAAAAGGAUUUCCUUUAAUUUUUUUUUUCCAAAAUAAUAUUUGAGGAACCUUGAUUAUACCAUUUUAUUAUAUUUUCUUCAGAAAAAAAAAUCUUUUAUGCAUGUUGUUCAUGUUAUAUAUGAUAAUUUAAUUAAAUUUUAGUUACAACUUUGAGCCGCUUGAAGCCCACAAAAUCCAUUUAAUAAUUUAUUUUUUUCAAAAUAUUUAUGUAGCUAGAGGUGCCAAAUAUAAAAACAAGAGAUCAAUGGAUAUGAAUACAAAAAUGGCUAAAAGUAUACAAUAGUUUUCCUAUGUAUUUACUUUCUAAUUUGGUAACUCUUUUGCACUCUCAUGAAAACUUUUAUGAAUCUUUGUGUCAAAUUUGUAUGAAGAUAAUCCAUAUACAUAUGUGUAUUAUAUAUCACUUAAUGAUAGUUGGUUUCAUAUGGAAAAAGCAAAUAUUGCCUCCUAAAGUUAUUAUUAUCGUAAUGUGAUAUUUCAUCUUCCAAUUUUAUUUUCAUCCCUUGGCAUUUAAUACUAUGCUAUUUAUAAUACUCUCUUCUUUCUUAAAACAUUGUUAUCAAAUUAUUCAAAAUAUGAUAUUGAAUUUAUGAAAUAGAUGCUUGUAAAAUUUAUGUCAAAUGAUAAUAUUUUUCAAGAAAAAAAAUGUUAUUUCCUUUUCUUUAAUAUUUAUCCUUUUGUCAUUACUACAAAGUAAGUGCAAUUAUCUUCAUCAUCUCUGAAAGUUUGAAUUCCAUAUGCAGUCAAUGUGGCAUAUAGAUGAUCAGGGAAAUUUCUGCGAGUAUCGCCGCCACCUCGAAAACUCAAGAACACAUCAUAAUUACGAGAAUUAGAAGUAGUAGAAGAAGAGGCUCUAUGCAUGCUGGAAGAAGCCAUUUUUUGGAUGACUUGAACCAAAAUUACAAGGGAGUUUGGAAUCCAAGAAAAAUCAGAGAGAGGGUCCUUGGAUGCUCAAUGAAUAUUGGCUCCAAACCUUUUCACACCAUGAACAAAAAUCCAAGACGAAAAGCUUCAUCUGCAGUCGUGAAAGGAAAAAAAAAAAGACAUCUAUAAAGCCUCUUUGACAAAUUUCUUUGUAUAUAAAUUCUAAGAGAAACACACAUAUUUUACCUUUUGUUUGGGGAAGAUUCUUACUCCAUUCCCUUUGUGUUGGAGACUGCAGUUAAGGGAUGUAGAGAAGAUGAUGGGGAAGAUGGUAUGGAGGAUAGGCAGGGGUUGAAGAAGGGGCUGUGGGUAGCAGAGGUCUCUUUGAUUAGUGGAUGGAAUGGAGGUAAGGAAUUCUAAUAUUUUGAAAUGAAGUUUCAUUGAAGGUGUUGUUUAUAGUUUUUGUUUCCAUAAUAUUUGUGCGGCAGCUAACGGACAUAAUUAUGAUAAUGAGAAAUCCCAAAUUAAGACUAAGUAAAGCUUUUCUUUUUAAUUAAUCAUAUACUUAAUUUUUGUCCUUCAAUUUCAUAUUCUAAUUGUAAUUUGUUUUAUUAUUGUUUUUUUUUGUCUUGUAUUUUGAUAAUGUUAUUUUUUAUAGAUAUUGAUGGGAAAAUUCUAUCGUUUUUCUAAGAAAUUUAUUAGAUUCUGGUAGGAAAUUGUCAAAGCAGGCUUCUAACUAAAAGUCAAUAGAGCUCUAAGACCUUUCACAUUAAGAAAUAGUUGGAUUCAUGUAGAAAAGGCAAACCUUCCCUCAACACCCAAUGUAAUAUUUUAUUAUUUUUCUAAUUUUAUUUAUUUUCCUCUCUAGGUCCAAUAUUUGUACAACUUCAUUCUUCUUUAAUUCCUUUUCUUUGUAAUAUUUAUUUUGAUAUUUUUACAACUUAAAUUUAUGGAAUGUCUUUACUUAAUAAUUUUUUUCUUUUAAUUUUUAUGAAAAAUAUCAUUUUUUUUUAUAGAUAUAUCAAUAAGUUGGUUUUACAAAUAUAUUAGGAUAUAUCAGGCAAUAUCGAUGGAUAUUCUAACACAAAAUAUCGAUAAAAUGGAAAUUAAUCAAAACUCAGAGAAAUAUUUAGAAUAAUUUUAAGAAAUGAAUAUAAAAAGUAAUAAUAAACAUUUCGACGUUGUUUUGUUAUAGAAAUCGAUAUAUGUAUGAUAUAAUCUAUAAUAUUCUCUCAUAAUAUUUAGAAUUUAAAAGUAAAUUUUAUAUAAAUAUAUCUAAUUUGGAUGUAUUUAAUGAUAUAAAAGAAAUUAUGAUAAAAUUAUUAGUACUUUUUAAAAAUAUCGAUAAUUUGAUUUAUAUAUAUACAAAAAAACAUAUAUUAAUUUUUGCAUAUAUAAUAUAAUUUAUAAUAUAUAUUAUAUUUAUAAUAUGAAUAUAUAAAAAAGAGAAUCUUAAUAUAAUAUACAUAAAUAAAUAUUGUAUAUAUAAGUCAUACAUGACAAGGCCUGCACAUGGAGCUCUUGGCCAUGGAUAUGGAGAGUUGGAACCUCUUGGUGUGUGCAUGCAAGGUUUUGAACCUACUGUGCUUGAAGAUUGGCAAUUGGAAAACCAUUCAAAUGGAUGUGCAAUAUAUAGAAAUAGAUGGCAGGAGAAAUUAAUGGCUUUUGACAUUUCCAUGAGGGGCCUUCUUUGAUACAAUGGAAUUAACUUGGCUAUGCAUAGUGAAGAAGACAGGCUCAACUGAUUCACCUUUCUUCAGAUAUGACCCCUUCAAUGAUGCUCACCAUCAUGACAUAGAGGGUAAUGGUAUGAUUUGUGCAUUUGUGGACUUUCUCCCCACAGAAUUUGCAAACAUGAGGCUUUUAGCUUGUUAAGUUAAUUGAUUCCUCCCAUGAAAGAGAACCCAGUUGUGAACUUGUUACAACUGGAGAAACCAACCUCAUUCUCUCUUGACAGUGAAACUUCUCAACCACACCACCUAACCCAGCCUUAGCUCAUUUCCUUCCACUUUCCAUAUGCAUGAAUUCCUUAUGGUGUGGCCACCUUCUUGGGCUUAAGAAGAGGAGUAGAAACUUCAUUUUUCAACCAGCUUGAUAUGAGUGGCCCUUUCAUUCACCACGUGGUGCAUUACUAGUCGUUCAACUAUAUCCAUGUAGGGCUACCUUUGGCAUGCAAUCCCAAAGGCCACCCGUUUUCAUCCUCUUAAUUCUUCAUCCUUGCUUUCAAACAUCAAUUUUCAAAAGUCCGAUUUUCAAAUAAUUUAAAUUUCACAACUUUUCAUUAUUCCUUAAAGUUUUAAAUCACCAAAAAUCCAAUUUUAAUAAACAUUCGUUGCCAUUUUCCCCCCGACAAGUAUCUUUCACAAAUUUCCUUGUUUUUUUAAACAGUUUUAUGAUUUUCUUGAUUUUUAAUAAACAUGAAUGAAUUUUUAUAAUUCCAAAGUAAUGGAAUUUAUGGAAUUAAUUCAUGCUAUAUUAAAUAAGGCAUUGGUGGGGCCCACCAUAUGAGACAUUCGUCAUUCGAUUAUUGAUUCUGAUUGCUAUAUUUGAUCGAAUAUUGAUUGAUUUUUGCCUUGAUCUGUGGUAUGCAUGCAAUUAUUCUGUACUUGUCCACUAACCUUGUUUCCAUGAUAGCACAUUAUUGAUUCAUUGCUCAAGUAUGCAUCCUAUCUUCUCUUAUUUGCUUGGUCACUUUCCAUUGCUAUUUUGGCCAUAAUACAUCUUUGAUCAUUGUUUGAUAUCCACGAUUAAUCGAUCAAUUGUCACACUUGUCUUUGCUUAUUUAGUAAAGACCCAUUUUUAAGGGCUUAGAAGGGUGCUACAACUUAUUAUCAUACCUUUCCGAUAUGUAACUUAACCCUCGGGCCCAACUUGAUUUUUCAUAGACCUGUUUUUCCUUUUUAAGAGUCACACUUAGAGUUUUUUUUUUUCUUAUUUUUUUCCCUUUAAAAAUAAAACAAAAAUAAGUGGCGACUUCGAAAACAAAUUUUCAAGUGUGGAAUGCAUGUGAGAAAUGUGGGGUCUACAAAAUAGCGACUCCAUUGGGGAUCACUAGAGGGUUAAGCUUGAACUUAGGUUGAGACAAAUGUGACGUUUGAUUGGUUGAUCAGUGGGUACCCUUCUCUCUUUGUGCUUUUGUAUGCUUGAGUGUUGAUAGCACAUUAAGAGCUUUGAUAUGAUUAUCCUUGAUGCAUGUUUGGCUAUUGUGUUCAUUUGAAGCAUUGACAUGCUGAUUAUAUUGAUUGAUCCUCUUGUUUGUCCUCACAUAUUGUAUUUUCUUGUUGUAUGAUUACUCUACUCACCAUGACUUGUAUAUUCUUAUUGUUGCUUAUCUCGUUCAUUAUGGUAUCUUGAUUUUUUUUUUCUGCUAUAUACUAUCUAGAUCACCUUUGAGCAUGCUAUUCAUUUUUAUUGGAUACUCAUCUCAUCUAUCAUGUUUCUAGCUUCGCUUGCACAUAGAUUUGGAUUAUAUAUACCUGUUUUGCAUGACUGCUUGGAGCAUGAUUGCUUUUCUUCUGUGUGAUGCAUGUGUUGCUUGUUUGUGUGAGGCACACACUUAUCCUCUUAUCUCCAAUUCCCUAGUUUUGGUUGAACUUGUUUCCCUGGAUCUCGUAUUUCAUAUGACACUUCUUAUCUUGUUUGCUCUUUGAUUGAGCUAGUGAUUUGGAGUAAGGUCUAGUGAUGGACUACAUAUAUCUAUGUUUGAGAGCAUUUUGGAGAUGACCAACACAUUGAUGCCAAUUGGAGUCCGACCUUUGAAGAAUUGUAUAAGAGCUAGAUUUUAGGAUAUUUGUGUAGCUAGUGUGUUUUCUUCUUAGUUGGAUAGGAUUUUUGGAUGCAACCACACCAUUCACUGUGCCCUUUAUAUCACCAUUGAGCGCUAAGAGAUGCAAGAACCUUCAUAAUUAGGAAACCUCCUGGGAUGGGAGGUAAUGCAUGUGUGGAGGUGAUGACCACCUUGCAUCGAAGCACCCCAUCUCUUUGAAGGCGUGCAGAGGGUUGCAUACUGCAGGAGUGUAUGAUUGCUUCUGCUAGGAACCCUUUAAAGCCUACCUUUCUCUUUUUAGAGCCACCUUCACCUUAUAGGAUGAGCUUAGAUCAUUUUAUUAGGAUUCCUUAUUGACACAUGGGUGCAUUUGAGAGCCUUCAGGGCGCGUUUUAGUUACCACCUAGACCCAGUGCUUUCUUAUUUUGUUUCUAAUUGAGAGUGCUUAGAGAUUAGUACGAGUUUGAGUAUCUGUUGGAUUACCUUUUGCCUUGUUGCAUUAGAUUCUUUCUCCUAUUUGAUGAGUUUAGCUUGCUUUCUCCCUAAGGCUUUCCUCUCUCUUUCUUGGUUUGGUACAUCCUUUCACUUUGCUAUCACUUGCUUAAUGCUUUGGGAUAUGUUCGUUGAUCAUGAUCACCUUUUUACACCGUACACCUAUCAUGGGCCUAGUACCCCAUUCUUUGUUCAAUUCUUGAUUCAACUUUCAACUCGAUGUUCACAUUUUCAUUAUGGAAAGGUGAAAGGCAUGUUUUCACAUUCAUAUUUUUUUAAGGGAUUUGCCUUGAUCACCUUAUUAUUUUUCUUCGUGGAGCUUGGAUUGAAAGUUGAGUCAAGGAUACAUAGUUACAGAUGGAGUAUCAAUCUCAUGCUAGUGUGUUUUUCACACUUUUUUAUUUUUAUUUUAUUUUUUUAUCUUGGAUUAUUGAUAUGAAUUCUCUAGUCACAUUUGUAGCCAUCUCAUAGUGGAUACCUUUUUUUACUCCAAAGUUCUCGUCAUACAUCCAAAUUUUAGAUUGCCAUCACUAAACCAUGUAUACCAGGCAUGUGUCAUACUUUUGACUAUAAGAAAUCUUUCACUUAUAUAUCAUGAUCACUUAGACCUAACCCAUCAUGGAGGAUUUUGAGCUUGUUGACCUAGGACCAGGAGAUUGGCCUAAAGAGUUCAAGACUAUGACCUAUCCCACUUCCUAAUUAGAGCAGUACCAUAUCCACAUCUAUACCUUGACCUUUUGGACUUCAUGACCUAUCCAUGAUGAGUUUUGUAUAGUAUUCUUCCUUUGAUACCAUUGCAUGACCCUUUCUUCCCCAAGUAUCCUAACCUAGUACAUUCCUUCGUUGAUUCAACCAAGUAUGGUUUGAGAUGAUUAGACUUAUGGUGGGCUUUGCAUUAUGAUGAGGGAGUUAUGGCGAGAGAUCGAUUUGAUUGCUUUAUAAGUUUGUUGACCAUUCUGCGGUUGAGAUGAGUAGAGAUACCAUUACAAAGCAUCCAGAUCUUAGCCAUUGCAAAUGAUUUCAAAGAGUUGGGAUGACUAGAGAUGAUGAUUUUAUGAGAUGAUGAGUGUUUUGUGAUGAAACAUGGGUUGGUCGCUUGAUGAGAUUGUUGACUAUCCUAUGUUUGAGAUGGACAAAAAGGUUGCACAAAGCAUUUGGAGUCAAUUUUCACAUGAUUAUAAAGGGGUUGGCAUGGCUGUGUUGGAUGGAUAUUGAUAUUUAGUGUUGACCAUGUGAGAUCAUGAGGGCAAGAUGUUUGAGGUUUUGGUCAAAGGAUGGGCCAUCGUUUCAUGAUCCUAUUUACUUGAUCACCCUUAUAUAUGGAGUUACCCGUUGCAAGCCCUUUGAGUCUCACACAAAUAUUAUAACAUUUUUUGUCUCAUCACCUGAUUUACCUUUUGCGUCGGGUUAGGGGCCCUAUAGUGCUUCCAUGCUUUGAUUAGAUAUCUCAUGAGUUCUAGACUUGAUAGACAUAUUUAGUCUUCAUCUAUCACUCUUCAUUGUGAUAUUUUCCACUUUGACAUCGUCUCAUCACUUUUUUCGAUAUCACAUAUCACCACUUGUGAUGUACAUCAUCUUUCUUUUCCCUUAUCAUUGCUUAUUUUGACAUUCUCUUUGCUUAACCUAGAGUGUUGGUUUUCCACACACCAUUGCAUGGAAGACGGUCACAUCCUUCCCCUAGUUCACCUCAUGGGCAGUGGUUUAGAGAUCUUAGUUUGAGAGGUUGUCUUGUUAGUAAGGAUUCAUGUUACAUUAGUAUGUGGGGAGAGUUUGAUCAUUUGUGGUAUGCGUUUUCAUUGAAGAUUGCCCAUUAUUGAUUAGAGUAUGCAAAAAAAAAAAAAAAAAAAAAAAAUAGAGUGCAUUGUUCAUUGUACCAUUCUCCAUUGAGCACAUGUAUAGACGUGUCGGUUUACUUCAUUAGGUUCAUAUGUCAGUGAGAGUUCAUAUGUGAGCUCUUAGAGAUUUUCCUUUUACUCAAUCCUAUCUUUGCAUGUAUUUCUAGGUGAGAGUAUGAGUCGCUUAUUCGAUUUUUUUGAGAGAGUUGAGCAACCUUUCUUUAGGAUCUCUGGAUCUUUGCCCUAUUCAUCACUACAUCCAUUAUUUUAUGUGACUUGUCUCCAUGCUUUGAUGUGGAUUGAUCGGUACUCAUAUAUAUAUAUAUAUAUAUAUAUAUAUUUUCUGAUUGAUUUCAUUUUGUUACUCUCUUUGACUCUGUUAUAUUUGCUUAUUCUUUCUUUUCUUAUCUCGCUUGAUGUUGGAUUUGGAUUUAACAUUCACAUACUUUUGUUCAUCUUGUGGAUAUUGAUGUUCAUUCCUUUAUCAUGUGAGAGCCUCUAGGUCCAUCACUCAUGAGGUUUUCUAUGCAUUACAUCUUAUGCAUAAGGGAUAUGGGGAUUGUAUCAUUAGGAUUAUUUGAGCCUAGUUUCCUCUCGUUUCUUUCACCCUAUUACCUUAGCCUACGUUAUGUCUCAUGUCUUAAGACCACCUUGAGAUUAUGACUUCACACAUUGUGUUUGAUUGCUCACACAUGGAUGAUUCUUGAGUUUGGUUGGAGAUUUUUGCUUGGAGCAUGAUGGAUGAGGAGCUAUGAUAUGAUUUACAUUAGAGCAUACCCUUCUUAUCAGUGGUGGAUAUUUGGGAUGAUGUGAUCUACACUAGGGCAUACCCCACUCAUCGGUGAUAAAUUUUUUGAGAUGAUGCCUUACAUUGGGGCAUAGCCAAUUUGCAUCUUCACUUGGAUUAUGACAGAUUAGUAGUUAUGGCAUGACCCUACAUUGGGGCAUAACCAUUUCAGAGAGCACUUUUAUUAAAGAUAUACUCAUUCUACUUGAUAUUCUACAUUGGAAUACAUUUCUCUCAUCAAUGGUUGAUUUUUGAGAUGACGGUUUAUUUUGAGACAGUUGCUUGAGAGAUUGUGCAUGGUAGACAUAACCACCUUAUUUCCUUCUUGUGGAGCAUGGGGUGAUUAGGGUCUGUUGAAAUUAUAUUGGUGUAUUCAUUUUCAGCAUUGAAGGAUGAGUUUAACUUUGUUCUGAUGACCCAUACUGAGACAUAACCCUCUCAUUGGCGAUGUAGUUUGAUUUGUCUUAAAGCAUAGCCACUUCAAAUAGUUUAUAUCGAGGCCGACUACUUCAUUCAUUCUCAUGGAGUAUGUGGAUCGGAAGUCUUUGGAUCAUGUUAAGAUGUUUUCAUUUUCAGCAGUGGGAGUUGAGAUUAAUUGAUUUGUUAACAAACACUAGAACAUGGUUUCUCUUAGUAGUUGUUGAUUUGGAUACACUACUUUAUACUAGGGCAUAGCCGUGAUGGAGAGUAUUUUUCAUUAAAGCAUAGCCACCCUAUUGAAUCCUUUACAUUAGGACAUAUCCAUCUUUUGGAGCGAGAUUAGAUUGAUUCUUUAUGUUAGAGCAUCUAGAAAGUGAUAUGGAGAUAUUUGGAUUGUUCCAUGUUGUCCUCAUUGUAUAUAGGGGCAUAGCCAUAUUAGAGGACAUCAUUUUAUAUUGGGGCAUAGCCACUUUGCUGUUCGACAUUGAGAUUUGACUUUCUGUUUAUGAUUACUACUUUCGAUGGAUUAUGGAGCUAUUGACACCUUAGGUUUUUUUCUUUUCGGCAUACUUGGAUGAACUCGGAACCUACCUACCUUUCAUUUCAUACUCAGAUAUUUCACCCUUGAUACUUUCAUGUUUUACUGUCUUACUAGAGCCUAAUCAUUACCUUCUUUUGGCUCACACAUUUCACCAUGACAUAUGACCUCACACCUUACUCUCUAGAUUAGAGGAGGAUGUAGAAUAGUCCUUGACUUCUCUAGUUGAGCUCUCAUACAUAUUUUGGACUUUAAGUUCAACAUCUUACAUGAUGGUAGGACCUGACAGAUUACCGAUUUAUUAGUGAUGAUGUUUUCAUUUCUGACAGUUGACAUGUUGAGUUUUGAUUUACUUACACUAUACAUGUUAAGUAUUAGCCACCAUUAUUUUUGUCCACCAAUCAGUUUCAUUUUUUUGGUGUGGUAUCAUCAUGCAUGACCCCAUUUGGCAUUCGCAUUUGAGGUUAGACAUCUUCAUUACAUGGUUGAUGAGCAUAUUCUAGAGUACAGUAGUUUUAUGGCAUUCAUAUCUUAGUUUGUUCACUAUCACAUGCUUGGGCAUACCCCCUUCUUUGAGAUCAUCAAACUUUUCACAAGCUUCAUUGCUUUUUGAUCUAGUUGUUAACCUUGUAAGUUGCAUACUGGGAACCUUUCAUAAGCUUCAUUACCUUUUGACUUAGUUGUUGACCCUGCGAGCUGCAUACUAGGGCAUACCCCUUUCUUUGAGAUUAUCAAACCUUUAGUAGAUUGCAUUGCCUUUUGACCUGGUUGUCAAUCCUUAUGAGUUGUCAUACUGAGGCAUAUCCCCUUAUGUCGAGUUUGUUUGCAUCGUUAUCUCAAUUAUGCUUUGCUUUUAAGCCACCUGAUUAGAUCAUUAUCAUAUCAGUAUUGUUUUGCUUUGGUGUAGACCACACCCAUAUUGAUCAACCAUCUUCUUAUUAGUCUAUGGCAGUUUAUGUUGGGACUGCACCUAUAUCGAUCAAUCAUUAUCUUGCUAGUUUGAGUUUUUAGAACUGUACCUACAUUGAUCAGUCAUUCUAUGCUAGUUUGAGUUGAGAUUACACCUAUAUUGAUCAGUCAUUGUCUUAUCAGUUUUAGUUUGACUUUUUGGGUUGCACUUAUAUCGAUUGAUCAUCUUCCUAUCAGUUUGAGUUUUUGAGACCGCACUUAUAUCAAUCAGUCAUUAUAUUGUCAGUUUGAGUUUUCAAGACCACACCUAUAUUGAUCAAUCAUUGUCUUGUCAAAUUGAAUUUGAGUUUUUGGGUUGCACCUAUAUUGAUCAACCAUCUUCUUAUCAAUUUGAGUUUAGUUUGAGUUUUUGGGACCAUACAUAUAUUGAUCGCUCAUUAUCUUGUCAGUUUGAGUUUUCAAGACCACACCUAUAUCGAUUAGUCAUUGCUAUGUCAGUUUGAGUUCAAUUUGAGUUUUUGGGACCUUACCUAUAUCGAUCGAUCAUUUUCUUAUCCAUUUGAAUUUUUAGGACUGCACUUAUAUUGAUCAGUCAUUUCUAUGUCAGUUUGAGUUAGGACUAUACUUAUAUCAAUUGGUCAUUUUCUUGUCAAUUUGAGUUUGAGUUUGAGUUUUGGGGCAGCACCUAUAUCGAUUGACCAUUUUCCGAUCAGUUUAAGUUCAGUUUGAGUUUUAGGUACAUCACCUAUAUCAAUUGGUCAUUUCUAUGUCAGUUGAGUUUGAGUUGGGAUCACACCUGUAUCGAUCAGUCAGCUUAGUUUUGAGUCUUGUUCGACUUUGAGCUGCGCCUAUCCUUUCAAGUUUCUUCGGCUUUGAAUCGCGCCUUAGUUUUGAGUCUGGUCAUCCUUAAGUAACACUUUCUUCUUCCUUUGAGUUCUUUUUUUGUUUGUUGAUCACUUCUUAUCUUGGUCAUCCUUGUGUUGUUCAUUGUAUCACAAUCUGGUGCUAUUCAUUGCAUAUGCACUCCUCACAUUAUCUGUAUCUUUAUGCUGAGCUUGUUCCCCCUUAUCUGACCUCGAUCUUGAGCUUAUUGUGUUGUGUCAGGAUCAAAAUUUGAGAUCUUUUCUAUUUUUUGGUACAGUUCACUUUGUUCCAUUCAUCUCUCACGUAUUCGUAAUCCAUUCAUUACACUUAUAAUCUUUAUCGAAGAGGAACAUAUUUAUAGACUCCUGAUUUUGGAUCUUGGGAGAGGCUUUUUUUUUUUAAAACACUUUUUUUUUACCACUUUCUAAAGGCUUCCAAAAGCCAACUGGAGAGUGUGAGCUGUCAAGAAAGUGAGUGGAGUAGUGGUGGUUUUCUUGGAGCCGCAGUUUGGCUAGGACAGGGGGAUAUUCUAUAGUAUGGUGACACGUAGCAGAGGUGCAGGAGGUUGCUUUUUGGUAGCUGUUUUUAGAGAGGCUUGGAGGAGCAACGAGAGUGAGGUGGGUUUUUUGGGAAAGAGAGCGAAGGAUGUUUUGGAGAGGGGAAGGAGUACAGAAGAAAACGAGCAGAGUGUAGAGGAGUAUUCGAGGGGACUGUCUCAGGUAGCAGAGACUGUUGGUUUGAGAUUGUGAGAGAUGGUGAGCUGAGCUUAGACAAAGAGAGCUGAGAAAAAGCUGUGAAAUAGAGGAAAAACUAAGAAGAAAGGUAGGGAGCUGUAGAGGGAGGUGGGCUGGGUGAAAUACGUUUGAGGAGAGGAAUACUAAGUAAGAGGGAGUUAGAGCAAAGGAGAAGAAGCUGAGAGAGAUCUUGCUGAUUCGUGGGAAGGAAAGUAGAGCUUGAAGCCAAGCAACUCUUUGCUUGAGGAAAGCUUUCCAGGUAUGCCUACUCUGAGCUUCUUGUCUCUCAUUUUCACGCUAUUUUUCUCUUAUUUUCUGCUGUUUUUCUGGACUUCUUCUUAUUGAUUGGUGUAGACAUGAAGAGUUAUUUGAUUGUUUUUGGCUGAAUUUGAUCCUUUGUAUACAUGCUCUGUUUUGGGUUUUCUUUGCUUUCCCCUGUACAAGACUAAUGCAUGGAUUUAUUUCUGAACUUGAUAUCAUGGCUCUUGUUCCCCGAUAAUUCCACCUGUUUUUAACCCAUGGAUGCUACCUGAAAUGAGGCUCUAUACGUUCAUGUUUUGCUUGAUUUCUUAUUUGCUCUUCCCUCAGUAUUUACUCUGGCUCCUAUCCUCGCUUUUUAUUCCUCUGUUUCUGGUAAGUUGGGGUGCUGGGCAUCUAAGCUUGGGUUGUCCAUCUUGAUUGGGAUUUUUUCUGGGAGAGCCUCUUGAGGGCAAAUUCUAUACAAAUGGGUAUUUCUGGAUACCUGUGAGCCAUGUGGUCCACAUUGAAAUGCCUAAGGAUGCAAUGGAGGGAUACAGAUGAGGAUAAGUAAAUCUCUACUUGAUGCUCUGGACACGGGUAAGGCAAUCAUGUAGAAUGGGGUACUGUCGUCUAUGAAUCUUUCACUGUGGGCAUGGGUGGAAUUCCUCAUGCACUAGGGUUACAGUGCUUGCAAGUUUGUGAUAGCAAGGUGGAUAAGGGUGUUUGCAGUUAUGCAGGGAAGUUGGAUGAGGAUCUAUCAUGCAUUCAUUCUUGUUAGAGAACUCUUGAAAGAUGGGAAUUGGAAAAAUGGAAAGUUUCAUGGGGAGUGGAUUUUUGUGUCUUGGAAGAUUAUGAUAGAUAGGUAUUUCAGAAAUGGAUGUAUCAAGGAGGCAUUAACAGUUUUUGGUUUAAUGGUGAAAAUGAUGAUAGUGAUUAUUGAAAAUCUGGGGUUCUUACCCCAAGGAACCCCAGAGAAGACAAAGACCCUACUUCUGCAGAGCUUGAGCAUAAUUUUCUUGACACCAACCUUAAUCCAGCAGUUUAGAAGCGGGUUCUCCAAAUAACAACUUAGGUUUGAGCUGAAUCAAUUGAAAGAGGAAUCAAUUAUGGUUGAAUGGUGGGGAUUAUAAUUUAAAAGAAGACCUCUCAGAAACACAAGCAUGCUUACCCAAAGUUUUAUUUAGUUCCAAUGGUGAAGAUCUCAUUCUGAAGGCUAACACUCAGCUUACGAGUGAGCCACAUAUGUCGCAUGACAAUCAGAGCACAGGGUUUUCAAAUUCCAAUGCAUUCUUUCGGGUUCGGGACGGAUAAUGGGCUUUCAGAAAUUACAAGGAAAAGACAAUAUUUUAUGGACGCUCUGCCUGUUUUGCUUGGCCUAGAUCCCUCUAUUUUCGUAUUGCCGAGGGGUCUUCCUCACACACCCAUCCGAAUGGUUUUCCAAUUGCCAAUCUUUAACCAUAGUAGGUUCAAAACCUUGCAUGCAUUCACCAAGAGGUUCCGGGUCUCCAUAUCCAUGGCCAAGAGCUCCAUGUGCAGGCCCUGUCAGUAGUGAAGUUCUGAUGAUUAUGAGUCAAGUAACCCUUGCUUAGAAUCAGUCACAUGGAAGUCAUACUCUCAUGAGUGCACAUCAACAAACAAGCAUGAUCACAACUGAUUGAAGGGAGAAUCAAUCGAAAUUUUUGUCUUAACAGAUGCUUAGUUUUUGAGGAAAGGCUAAAGGUGUCAAAAGAUGAACUAUUGAUUUCUGGAAGAAAGGGUCAUUCCGGUGGUGAUAGUGAAUCCCCUGAUAGCCAGAUGGAUGUGCAACAUACAGAAAUAGAUGGCAGGAGAAAUUAAUGGCUUUUGACAAUUCCAUGAGGGUCUUUCUUUGAUACAAUGGAAUUAACCUGGCUAUGCAUAGUGAAGAAGAAAGGCUCAACUGAUUCAAAUAGACUUAUAACAAAUAGACUAAUUAGAGUAUUAUUUUUUGAAGCUUUAUCACACAGCUUUCUAUAUAACAAAAAAGGAAGUAUUUUGAAAACUUGCUACAAAGCCUCCAUCCUCAUAAUUCGAUUCGGAAGGUUUAUUGAAUUAAACUCUCCCUAAAGCGUUUCGAGUGUGCCCACAAUUUCUGACGAUCAGGAAGAUUUUCUUUGAUCACUGGAACCUGCUUAAAAUUCUGAAUCCAUGCUUGCAAUCGAGGGAACGUGGUGGAAUUCAGCAAUUUUGUGCCUACGGCUUCUUCUAUGCCCUCAAACCAGUAAGCCAGCCAACCAAAUGCUAUGUCCACCAGUCCUAUAGCUUCCCCUCCGAAAAACUUCUUAUCCCCAAGGCUUUGCUCUUCUAUGAUUUUCAGUAUUUCCACUGUUUCUUUUAUGGCCUUCUCUUGCUCUUCCCCAGCAGCAGAUUUAAAGAAUUGAAAAAAAGUGGCAUUCUAGAAGAAAUUAAGCAACAAGUAUAUAUAUUUAGAAUGAACUGUUGAAAAACAACAGUAAGGUGAUCUCAAAUAUCAAUAAAAAUUGAAGUUAAUUAUUAAAUUAAUUAAAAGAGGAAAAAAAAAGAUUUAAAAAGCCUACAAAUUCUUUUCAUUUUAAUCAUAGGUAUUAAUCGAAGAUUUCAAUUUAAUUCAUCUUUCCCCUCCUAAUUCCUUACUGCAAGACCUAGACAGGGUUAGAGAAAUUUGAUAGAGUUAAAGAAUGCUUAAAAGUAUCAUGGCUUAUUUUGUCUGAUCACUUAAAUAAAAUUCUACAUAUAGCUUAGGAAUUUAUUAGUGAAUACUUUCACAAAUGACUGAAAACAAGAAAUGGGUUAUGAAAGCUAGAUGGAGAGCUUUCAAAUAUUUCAGGUCUGUAAAAGAUUCGGAAAUUAAAUCAUAGGAAUUGAUAAUGAAAGCAAGAUUAGUGAGUUAAACCUACCUUUGAUUCUCCAAAAUUGAUCCAAAACCGAGCCAUGGCUCUCUCAUAAGCAUCUGUCGGCAGCAGUGGAUUCUCCGGCCAUGUUUCUUCAAUGUAUUCGAGGAUUACAAGGGACUCGGCUACUGCUCUGUCACCAUGAAGAAGCACCGGAACCUUCUUGUGAACUGGAUUGUGGUGUAACAACAACUGGCUCUUGCUACGAAGGUCUUCCUCAAUAUACUCAUAGUUUAUGCCCUUGAGUUUUAGGGUCCAUAUCACCCUGUAAGCAAAAGAGCUUGCCCAAAACCCUAAUAGCUUCACUCCUGCCAUUGUUUUCUAUUAUGCCAGCUCAAUUUGCUUGGGGAUGAGUUUCAAAUCUUUAAACUUGGAGGAAGAUGUGAUCCUUUCUCUUCAACCAAGGAUUUCAGCCUGUGUAAGGAGGAUUAUUCAUUUAAUUAGAUCUGUAAUAAUAUUUAUGUAUGAAGGGGUAUUUUCAAAUUAAGAAUCUUCACAAUGCCCUUAGCUAAGACUAUAUUAAUUGUUAUUAUUUUCUAUUAACAUGAAAAAGAAAAAAGAUAUAUUGACUAGUGACUCUUAAAGGUCAAUGAGUUAGGUAGAUUUUUAUUUCUGCCACUAAUAUAACAUUGCAGGUAGGUCCAUUCCUGGUUAUAAAUAUCCAAUUAGAAGAAGCUCUACCUUUUUCAUGGAAACGACAAAAAGGAAGAUUGAAAAAUCAAAGAAGUAACAUCAAGUGUUUAUAAAGCAUCAAUCAUUUCACUUGGACAAGAUGUUAAUUGCCAGAGUCGGUCAAUAGAAGAUAAGAUCUAGGAUGAAGACCCCGAAUAAGAAAGAAAAGGUGUGAGAAAAUUUAUGUAACAAUUAUUUCGAAUUCUAAAGCAAGUUUAGCAAUGAAAUAACUCCCUUAUAACCAUCAAUAUAUAUAUAUAUCAAUCGGGUGGUACAUUAGGUCAGAGUACUCACCAGCUCACAUCACCCAAGUCAAUGAAAUCCAAUACCUCAAUCUUAGUUCAACUAAAUAUACCUUCAUGAUUGGCUUAAGUAUGGGUAGCAUAUUGUUAUGAACUUUAAUGUAUAUUCCUUUAUUAUCUCCUAAAGGUUAGGAUUAGAUAAUUAUUUUAAUCUCCUCUCAUUUAUUUCCUUCGUAUAUAUGUAACUACUCUUCAAAUGAAUAAGAUGAGCCAUUAUUCCAUACUUUGUUAUAUGGCAUUAGAGCUCUUUCUACUCUUAUUGAGUUUCUUAAUUUGCCAUGGCUAACAUUUCUAUCACUAAUACUUCAAACUCAUCUAAUUUAGAUUUGUUAGCUUUUGUACCCAAUGUUUCAACUUCCAUUAUUAGCUCCUCAACUAGUUUCAUUUCCAUCAAUGUCAAUGCCAAACUUCUUUAAAAUUAACUUUUCAUAAUUAUUCUUCAUGGCAUGUCUAAUUUUAUGCAAUUCUCUUUUGCUAUAACCUUUUCGGAUAUGUAGAUGACUCUCUAUUGUGUCUUCCUAUUUUUGAGGCUUCUUCUCAUUCUUUUAGGCCAUGCCAAGAUCAACUCAUUUUUCAUGCAUUUUUGCCCCACUUUCAAAAUCUAUCAUGCCGCUCAUAAUUGCCUCAACCAAAACUUCAUGAAGCAUAGUUAAAAUUUACCAAACUUUAUGUUGGUCACUCUUAAAGUCACAUCCUUCAAUCCAAAGGAAAAAUUUCCUCAAGCACCCCUAGAGAAAAAAUUUUCUUAGAGUUUUUACAAAUAUUCAAAAGCCUUUGCGAUCAACUCACCCUUUGUCAUUCAACUUUGGAUGAAGAAGAUUUGUUUGUACACUCUCCGAAUGGAAUGGGAAAAAGAAUAAAAGGAAGUUGUUGUUGCCAUUCAAUCUAAAGAAAUUCCCAUUUCAUUGGAAGAACUUUAUCAUCAACUCAUAGAUCAUGAAGAGUUUAUGCAACAAGACUCUCUUAGCUCUGAAUUUGUUCCUAUGUCUACAAACCUAACUUGCUAUCAUAAACAAUCUCAUAUGUACUAGAAACUUCUAUUCUCCUUUGUUUUGCCUUAUUGAAAAACCUAGUUCAUAUCCGAAUUAUCUCACCAAUCAACCAUCAAAAUGAAAGCAAUCCAACCUAAAUCCUAAUGUCUGCCAAUAUUGUGAAAACUGAGUUUAGAUUGCCAAGAAUUGUUUGAAGCUCUUCCCUAAUCAACAUCUUUUCCAUGCCAGUACCAACUAUAGUAUCCCAUACCUCAUGAAUACCUUUCCUUAACUUAUUGAUUCAAGCACUUCGCACCAUGUUAUUAUUGAUUUAAGUAAUUUGGCCUUGCAUUUUGAACGUGAGAGUUAUGAUGAUACAGUCCUUAGUGAUGGUGAAGAUCUCGAUGACACACACUGUUAUGCUAAUUUCUCAAUUCUUUAUUUUACCAAAACCUUCCCUUUACAAAUGAUCUUUGUAUCACAUCAAUGCAAUUGUUUCUAAAUUUUGUUUAUCUCAAAAUUCUUCCAUUGAAAAUUUUUCCUUCAUAUUUUUACGUUAAGUAUCUUCAAAUGAUAGCACUACUAUUGCAAGGGUUAGGAUAAAGAUGGUGUUUACGAAUGCCACAACUUACAUAUGCUCUUAGAAAUUGCAUUCAUGCUCUUGGCACACUCAAGGAACCUUAGGUUUUCCAUUAAUAAUUGGGUCAUCUAUAGAAGCUCUUUAGAAGAUGACAAGAAAAAUUGAAACCCUAACCCCUAAUAGGGGUAUUUAUAGGGCUCCUUAUGAGCUGAAGUGAUUUCAGCUUAAAAUGGGCUUAGGUCCUAAUUAAUUAAUUAACUUUAAUGGGAUCUAAUUAAUUAAUUAGUCCUUACCAGAAAGAUAAUUCAUAAGAUCUAGUGCAACCUUACAUUUUGAUUAAAACACCCUUAUACACACUUAUGAAUCAAAACUCAAAUCCCUUAAAAUAAACGUGUACCUUUAUAAAAUAGAAACUCAAGCGUGGACCAUUGGGACCCAUAGGAAAAUAUUAGUUCCUUUAUAAUUUAAUUCUAAAGUUGAUUCAAUACUCCACUAAAGAUCAUCAAUUGCACUCUAAUAUUAUAAUAGCAUAGCUCAGGUUCAUGCCUUACCAUCCAUAGCAUGCAGACUCCUUAUGACUUGGUGUCUAUAAUCUAACAUGGUAUUGCUAUCAUCUUUAAGAUUACCUCUCCAAUCCUUCUGUUAUAGAUCCCACUUAUUAUGUGAUCAAUUAACAUACUUUAACUCCAAGGAACAUAUGUCAAAUUUCUACUGAAGGAAAUGAUCUGACCAUAGGCUUCUAAAUCACAUGUUCUUUGGAUCACUUAAGAAGAGACACUAUCUCAAUUUAAUGAGAAAUUGUGGUGCCUCUAUUGAGAAUAUCUAUUGCCAUUAGGCUUCAUCAAUAGUAACCCAAUUCAUAGGGACAUAUGGUCACUUUAAGAUCUCACCCAUAAGUCAACGUCUCCUAUUGAUUUUGGCACAGACUUAACACCUUCUCAAGGUUGAGAGUCCAUGUAGUAUAAUAGCUUAGUGAAUUGUGAUAACCGAUAGCCUUAUGUCAUGAUUCACUAUAGGUCAUGUCCAAUGUGCAUCACAUACACUAUUGCACUCACUAUGAGAAAAUCAUCCCAAUGACCAAGAUAAGUCAUUCCUUUAAUUACGAGAUAGUGCAUUACAGUCUCAAAUGAAUUGCCUAAAUCUAUGAACCAACUGUGAAUUACUCAUCACUCUACAAGGUACCCAUGACUUGGAUCUUCAAUGCAGUUCCUAAUGCGCCCAAGUCAUGUGCAAUGCAAGUAAUGUGGGUAUGUAUGUUUAGAUAACCAAUUAAUGCUCAUGUAACUAAAAAACAUAGAUAAAUAAUUUUAUAAAUGAAUCUCAAUUUGUUAGAUCAUUUCAUUUUUUCUAAGGCUUAAUCCUAGCAAUAUAUUCCUUAUGAAUUUGGUCACUAAUGAUGGAGGUUAGUUGUAAUAGAUAUCUUCAAUAAAGACACCAUGAUAUCUCAUGGUAUUGAGACAAUGGGUCUUCUUAAAACUAAAGUUGCAGUAAUUUCUUAAGUGGAAUUUGACAUAUAUUCUUUAUGAGUUAAAGUAUGUUAAUUGAUCACAUAAUAGGGGGAUCUGUAACUCAAGAAUUGAAAAGGUAAUCUUGAGAGGUUGAUAGCACAUAUCUCCUUGAUUACAAAUACCAAUUCACACAGUCUAUGUGCAAUGGGUAGUAGGUUAAAGACCCAAGCUUUAUCUCAUUAUAAUAUCAUUGGAUACUAGAGUGUAGUUAGCUCUCUUUAGUAGAGUGUUUAGUAAUUUCAUAAUUAGAUUAUGAGGGAACCAAUAUUUUCUUAUGGGUCCCAAUGGUUCCUGUUUCAGCUCUUGAUUCAUGUUGGCAUGUUUGAUUGAGAGAAUUAUGGGUUUUUAAUUCCUAAGUGUGCAUAGGGGCAUUUUGAUAAAAAUAUAAGGUUGCACUAGAUCUUAUGAAUGAUCUUUCUAGAUUUGGCUAAUUAAUUAAUUGAAGUCUAAUUGAGUGAAUUAAUUAAUUAGGACUACAAUGGACUAGAUUAAGUGACCUAAGCCUAAUUUGGGGUAAAGUCACUUAAGCCCACAUGGAACCCUAUAUAAAUCCCCUUAAAGGUUUAGGAUUUCAUUUUUUGCAUCCUCGUCUUUCAAACUUUGGAAAAGAAAUACCUUGCCUCCUUUUAGAUAAGUCCAUCGUUAUCUUGUGCCAUAGAUAUGUGAAAUGAGUGAUAAAGUAGAAGAUCUUUAGAUCUACAAGAUCUACGAUGCCAACCUAGAUCUAUCCAUUAAGACUUAAUGAUCCACCACUAAACAUGAUUUAACUAAAAGCGAAUGAUGCAUACCUAACUUUUUCUUUAGGAAUUCAAGGCUCUCCUUUUUCUAGUGGCUUUUCUUUUCAGAAAGGAAACACUUGCCCUUCCCAUUGCUCUUCUUACUCAUUUUCUUAAACUUUUGCUUUUGUUUGAUGUUCUUUGAAUUGUUCUUCUUCUUCUUCUUCUUUUUAGAAGAACCUGAAAAACCCUUGAUUAUCAUAUGACUACCUUCUUAGUCGUUGAGAAUCCCCUCAGUCAUCCGAGUUCCCUUAUAAUUUUAGGUAAGCUCAUCACCAAUUUAUGCAUAGUAUAGUUGAACUUGAACUACCUGAAGGAAUCCAACAAGGUUCGAUCUAAAACUCAAACAUCAUCUUUAUGUUUCUGAGUUUAGAAAGAAUUUGAUUCCAGUUUCUAGUUACGUAAAUCGAAUUGUUCAAUGUUUUUUAAUAAACAAGUUAUUAUUAAAAUGAAUAAUUCAAUUAUAUGCUCAAGACCAUUGAUUAAUAAUCUUUAUCCUAUGACUGCAUUAUCAUUAUUGUUAAGUAAUGAGAAUAAUCAUAUCUCACUUAAAAGAAAGCAACCCAUCACUAAUCAAAAACACUUUUGACACUUAAACUUAGGUUAUACUAAUCUAAAUAGGAUCCAAAGGCUACUUAAAGUCUAGAAUAUUGCACUCUUUCAUUCCAAAGGAUCUUUUAGUCUGAAAAUCCUAUAUGGAAGGUAAAAUAACUAAGAAGCCAUUUACUACUAUAGGAUACAAAGUCAAAGAAUGUUUGGAGUUAAUGUAUAUUGAUAUGUGUGGACUUUUGAAUGUCGAUGCAUGGUGAGGGUAUGAGUACUUCAUCACCUUUACAAAUGAUUACUCUAUAUAUUUACCUAAUGCAUAGAAAAUCCAAUGCCUUAGAUAAAAUUCAUUAGAUUUAAGGUGGAAUAAAAAAACCAAUUAGGUAAACAUAUCAAGGCACUUCAGUCUAAUUGCGACGGUGAGUAUACAUCACCUGGUUCAAUUAUUUCCAUAAGGAGCAUGAGAUUAUAUCUUAAUUGAGUGCAACUAAAACUCCAUAGUAGAAUGGAGUAGUGGAAAUAAGAAAUCAAACUUUGAUGGACAUAGUGAGAUUUGUGAUGAGUUUUUCAUCACUUCUUGUAUCCUUGUGGGGAUAUGCCUUAUUUUCCUAUGGGUACUAGCCCAUUCAAGCUCCUGAUUCAUUGUGGCAUGUUUGUUUAAGGGAAUUAUGAGUUUGUAAUUCAUAAGUGUGCAAUGACAUUUUGGUAAAAACACAAGGUUGUUUUGGAUCUUACGAACGGUCUUUUUGGAUUUGCCUAGUUAAUUAAUUGGAGCAUGGUAGGUCUAAUUAAUUAAUUAAGAUCCAAAUGAGCUAUAUUAAGUGGCUUAAGCCCAAUUUAGACUCAAGUUACUUAAGUCUACAAGGAAGCCUAGCAUCCUUAGACUCAAUAGGGCUUUAGUUUUUACAUCAUUGUUUUCUAGUUUCUAGAAAAGAAACUCCUAGCAUCCCUUUAGAUAACCCACCCUUAUCUUGUGGUAGAGAUCUAUGAAAGUAGUGAUUCGAUGGAAGAUCCAUAGGUUUACAAGAUCUAUGAUACCAUCAUAGUUUAUUUCAUUGGAUUGGAUUUGUUCUGGGAAUAUCUAGAUCAUAGUAUGACAUCUAAUCGUAGAUCUAUGAUCAUUAUGGUGUUGUUUACCAUAUUUCUUCAUUGAGUUAGAUUUAGAGAAGGUUAGGCAUAGUUGCAUGCACUCUACAAGAUCCAGGGCUAGAGAAUAGAGUAAUUCAAGGUUCCUAGCAUCCUCUUAUUUCAAGAAUUUAAUAUAUAGAUAUUUAGGAUAAGAAAUGUUAAGAUAAAGCCCUUAAGAAUAUAUUAUCAUGUAACAAAAUAAGAUUCAUUAAUAUAUUUAAUUAUAAUUUUAGUUUCCACUUUUCUAUCCAUGAUUGUAUUAUUACUCAUGGGAGUAUUUAGGCUUGCAUCACUUGGAUUGCACAUGAAUUGAGUGCAUUAGAAGAUUGGUGGAAAAUUUAAGUCAUUGGUUCUUUACAAGUUGAUGAGUUGUUCACAACCAAUUCAUGGACUUAGGCAAUCCAUUAGAGAUAGUAGUGUGCUACCUCUUAAUUGAAGGGCUGACUUAUCUUGAUCAUCAACAUAGAUUUCCCAUGAUGAGUGCAAUAAUGUGUAUGGUUACACAUUGGAUAAAACCUAUGACAAAUCAUUACAUGGGAUAUCGUAUGGUUAUGACUUCACCAAGUUACAAUGUUGCAAGGACUAUCAACCUUGAGAGAAUAUUGAACUUGUGUUGAGCUCUGCAAUGACUUAAACUUAUGAGUGAAACUCUAAGGUUGUCAUAAAUUGUCUAAGAAUUGAGUCCCUGAUGUUUAAGGCAAGUGGUAAUAGGUGUACUCAAGGUAGACAUCAUGAUAUCUCAUGGGACUGAGAUAAUGUCCCUUGGGGUGAUCUUAGGGACUUGUGAUCAUUAAAUCUAUGGCUGCAACAAUUCCUUAAGUGGGAUUUAACAUAUGUCCUUUGUGUAUUAGAACAUGUUAAUUGAUCACAAAAAAUAAGGAUUUGAAAUUCAAGAAUUAUAGAGACAAUCUUGAUAUGUUGAUAGCUACUAUCUUAUUAGAUUGUGCACACUAGUUCAUAAGAAACUUGUAUGUAGUGGAUUUAAUAAAUGUUAUCUCAAUGUAAUAUCAUAGGGUAUUUAAGUGAAAUUGACUUUUUUCAGUGGAAUAUUGAGUUAACUUUAUUAUUGGAUUCUAAAAUAGUUAGUUUUUUCCAAUGUUCUUAAAAUCCAACCGGACUGACCAAUUUGACUGAUCGAACCAUAGACUGGAACUUGGUUCGGUUCAUUCCAACCUAUGGCCCAGAGUACAUAUUGAACCAGGCUUAAACUGAAUGGAUUGACAGUUGGACCAUUAAACCUGUGAAUUGAUCAUUCGGUUCUGGGUUGACAUUUUUUUUCCUCGCUAAAGGGUGGUUAGGAGCCCAACCUAGUUCACCCUACUUUAGCCUACCAUAUAAGGCUAGUGGGCCAAGGACCACAUAAAGCUACAAUACGAUACAUGGGACAAAGAAUUUAAAGGAGUGUUCAUCCUCCUCUGCUUCCACAACUCCCAAUGUGGGAUGAGAUAUAAAAUCCAUACAAUUUUCCACAACUUCUCAUGUGGGAUGAGAUAAAAUACAUAAGCUAUAAUGCAAUUGGCAAUUGACAACCAGAUGAUUUGAACCAAUUUGUUACUAAUAAUUGAUAUUUAAAAAUUGUAAACUAAAAAACCAAUAACAUAAUUAUUUAAAAAUUGUUUUGAUAAUAAAAAAAAUAUAAGUAAAAUAAUGUAAUAUAGGUAAAAUAAAUUAUAAAUAAAAGAAUUUUCUUCUAUUGUAAUACAUAUUUUAUUUAUAAAAUUUAAAAUAUUAAUAUUUUUAGAUUUACUCAUGAUUUAAGUUUGAUAAUAUUAAAGACAAUAUAUAUAUAUAUAUAUAUAUAUAUAUAUAUAUAUAUAUAUAUAUAUAUAUAUAUAUAUAUAUAUAUAUAUAUAUAUAUAUAUAUGCUUUAAAAUUUUAAAAUUUAUUUUUAAUUUUAAUAAUAAAUAAAUUAUAUAUUUAUGACAUCAUCGAUUCGAUUGCAGUUUGACCAUUGGUUUGACCAUUGAAUCGUGAACUGGUAACUUUUUUAGUUCAAUGACCGAUCCAAUUAUGAAAAAAUUGGUUUUUUCUUAUAAGCUUUAGUGGGCCUUGCUUGAACUCGUAAUCUUUGUUAGAACAAAGACUUGAGGGAAAUUGGGUUUAUUUAAUCAUAUGUCUGCAUAAGAGCAAUUUGAUAAGAAUGCAAGGUUGCACAAAAACUUAUAAUUAUUAUUUUAGGUUUCCUAAAUUAAGCUAAUUAAUUAAUCGGAGUCCAUCAGUGCUAAUUAAUUAAUUAAGAUCCAAUGGUCUAGAUUAAAUGAUCUAACCUCCAGUGGGCCUAAGUUACUUAAGCCCACAAGAGUGACUAUAACUUCUUAGGGUUUAGGGUAAGCUAACAAAGAAAUCCAUCUAUUCAUUCUUUAUUCUUCUAAAGAAAACCUUAUUCAUCUUUUCUCUCUCAAGGUUGUGUAGCCACUUUAGACACAUGACAAGGAUCAAAGACAAAUCUUUUGAGUGGAACACACCUAGUUUUUGAGAUCUCUACAUUAACUUGAAUUUGAUCUAGGAAAAUCCAUGUUGAAUUGUAUGUCUUUUAGCACCUAAAUCUAAGUGUAGACCCUUCAUUUUGUCUCCUUAGCACAUGCCCUAUGAGGUGUUCUUUCAAUAUUUCACAGUAGUUCUCUAGUUGCCCAUUGCUACUCAUGCAACUUUUCUUUUUUAACCACCUUGGAGACUUUGAAUGAGGGAUUUAUCUAGCCCCUCAUUGUGACCCUUGGCAACCUUGAGUUAGAUCUAAGUUUUUUUUUUCUUUUUAGGAUAACUCAUUUAGGUACACUUUCACUUAGACACAUCCUAGGUCACCUAGCCACUUUUCUUAUCACCCUAGGUCACUUAGGCACUUUUCUAAUCAUCCUAGGUCACUUAGACACUUUUUUUAAUCACCUUAAGUCACUUAGACACUUUUUUUUUUUUUUUUUUUUAUCACCUAGGUCCACUUAGAUUCAUUUAGGCCCACCUUAGACCCAUCUAAGCCCACUUAGCCCACUUAGGUUCACUCAAGCCUAUUUAGGCCCAUCAGAUCCACAUUAGGCCCAUCUAGGCCCACUUGACCCAUUCAGGUUCACUCAAGCCCAUUUAGGCAGAUUUAGGCCCACUUAGGUUCUCAUUUGGCCCAUCUAGGCACACCUAAGGCCAUUUAGGCCAUUUAGGUCAUUUAGGUCCAUCUAGGAUCACCUUAGCCCAUUUAGGUAACUUAGGCACAUUUUGGUACACCUUAGGCCCAUUUAGACUCACCCUAGCCCAUUUAGACACAUCUAAGCCCAUUUAGGUCAAUUAGGCCCACUUAAGCAUGCCUUGACCCAUUUAGGUCACUUAGGCCCAUUUAGGCAUCUCAACCCAUUUAAGCACACCUAGGCCCAUUUUGGAACCUUGGCCCAUAUCUGGCCCAUUUAGGCAUACCUAACCUAUUUAGGAAUACCUUGACACAUUUAGGCACACUUAGCCUAUUUAGGAACAACUUGGCCUAUUUAAGCACAUUUGACUCGUUUAGGCACACCUUGACCCUUUUAGGCAUACUUGGCUUAUUUAGGCACAUUUGACCCAUUUAGGAAUGUCUUGGCCUAUUCCAACCAAGGAUGAAAGUAUCAGUAAUUACGAAUAUAUUGGUAUUUCCGUUUAUGGAUAUAUCUGAUAUAUCGACGGAUAUUUUGACAUAAAAUAUCGGUGAACUUAAAAUUGAUCAGAAAUUAUAAAAAUGUAAGAAAAAACUAUUAAAAAUAAAAUUACAAGUAUAAUAGAUAUUUUAAAGUUGUUUUAUUCAAGAAAUUGAUAUAUGUAUGAUAUAAUUUAUCAUAUUUGAUAAUAAUAUUAUAUGUGCUAAUAAAAAAAAAUGAAUUUUAUAAGUAUACAUUUAUUAUUAAAUUAUAUCAAAUAUUAUUCGAUAAUAAUAUUUGUGAUAUUUGAUUAUAAUAUGUCUAAUUUAAAAAUGUAUUUAAUAUUAAAAUUAUAAUUCGUUUAAUUCAAUUGUAUUAAAUGAUAUAAAAUAAAUGAUGAUAUAUGUAUAAUUUUUAAUACUUAAUUAAUAUAUUAAUGAUAUUAAAAACACUAUGAAGAAAAUUAUCACAAUAAUUUUUAUAUUUUUAGUAUUCAAAUAGAUGAAAUUUUUUCAUUUAAUUAUAAUUAAUUUGUUCUUUAAAACAUUUUUAAAAAUUAUGUUUAUACGAUGAAUUUGAGUUUAUAUAUAUUUGGUGCAACUUAUAUAACAAGGGACAAACUUGCCCUACUGGUUGGCUUAAUGCAUAGUAAACCUUUUGGUUGGGGUUAACAUUCAAGUUCCAGCUCAUGUUAGCUCAUUUAGUCUCACUUAGAUCACUUAUGUUCACUUUAAGUACACUUAAGCUUAGUUUAUCUAGUUCAUUUUAAGAAGUUUUCUCUAAGUUGCACUUUAGAAUAAUUAUUUUAGAGGCAUAUUUAGUUCAUUCUAGUUUAGGUACACUUUAGGAUAGUUCUCUUAGAUGCAUAUUUAGUUCACCUUAGUUUAGAUGCACUUUUUCAUUUUAGUUGAACUAAUGUUCAUGCCAUUUAGGAACACUCUAAGUUAGUUCAUCCAUUUCUUAUUUAGGUAUAUUAUCUAGUUACAUUUUUUUAGAAUUCGUUUUAUAUACAUUUUAAAAAGGAGAGUGAGAAUUUUUUUAAGGAAUAUGAUAACUUUUUUUUUAUUUAUAUAAAAAAGGAAGAUAUGACAAUUUUUGAAGAUGGCAUCAAUUUUUUUUUUUUUUUAAAAAGAGAUGAAAAUUAUUUUGAAGAUGACAACAAUUUUUUUUAAAGGAGAAGGAAAAUAAUUAAAAGGAAUAGAAGAUAAGAUUUUUUUUUUUUUUUUCUUUUAAGAUGGUACCAUUUUAAAAAAAAAAAGGAUAGAAGAUAUGAAUUUUUUUUUUUAAAAGGAAAAGGAGAAUUUUUUUUAAAAGGAAUAUGAGUAUUUUGGAAGAGGAUAUCAUAAUUCUUUUAUAGAGGAUAUUUGAGUUUAGAAAAGAAGGACACAUAUAAGGAUUCAUGGACUAGAGGACCCGACCAUAUUGAGAAGAAUAGAGAUUCAUGCAUUUUAGAGAAGACUACUCACCAUCUUGGAUUAGGAAAAGUGUGGUGGUUGUCAUUGACUUGCCAAAACAGAUUUCAAGCAUGCAUUUGAGGAAAAGAUUGGGGGGACAUCAUUAAGGAAGAGAAAAACCUAGACAUGAAUGGAGAUUGAUUUUUUCUUUUUUCUUAUUUUUUUUUUAAGAAAAAAAAAGAAAAGAAAAGAAAGGAAAAGAGAUUUUGGGGAAGAAAACAUGAUGAACAGUCGAUGAAAGGAAGGGGACAUUUAGGAAGAAGAAGAGAUCGCCUUCUUUUGAGAGUAAAAUGAGACGUUUUGAGGGAUUCAGAGGGGUUUUAAGGGAUUUUUUUUUUUUUUUAGCAAUUUGGAGAGGGAUCAAUAGCCUUUCGUGGGGGUUCUCAAACUUUAUCUUCAUAUCAUAAUUUGAAGAAGAAGGUGAGUAAGUUUAGAAAAUGUUGGGAUUUAUUUUUUCUGGUUGUUAUGUAUUAUUCUGGGUUUUGUAUAUUGUUUUAUGUUAUUGAAGUUUUGAUUUUUAUUGAGUGCUUAGAAAAUUGUUAGCACUGUUGUGAAAUAAGGACAAAUACAAUGCAAAUCAAAGUAGUAAAGAUGGAAUAUAUUUUACUUUGAUAUAUAAUAGGGAAGAAGAAAUCAGAUACGAGAGUUGAGAAAGUUGAGAGAAUGAAAAACAGAGAUAAUGAGAUGAAGAAAAUUUCUUUCUUUUUCUCGGGAUGUAUAUUGCAGGAGAUGGGAAGCCCUUUUAUAGGCUUUCCAAAUGGCUUCCAUUAAUAUCCCCAUUAAUGAAACUCAUAAAUAACAUUAAUGGUUUCUAUUAAUGAGUAUUAAUGGAAGUCAUAAAUAAUACUUAAUUAACAUUACUGUGGUGACAUUCAUUACUUCAGUUAUAACACUCCCCCUUGGAUGUUCAUCACAUUGAAGAAUAUGCCUCAUUAAAACCUUACUAGUAAAAAACCCUAUAGGAAAAACCUAGCAAAGGAAAAAGAGUACAAUAUUCUUUUCUAGGUAUAUUAGGAUUGCCUCGUUAAAAACCUUACUAGUAAAACCCAGUAGGACAAAACUUGGACGAAGGAAAAAGAGUACAGUACACUAACACCCUUUUACAAGCAUACUUCCCUUAAGUCGAUAUCAUUGAGUUGACGUAUUCCAAUCAUGUGUAUUAACUUCUUGAAUAUUGAGGUUGGCAAUGAUUUUGUGGUAAAUCUGCUAGAUUAUCACUUGAGCAUAUUUGUUGCACAUCAAUUUCACCACUCUUCUGGAGUUCAUGUGUAUAAAAGAAUUUUGGUGAAAUGUGUUUAGUUCUAUCUCCUUAAUAUAACUCCCUGUUAUUUGUGCAAUGCAUGCUGCAUUAUCUUCAAAUAAUAUUGUCGGGUCACCUUUGAUAGAGGAGAGUCCACAUGAUUCCCGAAUAUGCUGGAUCAUAGAUCUUAGCCAUAUACAUUCACGACUUGCUUCAUGAAUUGCUAGUAUUUUUGAAUGAUUUGAUGAUGUGGCCACCAUUGUUUGUUUGACAGAUCUCCAUAAAAUAGCAAUACCAUUGCAAUUAAAUACAUACCCUGUUUGUGACCUACCUUUAUGUGGAUCUCAAAGAUAUCCUGCCUCUGCAUAUCAAGCAAUUGUUGCUUUGAUUCCCUUGAGUAAAAUAAAUCCAUAUCAGUAGUUCCACGAAGAUAACGCAAUAUAUGUUUGAUACCAUUCCAAUGUUUUUGAGUUAGAGCGGAACUGUAUCUUGCUAAUAAAUUGACAGAAAAAGCAAUGUCUGGAUGUGUACAAUUGGCAAGAUACAUAAGUGCACCAAUAGCACUAAGAUAUGGUACUUCAGGACUAAGUAACUCUUCAUCUUUUUCGCAAGGACGAAAUGGGUCAUUUUUCACAUCAAGUGAUCGGACAACCAUUGGAGAACUUAAAUGAUGCACUUUAUCCAUAUAAAAACGCUUCAAAACUUUCUUAAUGUAUGUUGAUUGAUGUACUAAAACUCCAUUUGAAAAAUGCUCGAUCUGUAGGCCAAGACAAAAUUUUGUUUUUCUAAGAUUUUUCAUCUCAGAUUCUUUUUUCAAGUAAUUUGUUGUUCUUGUGAGCUCUUCAGGAGUUCCAAUAAGAUUUAAGUCAUCAACAUACACUGCAAUAAUUGCAAAUCCGAUUUCUGAUUUCUUAAUGAAGAUGCAUGGGCAUAUAGGGUUAUUCACAUACCCUUCUUUUAGCAAGUAUUCGCUAAGGCGAUUGUACCACAUGCAUCUAGAUUGCUUUAAUCCAUACGAGGAUCGUUGUAACUUGAUUGAGUACAUGCUACGAGGCUUUGUACUAUUUGCUCAAGGAAAUUUAAAUCCUUUAGGGAUUUUCAUGUAUAUAUCAUUAUCCAUGGAUUCGUAUAAAUAUGUUGUAAUAACAUCCAUGAGACACAUAUCCAGUCCUUCUGAGACUGCCAAACUAAUUAAGAAAUGAAUUGUGAUUGCAUUCAUGACGGGAGAAUAUGUUUCCUUGUAGUCAAUACCAGGUCUCUGCGAGAAACCUUGUGCUACUAAUUGCACUUUAUAUCUUAUGAUCUCAUUUUUCUCAUUACGCUUUCGUACAAAUACCCAUUUGUACCCAACAGGCUAUACAUCUUUAGGUGUUUGGACUACAGGUCCAAAAACUUCUCGUUUUGUUAAUGAGUUUAACUCUGCCUGUAUAGCUUCUUUCCAUUUUGGCCAAUCAUUUUUAUGUCGAUAUUCUUCCAUAUUUCGUGGUUCGGGAUCUUCAUCAUUUCCUAUGAUAUCAGAGGCCACUUGGAAAGUAAAAAUAUUGUUAAUAACAAUAUUAUUUCGAUCCCAUUUUUCUCCUAUGUGUAUAUAACUUACUGAGAUCUCACAAUUUUCAAGUACCUAUGCCUCUUCAGGGGCUUCUUAUUCAAUAUGUGCCUCUUCGGGGGCUUCUUGUUCAAUAUAUGCUUCUUCAGGGGCUUUUUGCAUUAUUUGUGCCUCUUCUAGGGCUAUAGAUUUAUCAAUUUUAAACUGAUCAGUCAUUUUGAUGGCCUAUUUUAGAGUGCCAAGUUUUUCUUGGGUUCUCCUCUUUCGGGGAGUUACAUCCUUUGAGUCAACAGGUCUACCACGCUUCAGGCGUAUCUUAGAUUCAUUUGUUAACUGUCCUAUAGGGACAUCAAUCCUUGCUGGAGUAUUUGCAGCCGGGAUAUGUGACUUUGUCACUUUCUUUGUAUCAAUGAAUGCAUCUGGUAAUUGAUUUGCAAGAUUUUGCAAAUGAAUGAUCCUUUGAGCUUCUAGUUCAAAUUGAUUUGUACGAGGAUCAAGAUGAGUCAUAGUAGAUGCCUUCCAACUAAUUUCUCAUCGAUCUUCAUGAAUCGACUUUUCUCUCCCCUAAUGAUGGGAAAACACUCUCAUUAAAAUGACAAUCCGCAAAGCGGGCUGUAAAAACAUCGCCUGUCAAAGGUUCAAGAUAUCUCAUGAUAGAUGGAGAAUCAAAACCUACAUAAAUCCCAAGUCUUUGUUGGGGACCCAUUUUAGUGCGUUGUGUAGGUGCAAUUGGUACAUAUACUGCACAACCAAAGAUUCGUAAGUGAGAGAUAUUUGGUUAUUUUCCAAGCACAAGUUGUGAAGGGGAGUAUUCAUGGUAAGUUGUAGGUCGAAUACGGACUAAAGUUGCAACAUGCAUAAUAGCAUGUCCCCAGGUGGAAGUAUGUAAUUUGGUUUUCAUUAUUAAUGGUCGAGCUAUUAAUUGGAGACGUUUGAUGAAGGAUUCUGCUAAACCAUUUUGGGUAUGAGUAUGAGCAACAGGAUGCUCAAUAUUUAUCCCUACUGACAUGCAAUAGUCAAUGAAUGUUUGAGAAGUAAAUUUGCCAGCAUUAUUAAAACGUAUUGUCUUAAUUGGAUAAUCUGGAAAUUGUGCUCGUAAUCUGAUUAUUUGUGCAAGGAGUUUAGCAAAGGCAACGUUACGUGUAGAAAGGAGACAAACAUGUGACCACCUAGUAGAAGCAUCUAUUAAGAUCAUAAAAUAACAGAAUGGUCCACAUGGUGGAUGGAUAGACCCACAUAUGUCCCCAUGUAUUCUUUCUAAAAAGACUGGUGACUCAGAUAUGACUUUAGUAAAAGAUGGUCUGAUUAUCAAUUAACCUUUUGAGCAAGCAGCACAUGAGUAUUCAUUGGGCGUAAGAAUCUUCUGGUUCGUUAAUGGAUGACCAUGUGAGUGUUCGAUUAUUUGAUGCAUCAUUGAAGACCCUGGUUGACCUAGCCUGUCAUGCCAAAGGACAAAAACUUUUGGGUCGUUGAACUUCUGGUUCACGACAACAUAUGAUUCAAUAGACUUUAUGGUUGUAUGAUACAACCCAGAGGAGAAAGCCGGGAGUUUUUCCAUUAUAAGCUUCUGACCAGAUAUAAUGGAAGUAAUGUAAAGAUAUUCUACAUUAUCUUCAUUUAUAGUUUCAAUAUGAUAUCCAUUUCUGCGGAUAUCUGUAAAACCGAGCAAAUUUCUUCUAGAUUUGCUAGAAUAUAAAGCAUAAUUUAUAUGAAAUCUAGUUCCAUUUGGUAACAUUAUGUUUGCUCUUCCAGAACCUUCAACUAAGUUUGUAGUACCAGAUAUGAUACUUACAUUAGCUUUUAUUAAUGUCAAUUCGAGAAAAUAUAUUUUAUCUCGAAGAAUUGUGUGCGUGGUCGCACAGUCUGCGAGACAUACAUCAUUCUCAUUCAUCUUGAGACCAAAUAACACAUGGAUUUCAGAUAUAACAAAAAAAAACAAGGCAUAAUGUAAAUAACAAAAGAAAAUUAGAUGUAAAUAUAAGACAUAAUAAUAUAUUAUUUCAUAUACAAAGUAACAUCAAUCAAUGUUAAUUUUCUCAUCAUUUAUCAAAUGGUUUGUUUUUUCAUUGGGACCUCCAAAGAAAUCAAUGUCAUAGUAGGUUAGGUCCAAUCCAUCUCCAUCGGUAAAGUUCAUCUCUAUCUCUUUUCCUUUUACUUUUAUUGAUGCUUGGUAGAGGUCAACCAAAUGUUUGGGCGUACGACAGGUACGCGACCAAUGCCCCUUCAUAUCACAUCUAUAACAAUUAUUCUCAUGGUUCUUAGGAGGUUUAUCUUGUAAACGCUUCCCAUUUUCAUAUUUUGCCUCAGUAUUGUUCCAUUUCGUAUUGUUCCACUUCUGGUGGUGCAAUGAGGCUUUCAUUUUAUGAGAAUUAUUAUUACAAGAACCAUGGUAUCGGGGAUUUCUUCCAUGACCACAACCACGUCCUCAUCAACUCCACGAGUUUGGGACAAUAUUGCAUUCAUUUUAAGGAAUGAUUCAGAUCCAGUUGGAUGAGAUUAGUGAUUUCUUAUCAAAAACUCUUUUUUUUUUUUAAACCUUCAUGGAGAUGAUUGAUUCGUGCCCACUUGGUGUCUCAGCUGAUUCAUGUCCAGCUGGUGCUCCUUGAUUGAGGGAGUAAUCAACAAAAUUUAUAACCUAUUACACCAUGUACUAGGGCAGCAAAGACAAAACUACUAUAGCAUAGUGGCUCUAGGAUCGUUCACUGGGAUGAGUUUUCACUUCACAAAUGAUAUUAAUUCAAAGUUGAAUUGGUGCCUUUUCAUUUCAAGGUUAGCUUUAAAAGAAAACAUAAACUUGAGUUGGAAAAUGUUUGGUUUUAAACUAACCACAAAUAGUAACUGAUUUUACUUACAAAGAAAAGUGUUUCUUGGAGCUCAAAUCACUAGGCUCAGGUUCCUCAUACAAAAAGGGGAGUUCCGGUCACUUGUUUCUUUUCCUCGCAUUAGAGAAUUAACAUAUAGUUCCUUCUCUAACCGGUGUUGUACAGAUGCUUCCUAUUAAUGGGUUCAAACACUAAAUUCCUCUCACUGAUGCACCUUGCAAUGGCUCAUGCCUCUCACCUAGCACUUGCCAUUCAAGAUGAUCUUUAACCUUGGACUUCCCUUCAAAAGCUCGCAAGAGAUAACUAAUGGAUGUCUCCUUGGAGUCCAAAAGCUUACCAAGUGUUGGCUAUUCUAGAAAAUCCUACCUUCAAACCACCUCCCAAAGGCUCGCAAGAGAUAAACUAGUGAAUCUCCAUGGACGGAGAUCACUUGCCUUACCAAGUGUUGGCCCAGGUGAUUUAAAGGCGUUUUAAGUUAACUAAAAAGAUAAAAACCAUUAACGGGUCACACUUUCUCUUCAUUAAAAACUAAAACAACAAAACUUCCAAAUUAUGCAUGUGGAAACUUACCCGGAUUUCGUCACUCCAAGAGACGAAAAGCCUAGCCUCUCAUCCUCUGAGGAAAAAUCCUUAGAGUUUGGUUAGCAAGAAAAUGAAAAUGAAAGAGAAGGAAAAAAACAGAGCAAGGCUCUGUAUAUUCUAUAUAUUUAUAUAUCUAUAUAUCUAUAUAUUUUACAGUGGAUGCAAGGGAAUAUAUAUAGAGACGUUUUUCUAACCUUCCUAACUAAGAAAUCUUAUGGUUGGUGGAUUACAAGGAGAAGAAUGGAAAUUUAUACAAAAAUAUCUGAAGAAAAAUAUCCAAAAGUGUCGGUCGCAACUAUCAGGAAGCUUCAGGAGAACACCCGUGCACUGUGCAAAAUGGCUGCGAAAUUCUUGCAGCAAAAGGGUGAUUUCGCAGCCGUGCAAAAUUCUUCCUUCAGCUUGGAGUGAUUGGGUUCCAAUGGCUGUAACUCCUUCAUUUCAACUUCAAAUCGCGCACCGUUUGAAGCAUUGGAUUCUUGACUUCCUGAGCUUUGAAAUGGUAUAUAGCAUGUAGAAAAUGGACUUCAGGAAGUGCUCCAAAAGUGCGAAAGAAGACUGCAGCUGCUAUCCUCUAUUUUCUUCACUCUGUUUUUCCUCUCUCUGUUGUUCUUUCCUUGCAUACUUUGAACGACUUUGGCAAAGGGCUAUGGAGCUCCAAAGCUUGGUUCUUCAUGAAUUUGAGCUUCCAAAAGCUUUGCCAUGAACUAUAUACAACUCUCCCUCAUUCUUGGAUUGCUUUGGUGUAGCUAAAAGCUAUCAAAAACACCAAAACUUAACACAAUUUGAUUAGAAACGAUUGCAAGGGUCCUUAACAUGUCAAUUGAGUUAAAAGGUAAUAAUUACUACUCAAGAGUGUUUAAAAGAGUUAAUUACAAGCUAUGAAAUAACACUUUUUGAGUAGUAAUCAAUGAUGACGAAGGAAAAUCACUGUUUUUACGCGAUCCUGCAAGGAUGCUUGAUUUCCUUCUUUGAUCACAGCUCCAAGAUUCAUUGCAUUAAGAUGUAUUUUAGCAUCAAAGAUCCAAGAAUGAUAGUUAUUUCCCGAAAUGUCAAGUGCCACAAAUUCGAGUUUUGUGAUAUUCGACAUUGUCAAAUAACUUCAUAUAUAUGACAAAACAAUAUUAUUAAAAUCAAUUAUAAUAACUUGAUAGCAUUGGUAUAACUUUGAUUAUAAACAAAAUCAAAUAAUUUGUUUAUAACUUUUAAGAAUAUGUAACAAAACAAAUGAACAAUAAUAUAAAUAUGUAAAAUUUUAUUCUAUAUAAAUAACUUCAAGUUUAAGAUACGAGAAUUACCUUUAGAGCAAUUCGUGCUGAUAACGUGUUGUGAAAUAAGGACAAAUACAAUGCAAAUCAAAGUAGUAGAGAUGAAAUAUAUCUUACUUUGAUAUAUAAUAGGGAAGAAGAAAUCAGAUAAGAGAGUUGAGAAAGUUGAGAGAAUGAAAAACAGAGAGAAUGAGAGGAAGAGAAUUUCUUUCUUUUUCUCCGGAUGUAUAUUACAGGAGAUGGGAAGCCCUUUUAUAGGCUUUCCAAAUGGCUUCCAUUAAUAUCCCCAUUAAUGAAUAUUAAUGAAACUCAUAAAUAACAUUAAUGGUUUCCAUUAAUGAGCAUUAAUAGAAGUCAUAAAUAAUACUUAAUUAACAUUAAUGUGGUGGCAUUCAUUACUUCAAUUAUAACAAGCACUUAUUUUUCUAGUUAUGUAUUAUCCCUGAUUUUGUAUAUUGUCUUAUGUUAUUUAAGUUUUGAUUUCUAUUGAAUGCUUAGAAAGUUUUUAGGAUUUAGUUUUUUUUUUUUCUAUUGAAUUCUUAGAAAGUUCUCAGGAUUUAGUUUUUCUUUAUCUUCAUGUCAUUUAGCAUGUUGUACUAUUUAUCUAAUUUUAUUAAAAAUCAAAUUUUGAAAAGUUUUGGUUUAAUUUAAUUUUCUCAACACUAUUCAUUUCAUUAGAAUUUUAUUAAAAAUAAAUUUUGAAAAGUUUAGUUUGAGUUUUAAUUUUUCGGUAAAAUCAAAUUUUAAAAAGUUAGUUUGAGUUGUAAUUUUCUAGUACUAUUUAUUUCAUUAAAAUUUUAUUAAAAAUCAAAUGAAAGGUAGGUUUUGGGAUCCAAGUUCACCUUUUCUCUUUUUUUUUUUUAAAUACCUCUAGGAAAGAAAUAAAAAAUCCUUAUUUUGUCUAUAUUGAUUGAAAUUUACUAAUUCACAUGGUCUCUUUUUUGUUUGCCCUAAAAUUAUUUUCAAAAGUAUUUAAAUCAUCAAAAGGCUUUAAAAAAAAAUUAUCCAUUCAAGGUUUAAGCAAAGAACAUAUUUUCUUUUAAAAUCAUGCAACUCAUUUCAUCUAAGUUGCAUUCUUUAUUUUUCGGUUUUUUGAAACUUUGUUUUCAUUCACAUAAGUUUAAACUUGUGCUCUCAAGCUAAUGAGAAUACUAGGUUAAACUUAUGAAUAUUCAAUGGAGACUUGAUGGAACCCUUACAUCAAAGAUUUUUAAAACUCAUGUUUGCUAUCAGUUUCAACUCAGCCACCGACCCUUUAUUAAAAAAAAAAAUUUGUUCUUGAUUGCUUGGAGUGUUUUUUUUUUUUUUUCAAAAAUAGUAUGAUGUUCCUUAUUCUUUGUAGUUGAUUUUGGAAGAAUGUUUCAACCAAAAAGCUUUUCUCAAAGUUGAGUUAUGAUAUUUUCUUUCCACACAUUAUAUUUAGCUUGAUACUAUACACACCGUGCAUGCUAGGAUUUAGAAUUUUACUAUUUGAAAUUGUUAUUUACUCUAGCCUCAUUUAUCUUAUGGAAGCACUUUGUAAAUUACUUUUGCUAUUCAAGUACGCCUCCUCACCAUUGAUCUCUUAAUUUAACAGUUGUGUAUGAUUCAUGUGUGAACGUCCCUUGCUAACUCUACUUUAUGUUUGUGAUUAACAAAGCUUACAUGUUUGUUUAAUAUAUUAUUAUAAUUUAGGUUAACACCUUAGCCUUUCCUAGUGUCCCUAAUCAAUUAGCUCAUUGUUAUAAUUUCCUCAAUUUAGUAAGUAGAGACCUUUUUAGGGCCUAGAGGGGUGCUUCCUCUGUGAGGUACCUUCCCAAUAGGUAACUAGAUUCUCGGACCAAGACUUGGGUUUUUCAAAGACAUGCUUUUCCAAAACUUAAGGCGUCAUUUUUUUAAGGGCUAUAGUUUCUUAUUUUAUUUAUUUAUUUUUAAAAUAAUAAUAAUAAUAAUAAGCAACGAAUCCAAUUUUCAUACAAAUAAUAGUUUUUUCACAAAAAAAAAAAAACAAGUAUUGUUGACGAGUGGGGACACACAUGAGAAAUUUAGGUCCACAAUAAGACUUUUUUUUUUCCUUGAAAAUUGUAUUUACUUCAUCUUAUGCUUAGAUCUUGUAGCCAUAAGGUCUUAGAUGCAUGCACUCAUGAUCCCAUCCUAACAAGUGGUGUGAGAGCACUAGGAUAGGAUUGACCUACUCAUUAGGAUUGGGCCUCUAAAAGCAAGACAUGGUAUAACAAAAUUAGACUUAACCACCCCCUUGUUAUCCUUUUGGUGUAUUAACAUUGAUUUGAGCAUUCAACCUAUGUCUCUUACUUUGUACAUAACUUAUGCACAUUAGGAGUUGCAUAGAAGAUACAAGUUGUGGGUUCCUUAUAAGUAGAUAAGUUGUCCACAGUUGGUUCAUAGAUUUAGACAAUCUAGUAGAGACUGUAGUGCACCACAUUCUAAUUUGAGGGAUGAGUUAUCUUGACCGUUGGGAUGGGUUUCCCAUGGUGAGUGCACUAGUGUAUGUGAUGCAUACUAGACAGGACCUACAGUGAAUCAUGAUAUAAGGCUAUCAAGUGUCAUGAUUCACCAAACUACUAUACCACAUGGACUCUCAACCUUGAGAGGAUAUUGAGCAUGUGCUGAAAUCAAUAGGAGGCUUUAACCUAUGGGUGAGACCCUAAAGUGGUCAUAUAUCCCUAUGAAUUGGGUCACUGUUGAUAGAGGUUGGUGGCAAUAGGUAUCUUAAUAGAGGCACCAUAAUAUCUCAUGGGAUUGAGACAAUGUGUCCCCUUAGGUGAUCCAAAUGACAUGUGAACAUGAAAUAGAUGGCCAUAGUAAUUUCUUUAGUGGAAUUUGACAUAUGCUAGCUUCUAGGAGAUGGAGUAUGUUAGUUGAUUAGAUAAUAAGUGAGAUAUGUAACUCAAGGAUUUGAGAGAUAAUGUUGAUAGGUGAUAACACUACCUUGUUAGAUUACGAACACCAAUUCAUGAAGAGUCUUCAUGUAGUGGAUAGUAGGUCAUGGACCCAAGCCUCGUCUCAUUGUUAUUUACGUUGGGUACUAGAGUGCAGAUGAUUCUAUUUAGUGAAAUGUUGAAUCAACUUUAGAAUUAGAUUAUAAGGGAGCCAAUACUCCUAUGGGUCCUAGUGGUCCCUGUUUUAAGCUCAUAUACCAUGAUGAUAGGGCUUAUGAGGGUUAGAUUGACUCUAGGUUCAUUUUGGUGCAUAAGGGUGUUUUGAUAAUUAUGUCAAGUUGCAUAGGGGAUAGUGAACAAGAUCUUUGGUUUAGGUUAAUUGAUUAAUUAGAUUGCUCUAUGUGGUUAAUUAAUCAAGUAGGACUCGUUUUGGGCUAGAUAAAGUGGCCCAAGCCUUGAUGGACUUAAGUCACUUAAGCCCAAUGGGUAAUCCUAUAAAUACCCCUCUAUAGGUUAGGAUUUCCUAAUGACUUGUGGUGAGAGUUGUCUUCCAACCCUAGAGAGAGAGAUCCAUAACCUCCUCCCUUAUAAAUCCCACACUUUGGAAUGCCAAGAUCGUGGUUCAAGUCAUCAAGCAGAAUAUCUUGGGUGUACAAGACCUUGGAGGUAGGGCUACAACACUUGGACGUGCAUAGGCCGUGUGCACAAAAAGCGCAUGGGACACACACAAACCGUGUGCACGGGAAUCGCAUGGGACUCGCACAUGGGGAGCAACAUGAGGAAAGACUCUCUGGUUUUUCUAGACAUGUUUUUCACCACAAAAAUUUGAUUUGGGAACAUCCAAAUCUAGGUAUGAGUAUUUUUUUUCUCUAGAUUUUUAUUGUAAUAUGGUUUUUAUAGUCAUAUGUUUCUACUAUAAUAAAUUUAGAGAAGCCUAGAAUAGUUUACAUGCAUCCUACAAGAUUUAGGGUAUGGGAACAAAGUAAUUCAAGGUUCCCAACACUGUAAACUUUGUUUAUAGGAGUGUUGAUUUAUCCCAUGGCCCAUAAGGGUGAAUACAUGGACAUUUAUUUUUAAUAUGAAUGAAUGAAUGAAUGGAUGCAUGUAUUAUUAUUAUUAUUAUUAUUAUUAUUAUUAUUAUUAUUAUUAUUAUUAUUAUUAUUAUUAUUAUUUGUAUCUCUUGGGUUGUAAACUUUAUAAGGAGAAUAGAAUUUUAGAUUUCUCUAUAAAAUCUUUUUCUUUUAAUGGAUGGGUUGUAAACUCCAUUUUGAGAGCAUAAUGGCUUGUAUUCUUUGUAAAAAUUUUAACUUUGGUCCAUCUAUAGUGACCCAAAAGAAAGGAUCAAAGCUUGUGAUUCAUUUAGGGGCAUUCAUAUAGAAAAACCAAUCAAGAAAGGUGAGUUUUUUCGGGACAAAAAUGAAAAAAAAAUUGAGAAUCAAGCUCUCAGCAUAGUAGUCCAAGUGAUAAUGCUCAAGCGCUACAAGCCACACCUUAAGCACUUGAGUGCUUCUGAAGGUGGCUCGAGCACUCGUAUUAUGGUAGCUACAAUUUCUCCAACAUGGGUUUAUUUUUUAUUUUUUUUUAUUUUAAGGUUUUUCUAGAAUUUUAGGUCUUUUUGUUUCUGUAACUUAAUUUUGGUUGCAUGGGUAUUUAGGCAAUUUUUUGAAUAAAUUAAAUUUUAAAUAUUUUGCUAGCUACCAAAAUUUGGGACAAGAUCCCUAAGGCUGGGGGAAAUUAUUUUAAUUUUCCUUUUUAUAUUCUUAAGCUAUAUAUAUAUAUAUAUAUAUAUAUAUAUAUAUAUGGCAUGUUGUGCAUGAAAAUUGGAAUUUUAGUAAUUUUUGAUAGAAAUAAAUUUCCUUGGAAAUUAGAUUUCAAAAGUAUAUUUUUAUUAAAUUGGAAAAGUGGUGACUAAAGAAAGAACUUUUUAUGAAAAUAAAAUUUAAAUUAAAGAGAGCAAAAUUUCAUUUUAUAAAAUCAUUUUGAAGGAUUUUAAAAUUUAUUGACUUAAAUUUAUUUUAUGAGUAUUCCUGAAAAAUAAAAGUUUUCUCUCUAGAUAAGGUGCUCUCUAUAUUUUAUUUUAUUUUAUUUUUAGAAAUUUUCUUAUUUUGAGAAUUUUGAAUUAGAAUAAUAAACAAUUUUGGAAAAUUUUGAGAUAGACAAUAAUAAGAUAUUACUAAAAAGUUUUGGAAAUUUAGUAAUUUAAUGGGAAAUAAAUUUCUAUGAAAAUAUUAAUUUCAAGAUAGGACAUUUAUUAAAUUGGAGUAGUGUAUGAGAAAAGAGAAUUUUUAAAAUUUGAAAGCAAUUUUGCUAUCAAAUUAAUUUAGGAUAAAAUUCUCUUAUGAAAAUUUUAUCAUUUUCAAAGUUCCAUUCUCUUAUCUCCUUAUGUUUCUAAUUAGGAAAUUAAUAAUUUUGAAAAUUUUUAUAGAAGAUAAUUAUUUAUCAAGGGAAUUACCAAGGAAUUUAAAAGCUCCAAUUAACUCAAAAGAUAAAGUGGGCAAGGCCUUAGCAAAGCCCACAACCUUCAUUAUCAAGUCCAUCUUGAUUUUUUGUCAUUGUCACCCCAACGGUGAGUUGGCUAAGAAAUCAAAGGAUAUGAACUUUCCAAUUGGCGAGACUAGAUAUGUUAGUAGAGUAACCACCUCAACAAUGGUUUUUUUUUUUUUUUUUUAACUUGGUAACGUUAAUAUUAAAGACAAUAUUCAUACACUUAACUUAGAAGUGGUUGAAUAAUCCAAUAUGGUCCCACUUGCAUAAUAAAGGGUUAAAUAAAAGGAUAUGUUAAUCUUGCCUUAGAGUUUUAAAAUAGAAAGAUUAAUAUGAGAAGGUCUCUACCUAGUAAUAAGAUUAAAAUAUUAAAGACAUGUUGUUUAUUUUUGUUACAUUAAUCAUGUCUUUUAAUCCAAUUACUCCCAUUCUCACAACAAAAAUUAAUUAAACAUAAUUAUGUGGAUUAGAAGAGAAACUUGGAUAUAGUGCUUACAUCAAAGGAGCUUGAAUGGGUAACUCAGGAAUUUGCUCUAAAUAAUCCUAAUAAGUAGCCCUCAAAAGAACAUGGAGAGGCAUAUAAUAGAUGGCAUAAGGCGAGAUGAGAAUGCCAAGUGUCUUAUACUUAGGUCUUUGGAUAAUUUGUUGCAACAGCAACACAUGUCUCAUGCAAAAAGUUAUGAUAUUCUCUUUAUCUAGGAAGAGAUGUUUGGUAAUAAGAAGAGUUAUGAUAGACAAGCUACCCUAAUGACUAUCAUGAACACCAAAAUGAUAAAGUGAAUUCCCAUAAGAGAUUAUAUGCUAUGUAUAAUUACACUCUCAUAGAGUGGAGAUUUUUGGAUCUAGCAUUGUCAAGGAAACCAAGGUUAAUAUGAUCUUAGAGACCUUAUUAGAUUCCCUUAGGUAGUUCAAACUCAACUAUUUUAUGAAUAAGAUGUAGAUGAACUUGUCAGAACCUAUGAGGGAACUCUAAUUGACUAAGGAAAUUCUAAAGGAUUAAAAGGAUAUUCAUAUGGCAAUCAAUCAAAGGUUUUUCAAGUUCUUCUACCAAGAAGAAGAAGAACAAGAGUAGAAGUACCAAAUAGAAGGGAAAGUUCAAGGCUUGGGAAAAGAAGAGCAAAGGAAAGGGCACAUGCUUUGGUUGUGGUAAAAAAAUAAAAAAAUAAAAAAUAAAAAAUAACCAUUGAAAAAAGGAGGAUCCUAAAAUAUAGAACAAAAAACAAGGUAUGCAUCAUAUUCUCAACUAAAUCAUGUUUAGUAAAUUUCACCAAUUUUUGGUAAGAUUUUGAGGUUAAUGACUAUAUUUGUAAUUCUUUAAAAGGGUUUCACAUAAGGAAAAGGUUGAAUGAUGGGAACAUAUAUUUGACUCUAGAUUCUAAUGUAAGGAUAGUUGUGCAAGUAGUGAAAGAUGUUACCCUUCUUUUAAAGAAGAAAUGUCUUUUAUACUCAAAGAUUGUCUUUAUAUUCCUAACUAUAGAAAUAAUUUGAUUUCACUUUCUAGUUUAAAUAAAUGUGUCUCUUUGGUUUCUUUUAAUAAAGAUGUUAUUAUUAGAAAGACUGUUGUAUUGUAAAUAUUGACACUGACAUGAGAAGAAAUAGUGCAUCAUCAACAUUAGCACCAUAUUACAAUUGAGAUCAUGUACAACAAAAAGGUUCAUUACAACUUAAAAAAAGAUCCUAUAAUUAAAGUUGUUUUUUUUUUUUAAUUAUUGAUCAUGAGAAUGAACAUGAGGACAUUUUUAAUGAGAUGUGGAUGUAUCCAUGAUUUUACUUGGUUGGUUAAUAAAACUUUACGGGUCCUUCACAAAUUAAAAGAAUUUAAUUUUUAUUUAUGCCUUAUUUUUCACAAAUGCAUUCCUAAUUGUUUAUAUAAGGGUUUAAAUUUCAUUACUUUUAUUUGAAUAUUAUGAACACACUAGUUAAUUUAUUGGUCAUUUCUAGAAUAGCAUAAUUUACCUGAUGAGCAUAGAAAAGAAGUUAUAAUAUAUGUAUUAUGUGAAUAUCAAUAAUCAUAUUUUGGUGGUUCACUUAUGAUCCCUACUUUUCUCUACUUGUAAGUUGAGGCUAAUAUAUAAGAAUAGCUCAUCCAAUGUGUUUCUAAAUACUCACACUCAAAUGUGAAAUCAAGAUGUUCUCCUUUUGAAUUUGAUUGCUUGUUCUUCAUUUGUCAUUCUCUUUCCCUUUGAGAUUAAAAAAACAAAAGAAUAAAUGGAGUAGCAAAUUAAAAAGAGUGUCAAUUCAACUAGAUAAGAGUCUAAUCAAAAUUGGACAUUUCCUUGUAGCGUCUAACUAGCAUGAAUGAAUAAGGAUGUAUGAGUUGAUCAAUCAAGUUUUGGGCCUUUAAAUAAUCAUAUCAAAUUUUCACUUUCAAUUGCUUGAGAUAUUUCACUUGGAUAUCAAUCAAGCUUGGGGUUAAGAAAUUAAAUUAUGUAAUUUUCUAUAAUAAGCUAGUUUCACAAAAUGUUUAAUGCUUCAAAAGUAAUAACUUAGGAACUAAAGAAUCAAUCCCAACAUCAGCUUUAGUUAACAAAUGCAAUGCCCUAAUUUUAUAUUUUUGCUCAUUUGAAAUACAUAGGAACAAAUACCAACAUGCAUCUUAAAGUAUUCCAAAACAAAAUACUUGAAAUUGAAUUGUUCUUUCCCACCUAAUUUGAUUGCUCGUAGCUUGGAGAUUCUAUCUUUUAAGACCAAGAAUUAUGGAUAGUACAAAAGUGUGAGUUCAAAUUGGCAUGACUUUAAUCAAAAUUUAGAAAUUUGUUUGAAGUAUUUGACUUGCCUUGAUUAAUAUGGAUAACCAUGGUUUAACUGGUGGAGGUCGGGCAUUUGACAUUAUGUAUUUAGCAGCUUGGAAUAUCCCAUCAAAACUUGAUGUGCACUAACUUAUCCAACAAAUUGUUUGAUCUUCAAAAAAAAUUAACAAUGCAAUCAAGCUUAUCCUACAAAUUGUUUGGUCAACAUCAACAAUUCUCUUACUUGAAAUUAGCGUCUUGUACAGCAUAUCCAAUGGACAAAUUUGCAAAGAAGCUCCAGCCACCUGUGCAUAUGGUCCAUUUCAUGGUCUUGGGCAUCAACACCAUUACCAUCAAUAUUCUGCAUUGCGCCAUCACAGCUUCUCUGGGCAUCAGUAUUAGUAUCUUCUACUGCUGAUCUGGUAUCACAGCUUCUCUGAGAAUGAUUACUAUUGGUAUCUUGUACAGCUAAUCCCCAUGAGAACUGCUGCCUCGUACCAUUGUGAGAUUGUUGUGUUCUUAAUCAUGGGCAUACAGAAAGUGGAAGCCACACCUCUCCACUUUCCCUGGUUUAUUACUGGAGUGGCCAUAAAAUGAAGCUUUCAAGGUUCUCCAUUCAUUUGAGUGAUAUUUCUUUGGAAUAUUUGACUUAGAAUAAUAUAUCAACCACCCUUGAUUUGAUUCAUCUUCAUCGUAGCAGCAUUCACAAGAUUGUUUAAACCGGAUAACAUCCAACAGAAAAGAUGCACUGUCAUGAUCGAAAUUCAAUUUACAGUUGAAACUCCUAUGUUUUGCGGUCUCAGUAUCAAGUGGAACAUGAAGAGAGCACAGAACAAAGCCCAAGAAGUCAUCAUUUUCAUACCAACUCCAAGGAAGUUCCAUCGUUAUUUGGAACCCGCUUUUCUGAUGGCUUAUCCACUCGGGAAUCCCAUUACUUUCAGGAAUAAAAGUUUGGACAAUGGCUCCAACUUCAACCCCCUGCACAAAAAUUACCCUCUAAAUUUGUGUGUCCAUGAAAAGAAAUGUUAAAUGCUAUAUGAAAAUCAUACCUGAAUUUGGGAUUUUAAACAUUUGAAUAAAGAAGACCAGAGUAGACUUGAUUGACUGGAUAAAUUUUCCAGGGAUGUGCAGUGAUGGGCAUCUAGAUACGUUAAACCUGAUGGAAGUUCUGGAAUAUGUUGAAGCAUCUUGCAGUGACUCAAGUCAAAAUGUUUUAGGUUGUAAAGUUGACUGAUCCCAUCAGGUAUGCGACUAAAGUGGUUCCCUCCCAGAUAUAACAUUACCAGUGAUGAUAGGUAAUAAAUUUCACUGGGAAAUUCCCUUAGAUUGCAGGCUUGAAGCAUUAAUAUCCUCAAGGAGCAUAAACCGGACAAAGACGGCAAUUGAAAAUUCAUUGAAUCUAAAUACCCAACAAAAAGAUGUUCUAAAGAUUGCAGUCUCCCCAAGUUGUCUGGCAAUUUGUUGAAGUUUGGACAGCGACUGACAACGAGAGUUUUAAAAGAUGUCAAAUUACAAAUACUCUCAGGAAGAUUCACAAGAUUUUUGCAUUGUGAUAGAAACAAAGAUUGAAGCCCUCUUAGACGUUGAAUUGAUGAUGGUAUCUCUCUUAUGGCGGUUCCAUCUAAAUAAAGCUUUCUCAAUCUCUCCAUAUCUUGCACGAUUUCUGGAAAGCUCUCUAGUUGUGAACAGCCAGAGCAGGAGAGAGCUGCAAGGGAUUUGAAACCGAAAAUGCUACUGGGCAGACUCGUAAGAUUUUUGCAAUCCCGCAGACAUAAACUAUCAAGUUCCAAGGGAUUCUCCAUAAUGGGUACUUCAUUCAUAUCACUUCCCUUAAAACACCGCUUCCGUCGGCAUGUCACAUCCUGUUGGCAUUCACUGCAUAUUCUAACAUCUGCAUCCUCUGUCUGUAUCGUUAGUGGAUGGCUUUGUUGAAGGUCUUGGGAGUAUAUAAGGCGGACUCCGCACUCCUUUACUUUCAAGGCUUUCUCAGAAAUAUUGAAAAAGUCCUGAAAUGAAGUCCCAAUGAGAGUCCAUUGAUCAGAGUGAAACCACUCCUGAAUAGCCGCCUUGGAAUAGCAAACCACCCACAUUUGACCUGAUACACUCUCAUUGUCUUCGUCCUUGCCUUCUUUAUAGCAAAAACAAUUGGAUUCAAACAGGGAAAGAUCUAUCAUUCCAACUCCAUCACCAUGGACACUCAAAGAACACUUCAGGCUACAAGAAUGCGUAUGUUCAUAUUCAUUCUUACUAAAAGAUCCAGCCACAGAUUUAUCAUCUGUUUCAUUCUCCCAUGUAUGAGCAGAUUCAUCCUCAGAUUUAUCGUCUGAUUCACUCUCGGACCCAUGUGCAGAUUCCUUUCCGGGUAUGUCCUCAGAUUCAUCAUGAAGUGGAACAUGAACACAGUAUAUAGCAAAUCCCAAAAACUCAUUAUUUUGGUACCAAUUAGCUCUGUUGUCACCAAAUAUCCAUCUCUACGAUACAUCAUCCAUUCUGGAAUUCCAUCACUUCUGGGAAGAACAAUACAAAUUCCCUUCCCAUGGUAGGAAGAAUCGCUAAAACUAGUGCGUUCCCAAUCCUGCACCAAAACACCAUGUAAAUAUAGAGUCUGCAUAAAACAAGUCUGUGACAUGAAAAUUAUACCUUUGCCCAACUGAAGCAAUUGACCAGAGAAUGCAAUGGCAAAAACGGGGCUCUUGAUGAAGUGCAAUUUGAACCAUGGGCAUCUAAAAGCCGUAGACUUGAUGGAAGCUCUGGAAUUUGUUCAAGAUUGUUGCAGUGACUAAGUUAAGGGCUUUCAGCCUUGAAAGCUGAUUGAUGGUAGCAGGUAUGCAACUGAAAUGGCCCCCUUCCAGAUUUAGUUUCUGUAAUGAUGAUAAAUGGCAAAUAUCACUAGGAAUUCCUCCUUCCAUUAUGUUGCAGUUUCCUAGGUCCAAUACUUCCAAUGAUGAUAAGUGGCAAAUAUGAAUAGGGAUUUUGUGGAGCUUUGAACAGUCUUCAAGUAGGAGAGUUUGAAGACCAUUUAGAUGUGAAAUUGAUGAUGGUAAGUCC
rnacentral:lncRNA from 1 species